GAGCUCGAGCUGAGCUCGGCUCGUCAAAAAAAAAAAAAAAAAACCCGGCCCUCGGCUCGUUACCCCACGAGCUCGGCUCGAAAAAAAAAAAAGAGCUCGGCUCGGCCCAUGAGCUCGUGGCUCGUGGGUAGGGACGAGUUCAGCUCGAGCUCGGCUCGUGAGCUCGGCCCGUGAGCUCCUUUUUUUUAAUUUUUAUACACGUUUUCUUUCUAAAUAUUUUUUAAAAAAUACAAUUUUGAUAAAUUUUUAUCUUAUAAGUAUUUUUAUUUUGUAAACAAUUUAUUUAGAUAAAGUAUGUUUUACUAAUAACUUAUAAGUUUUAAUUUAUAAGUAAUUUUAAUUAUAAUGUAUUUUUUUAUGAUUUUAUCUUAUAAAUAAUACUUACUUAUAACUUAUAAGUUUUUUUUUAAUUAUAAUUUAAUUUUUUACUUAUAAGUUAUAAAUAAUUUUUAGUUAAUAUAUUUUAAUUUUCAAGUUUAUUUUGAAGAAAACAUGUUGAUUGAAAAUCAUUAUUUUAUUAAUGAUAAAAUUAAAUAUGAUAUGAGAAAUUGUAAAAUGAUUUUUCAAAAUAUUUUUCCUUUUUAAAAUAAUAAAAAUAAUAAAAUAUAAACCCUCCUCCUUUAUUCGGGUUUGGGAUCGACUACUUCAAUAGUUCUUAUUUCGAGUAGGCGGAGUUAAAAAUUGUAUACGAACAACUUGUUACGUGUACAAUUUUUUUAAAAAAAAUUAUAAAGGUAUUAAAAUAAAAAUUCGUCAUAAAUAUGAUUAAACUAAAUAUCACUUACUUGACUACAUGCAAUUUCGGCAUAUUUAUUUUGCAGUCGAAAAUGAGCGUCUUGUCAGUCCUUCAUGCACAUUAAUGCUUCCAAAACAUCUUCUUUUAGUUGAUUCCUAACAUCAGAGAGAACCCUAGACCCUGCACUAAAAGCAGAUUCCGAAGCUACAGUGCUAAUCGGAGGUGUUAGUAGAUCUUUUGCCAUUGCAGAAACUAUUGGCCAUCGGCGUUCAUACUUUCGCCAGAAGUCAACUACUUCUUCUGAAUUUUUCCUUAAUGCAUUGAUACUAGGCCAAUUAUGAUUAAAGUAAUCAAGUAAUUCAGCAGGCAACGCCUUUUGACUAGUACAUGCAGUAGAAGACAAACUACUCUGACUGGAGGAAUCAUAUGCAUUUCCAAUUUGACCAUAUCUAUAUGAGUUCAUACCUUCAAAUAAAUUUAAAAUUUCAGCGUCGUCAUCUCCUAAAUUAGUGGGAGGAGUACUUGUAGAGUCGAAGGGUACACGAGUAACUUGUGUACCCAUUCGUGAAGCAUAUAUUACAUACAUUUCAGAUAAAGUUGCUUCCAAAUUCCUAUAGGUAAUAGGUAUGUUAAAAGUUAAAGAUUCUGACAUUCGCUCAAUUAUAAAUUUAGUACCAGAUAAAUUAUAUUGGGGGUCCAUGAUGCAUGCUAAAGGAAAUAACAUGGGCAAGUCUUCCCAAUAUUUUCUAAACUUUAAUUUCAUGACAUUUAUAAUUGAACUAAAAUCGGGGUCAUUUUUAAAUCUAUCAAAAGCCCUAGCAACUAGAUAAAGACGUUGAAGGACCAUACAACUAGUAGGAUAAUAAACACCAGACAAAAUAUUUGUAGCAUCAUAAAAACUUUUCAAAAAAUGUUUAAUUUUAGUAACUAAAAUCCAAUCGGACUCAAUCAAAACAGUUUCCUCGUCGUUUCUAAAAUGUCUACUGUUAUAAAAUUCAGUAAUUAAAUGUUCGAAACCUUCACAUGAUUUUAAUAAUAAAUAUGUGGAGUUCCAUCUAUGCGCUACGUCACUAAUAAAAGUUUUUGAAUGCGACAUCCCAUGUUCGGCACAAAAGUCCUCAAAUGCUUGUUUUCUGCUAGGUGAAAUAGUAAUAUAAAUUAGUGCAUCCCUAAUUCGUUGAAUUUCAUCCUUAACAUGUUUUAAACCAUCUUGUACUAUUAAAUUUAAAAUAUGACAUACACAUCGAAUAUGAAAUAAAAAACUACCAAAUUCAGGUUGAAGUACUCUUUGCAAUUUCUCGAUAACAGACUUAUUUAUAUUAGCGCUGUCGAACGUAAAAGAACGUAUUUUACUCUCGCAUUUAUAUUCUCUAGUAACGUUCAUAAUAGCACUAAAUAUAUUGAGAGCAUUGUGCGGGUACUCAAUAAUUUUAAAAGCAAUUAUUUUUUUAUGCAUGAUCCAAAGUGGGUCUAUAUAGUGUGCAGUUGUAGUCAUAUAACCUUUUUUAUUAAUCACUUCCCAUAAAUCCGAAGUUAAAGAUAUUACACUCUCAUAUUUUUCUAAAUCGGCAAUCAAUGUUUUCUUUGCAUUUAAAAAAUAUUCUAUUGUAUCAGAACGAAGAGUAUUUCGACUUACCCCAGCGUACCUCGGUUGAAGACAUUCUUUGACAAAUGUAACGAAAUGUUGGUUGUCCGUUUGUGCUAGUGGCAACUCAGAUCCGGCAAUGUACUUCACCAUUCUUGUUCGAGUUCUUUCCUCCGAAUACAUCCACGUAUUAAGUGGCGUAGUAGUAGUAGCACCGCUGCCUGAAGUACCAAAUUGUAGUUGCGUUUGACCAGCAGGAAGAAGACCAUGUUUGCCCAUACAUGCUUUGUAGUGACGGUUGAGGUGGGUGGUUUCAAUGCCUUUUUGAUGAGCCAAUCGUUGUUGACAGUAUUUACAUACUGCUUUGGUUUCUGGAAUUCCAUCGACCAUACGACCAGUUUGAACCAAUUUAAAAUGAUCCCAACAUUUUGCAUGCUUCUUUACCUUUCUCUUCCCUCUUGCAUUGGGAAUUUUAGUAACAGGUUCAUCAUCCUGUUCCAAAUCAAUUGGAGCCUCAGCAUCAAUAUCAUCCAAAUUAAUUUGAUGACUACUUUCAUGAACAUUGUAAUCUUCAAUAUUUUCUGGAAUGGGUACUUCAUUUAGACCGGCGAACUCAUUCACAUAUUGAUUAUGGGACACAUUUGCUUCAUUUCCGACUCCGACAUCGAACAAGUUUUCAAUAAAUGAGCGUGAAUCCAUUUGUGAUUAAUUGAAAUUGAAUGUUGAAGAAAAAGAAGUGAAGUAGAAUUGAGAAAUGAAUGAAGAUUAUGUAGUAGUGUAGAAACUAUAUUGUAAAAUCAAGAUUAUAAUUUAAUGAUAUGAAUAUAAAAUGUAGAAGAGUAUAGAAAUGAGAAUGAAUGAAUGAAUAAUAUUGAUAAUAAUUGAGUUGUAGAGAAUAAGAGAUUGAUAGUAAGUUUGGUAAGAAAAAAUGUUGUAAUUGAUGGGUAUUUAUAGGAAGAAAAUGAAAUUUGAAAAAAAAAAAAAAUCAGGGACCAAAACGGUCACUGACAAAGUUCAGUGACCGUUCGGUCAACAGUGACAGAACGGAAGUUCAGUGACCGUUCUGGUCACUGAAAUAAUUUUUUUUUUUUUUUUUUGACGAGCGACGAGCCCAGGCUCGUGGCAGCUCGGCGAGCCGCUCGUCAGAUUGAUGGCUCGGCUCGUCAAUCAAUUCAUAGGUUCGGCUCGUUGCUCGGGCUCGUUUUUUACGAGCCCGUUCGUGACUCGUUUUAGGCGAGCGGAGCCCACGAGCCCGCGAACUACUCGGUCCCAUUGCCACCACUAGUUAUCUCAUCCUCUUUCACGUGGGGUAAUAAAAAGAAUAUAGAAAUAUAAUAUGCUAAUAAUAAACCACGAACCAUCUUGAAAAAUCAUAAUAAAGCAAAUUAACAAAAUUAAAAAUCUAACUUGUAACAAACAUAAAAUAAAUCUAUUACUCAAUUUAUUAAUCACUAAUAAAAUUUAAUUUACAGCUAGAAAUGGAAAUAACCUAGAAGAAGUCUCACCUAUAAUUAAACUAGCAAUUUGUUGUUUAAAACUUAAGAGAUACUUUCCUGUAUUAUACUCAUUCAAUUUUAUUGUCCUCCCACUUGCAAUGGUGUCUCUCUUCCCCUGCCCCUUCCCUUCCUAUGUAAAGGUUGAAACAAGAAAACAGAAGAACCGUGAAAUGUCCUAUAAAAAAUAGCGCGUAAAAAGAAAGGCCAGAAACUAAAGACCCACCCAGAAAGAGGCAAAAUAAAUGAAUGCGCGCCUAAGCUGUCUUAAGAUGUAACCUCCCAAGUUUAUUGUAAGUGUGAUUCGAUAGAUGGGAUUUCAAGAAUUGUUUUGAACCAAAACGUAAGAAUUGUUAGAGAAGGCAAAUAUUAAUGUUUUCAUCUUGCAUAUUUCAAGAAUUGCUAAUAUCCAUAUUUCUAUUCAAUGCUAACGAACCGCUCACAGGUCGAGUCACAUGGGACAGUGCUAUCAACAAAUUGGAAGGAUGUGGGUUCGAAGAAGGUAAUAGGAAGCCCUCCGGACGGCAUGGAGCUUAAGAAGUGGGAAUACUGAAAUCUUAUUGUAAUUUUCAUGUUUUGUCACGCUUUGUGUUGCCAUCAGUUACUUGGUUGUCUUAAUAUUUUUGUCCAAUAAGGUUCGUAUUUCAUCUAGAUCAGUGGCGGAUGCAGAAAUUUUGAAUUAGUGGGGCACAAUCCCGAAUAUAGGAGAUUGGGCUGGGCUGGGCUGUAGCCCAGUCCCCUCCCCAGCCCACUUAAUAGUUUUUAGGGCAAAAAUAAAUAAAAAUAAGUAAAAAAAAAUUUAUGUGUACAUUUAAUUUUUUUACAUGUUAGCCCAGUUUGUAACGUAUUAGUUUAACUUGUAGUCCGAACCUAGAUACGUCCCUGACAGAAUCAAAAUUGCAAAAAUGUUGUAAAAAACAAAAAUAAAAAAAGUUCGAUAUGCAAUAGAAUGGUUUAAUACUCUAGAUCAUCAGUAUUGAAUUUAGACAUGAAAAGUAAAAUUUUAUAAAAUGAAAAGAAGUUAUACAACUUUGAUUAUCAAAGACCAUUCUCCAAUAUUUUAUUAUUUUAUUUCCCCAAAGGUCAAAUGAAAUUUUCUCAAUCCAAUAAAACACACGGUAGCAUAUUGACUUUUAUGACUUUUUAGUUUAUUUGCUCACUACUCUCUCUCUUCUUUCUUUGUUUCAUCCUUUACCCUCUCUUUGCACGUUCAGUUCUCUCACUUUCUUUUUACAUGAUAAUUACAGACACAAUACAAUACACAUUUCUUUGAACGACAGUCAAAUAAUUCAAUACCUAUAUGUUGACUGUCCAAAAAUCUUUGUCCAACUCAAUUCCUGAAUCGUGAUAUCACCAAUCACGGACGGAUUCAUUAUGGGACUUUUUUAAAAAAAAAAUACAUACACAAUACACACAACUAAACACAUUUAUAGUAUGCUAUGUCGGUGGAAGAGUGUUCAUCAACAUAAGAAGAAAAAGAAUGGAUUUUGAUUUUCUAAGGGAAGGGAACUAGGGAUGGGUUUCGAUUUUUCCAUUUGGGCACUGGAGUCUUCUCCUGGAUUUUGCUGAAGAAGACUGAAGGCCAAAAGAAAAAAAAAAAUCAAUUUCUAGAAGUUGUGGGUCACGUGAUCCACUAGGACCCACUGUGGGUCCGCCUCUAAUCUAGAUAAUUCCAAAGCAAAAUCUUGUUCCAUAUAGGUAUUUGUAAAUUUUUGUGUUUUUAUAUUUAAAGCGAUAAUGUUUGGUUGAGUAAUGUAAUUCUUCAGUACUAAUCUGACAUUAGUUGAUUGAUCAUUUUAAAAUAAGACUUGAUUGAAAUGAUAUAUUAAUUAAUCAUCUAAAUAUCACAUCAUCCGUAUCAUCCUAUGAUUAAAUUGAUGAAUAAACUUCUUAUAAUAUUUCGUUUACCAUACGUUUUGAAAUAUUGUCUUAUAAGUUAUCGCCGUUGUUGAUAACUCAUUUAAACCCAAAAGCCACAUAUUUAGCCCUUGUUUGAGUCCUAUUUUUGUGGAGAAAAUGAAUUUUUGAAUAGUAUAUUGAUGAGAAAUGUGUGAUUAAAAAAUAAGAAAUUUUUUUUAUUUGCGUAUAAUAUUAUUUUAUUGAAGAAUGUGUGGUUGAAAUGUUAUCAAAUUAUUAUUGAAAAAUGUAUUUUGCUGAAAAAAUGGGGCUCAAACAAGGGUUUAUAUUUUAAUUGUAAUUCAUUUAAAACCCAAAAGGAUUUAACCUUUAUAAAAUUAAAACACAUUUGGUUCAAUCUUUUUCUUUAUUUUCACAUGUAUUAUUUUCUUUAUGGUGGUUAUAUUGCCUUUCUAAUUUCUUAUGAGUGCACAAUAUUUUAAUUGCAUAAAAGAUUAUUUAACUUUUAUUUGUUGACUUUUUUCAUUGUGUUCUUUUCUUCCGGCCUGUUUGAUAGGCUUAUUUUUCCAUGAAAAAUGGAAAAAUCCAAAUGGUAUGUUUGAUGGACAUAAUUUUUCAUAGAAUUGAUUUUCCAAUUAACCCCACACAUGAACGCAUUUUCUUGGUGUUUAAGGAAUUGAUUUUCCUUUGGUUUUGGUAGAAAAAUUGGGUUUUCCAGCUUCUUCUUCCUUUUUUUUUUAAAUUUUUUUAACAAUAAAAACAAAUUUUAUCCAUUUAAUUAACAAUUUUCAUGAAAAACAAAAUCAAAUAAACAGCAAAAAAUCCAAAAUUUCAAUAUUUUUCAGUUGAAAAAUUAUACCAAUCAAGACAUUUAUUGGCAAUUCCCAGUAAAAUAAGUUUUAGACAAUUUAAUUCUCUGUAACUCUUUUUUUUUUUUUUUUACCAAAAUUUCAUUCUUACAAUCAAAUGAACAUAUGGGGCAUGUUCGUUUUGACCGAUCCUCCAUGGAAAAUGGAAAAUCCACCUUUUGGCCUGUUUCAUUGCAAUAAUUUUCUUGACAAUUUAUUUUUCUUCCCACGCUCCUCCCAUGUGAUCAAUUUUCCUUGGUUUUGUGGAAAACCAAUUCCCAUGGGUUUGGUGCUAAUUGGUUUUCCACCUGGUUUUUUUAUUUUUUUGGUAAUUGGAACAAAUUCUAUUUUCAAUUAUAACAAAUUAUCUCUUUAAUUAAUAAUUAUUAUGAAAAACAAAAAUAAAAAAUUUCAACAUUUUUCAGGUGAAAAAUUAUACCAAUCAAACACAUUUAGCCCUUCUUUGAUACCCAUUCUUUGGAGAAAAUGGAUUAUUCUACAGUGUUUUGACAUAAUUUCAAUCAUACGUUCUUCAAUAAAAUAACAUUACACGCAAAUUCAAAACUUUUUCUUAUUUUUUUAACCACACAUUUUCCAUCAAUACACUAUUCAAAAAUUUAUUUUUCCCCUCAAAAUGGGGCUCAAACAAGGGCUUAAUUAACAAUUUCCAAGAAAAUAAAUCGUAGGUAAUUCAAUCUCCUGAAUUUAGUUUUCUUUCUACCCAAAUUCGAUUUUUACAAUCAAAUAGACCCUUAGUAUAUUAUCAAUUUGUACUUCUUAUUUUCGAUGAUUUUUUUUAUCCAAAAAUUAUUUUAAGAUGGCACAAAAAGUAUUUUAAAUAAGAAAAAAAUAAUGACAACAAAAUUGUGUUUAAUAUUUUGUUCGUUAUUUUGAAGCAUGUUAACAGAUACUUUGAAUGACAAUCAGUGUCAGCGAUAAUAUUUACUAAUUAACCAAAUUAUAUUGAAAUCAAGAUCUAGUUCAAAUUAAGGACAUUUAAUGCAAUUAAAAUGUUGCGUGUAUAUAAUUCUCUUUCUUAAAUUCUAAUCGUUAAGAUAUAUAUCAUCAAUAAUCAUAUAUAAACUUAAUAAUAUUGAGAUUGAUGUCUAGUUUAAAUGGUAAGAGAAAAUCUUUACCAGAUUAGAUACUUGAAUUUGAGUUUUAUUUGUAGUUGCAGGGUGGAGUUGGGAAGGGUGAAAAAUAAAAUAAAAUGAAACUUAAUAAUAUUAUGGGGAAAUUAAACUAUAGCUCCCUAACCUAUUUCUUGGUAACAAGUUGGUUUCUAGACAUUCGUUAUGGUUGCAGUAUUAGUCCAACGUUUAAAACAAUCAAAAUAAUUAUGUGACAUUAUGAAAACAUGACUCCCUUCAAAUUUAUAGGUACCGGUUUAUUUUAGUAAGAUAUUUUAUGGGACUCACAACAUUUAUCUAUUUUACACAUUUCAUAAGAUUCAUAACUUAUUAAUAUCUUAAUUACAAAUUUCAUUAACUUAUAAAAUAUACUAAAAAUCUAGCUACAUCAAAAUGGGGCAGACCACUAAUUUUUUUGUUUUUUUUUUGUUUUUAUCAUGUAAAUAAAUUUAUAUAGAUCAAAAUUGGUUACAUAUACUCCGGGCAUUCCCGAGCAAUCAAAGAUGAAGCAUAAUUACACAACUAAUUUCAGCAAAAUUAAAAAAUCAGCCAUAUUCUCACCUUCGGGUUUCCUUGCCUUGAUGGCCAGGACCUUAUACAGGCUGGCAUGGGAUGAGAAUCAGCUUACUUUGCCCCCCCAGGGCACAUUCGAGUUGGUGGAUCAAUCACCUUUGGCGCGCUCGCAACCUUAGCGUGGAGAGUUCGAUUCCUGGUGGGAACUUGUGAUUCAAUAAAGGGGCAAUUUAUUGGUGGAUCAAUCACUACGGAAGAAAGCUCUCUUGAGGCCAGGAGUUUAGACCGGGUGAGAACCUGUGAUUCAACAAGGGCACAACCUGCGGUUUACCUCCGCUAGUUACUGAGGGGCCGGUGGCUAGGGGUUCAGAAUUUAGUCUGGCGAAGAUGGGACACUUGGGUAUCAAAAAAAAAAAAAAAAAAAGAAUCAGCUUACUUUUCUUGCCAAUAUCUACUUUUGGUGAAAAUUUUCCUUUGAUUUCUGCUGAUUUGGUAAGAAUGACUUGCUGCAUGAGUAUUGGUUUAGGUGACCCAAUAACAGGAGCUUAUUACUUUGUGCCGUAUGGAUUGGUAGGUAUACAGCAAGUUGGAGGCUAUUUUUUGAAAAUGUAUUUUGAUGAAGAAAAUAUUUUGAAUGUGUGGUUAAAAAAAAAUGUAUUUUAAAAAAAUGAGAAUCAAAUAAAGUUAUGGAAAUGAUCUCUAUACCAUCCACGGUUGACGUGGCAAAGUCUAUAAUUUUUUAAAUUAUAAUUCAACGUUGAAUUGUAAAAAAUUAUGAACUUCAACUACUCACGUAGAGUGAGAUCCGUGCGGGACUCAUUAAGUGAAUAAAAAAAGUCAAAAAAAUUCCUGCCCAUAGCAGGGUUGGUGAGUACGAAAUCAUUUCUGCAGUAGUGCUAGAAAUCCAAGGCACACCAGGGCGCCUCGCUAUUGGAGAGGGCUGUCAGCGGAUGAGAGGAUUAUGAAAACCGCCACUGGCCAAAUAAAAAGAGCGCCACCCUAUUAGUAGCCUCCCUCGAGUAGGGGGGGCGCCUGCUUUUUGGAUUAUUCCUCAUUUCUCUUUUUUUUUUUUUUUUAAAGAGUUGUCCCAACUUGUGUCAAACUAUAUUUUCGUCCCUGAACCUCCGACCUCUCAGCUGUUUAGGGAGGUAAAUCGCAGGAUGUGCCCUUGUUGGUUCUCAGGUUCCCACAUGACUUUUCCUCCUUCCCCAAAAGGAGCCUCCUCAUGAUUAAUACACCAAUAAUUAUUAUUCCUCAUUUCUGAAGGGGACGAGGAGGUUAUUAAACUUUUGGAAGCUAAAGCUUGCUUGGAGUCUCUCUCACUCGCGGAAUGGAAACUAUCGUUCUUUAUCCGUCCCCGGGCAUGGGGCAUCUGAUUUCCAUGGUGGAGCUCGGGAAGUUCAUACUCAAGCACCAUCCUUCCUUCACCAUUGUAAUCCUCACAGUUCCUCCAUCAUUCAACACUGGAUCGACCGCAUCCUAUAUCGAUCGAGUUUCUGCUGCCACCAAGUCUAUCACCUUCCACCAAUUACCAUCUGUUCCGCUUGAACUCGACUCUUUCUCCUCCAUGGAAGCUGUUAUUUUAGAGUCCAUUCGCCUAAGCAACCCUCAUGUUCACCAAGCCCUUCAACACAUCUCUCUCACCACCACCAUCACCGCCCUCAUAAUCGACUUCUUUUGUACCCCGGCUUUCUCCAUUUCCACCAAACUCGGAAUCCCAACGUAUUUUUUUUGUACUUCAGGCGCCGCUUCUCUCGCGUUUACCCUUUACUUGCCCACAAUACAUCGGAACACCAUUAAAAGUUUCAAAGACCUGAACUCAAUUGUUCAUGUUCCUGGCUUACCGCCAAUACCAUCGACGGAUGUGGCAAAACCGAUGCUUGAUCGAGCCUCGACUGAAUAUGCAAGCUUUUUAGAAUUCUCUCUCCAUUUGCCAAAGUCAGCUGGAUUUAUUGUAAACUCAUUCGACUCCCUCGAACCAAAAACUCUUAAAGCAUUAUCUGAAGGAUCUUGCUAUCCUGAUGGCGAUACACCUCCUGUUUUUUGUGUAGGACCAUUGUUGGCGUCCGAAGAUCGACGAGGUGUAACUGAUGAUGUGCAUGAAUGUUUGAAAUGGCUCGAUUCUCAGCCUAGCCAAAGUGUCGUAUUCUUGUGUUUUGGGAGUCUUGGUUUGUUUUCAGACAAGCAGUUGAAAGAAAUAGCAAUUGGGUUGGAGAGAAGUAAGCAGAGGUUCUUGUGGGUGAUCCGCUCUCCACCCUCUGAGGACAAGAGCAAGCGCUAUCUACCUCCUCCCGAACCGGAUUUGGAUUUUCUUCUUCCUAUUGGAUUCUUAGAUCGGACAGAGGACCUGGGUUUCGUGGUGAAGUCGUGGGCACCACAAGUGGAGGUGUUGAAUCAUAAAUCUGUUGGAGGGUUUGUGACUCAUUGUGGGUGGAACUCGAUAUUGGAAGCAGUUUGCGCGGGCGUCCCCAUGGUGGCUUGGCCUCUUUAUGCUGAACAAAAGUUCAACAGGGUGGUGCUAGUGGAAGAUUUGAAAUUGGCUCUGCGAAUUAACGAAGCCGAGGAUGGGUUUGUCACUGCUGAGGAGGUCGAGAGUCGAGUGAGAGAGAUGAUGGACUCAGACACAGGUGAGUCGCUCCGGAAGCGCGCCAAAGAAAAGGAGGCGGAGGCAAAGGCAGCGACAAGUGAAGGUGGUUCCUCCACUGUUGCCCUGGACAAGUUAAUCAAGUCAUGGAAACUGGAUUGAUUAUCGAUACAACGAUGCCUGAAACUGUCCAACGACUGAGUUCUUGAAUUUCCAAUCUUGCAAGAUUAUUGUGCUGUGUAAGUAUGUUCAUGCUCCAUUAAAGCAUGUGAAAUGUGUUUGUGAUAUGUUUUAAAAACCUUUCUUGGUAAUGUUUUUCUUUAAAGUCGAAUCUUUUGUUGUGUAGAAAAGAAUUAUAUUUAUUAAUCAGUGCCACAUAUAAAAUCUUCCAUGGUUUAUUUGAACCUGAAAUUAUUUAUCCAGGGUCGAACAUUUUAUGCCUGUUAUCUGGAUCAGAAAUGCAGUGAAUUGGACCAAUUUUUUUGUAUUAUGCCAGUGGGGCAGGUGACAGGGUUUAGAGACGGAGAUUGCGGGACAGUAGUCGGUUGAUGCUUUAUAUAUAUAUACAUAAAUUGUUCAAUUGGUGUUUGACAUGUGUCCUCUUGUUUAAAAAUCUUGUUCCCAGCCCUAUUUAUGUAGCAUAUCUCAAAUUUUUCUCCAUAAAAGGGAAAAACAGAAUGCUUUUUUACUAUGGACAAGUUGCUUUUGAAUUGACAAAUAUGAAUCUGUAUCUCUCUUUGUGCCAUAUAGCAAUUAUGAAAGAAACUUCAAUAGGGCGGUUGCACUGCCACAUGUGGUACGACCGUCCUAUUAGGUUGAGCCACCUCGACGGGUGACCUCUUGUUUAAAAACCUUGUUCCCAACCCCAUUUAUGUAGCAUAUCUCAAUUUUUCCCCAUAAAAGGGAAAAACAUAAUGCUUUUUUACUACGGACAAGUUGCUCUUGAAUUGACAAAUAUGAAUCCAUAUCCCUCUUCGUGCCAUAUAGCAAUUAUGAAAGAAACUUCAAUAGGGCGGUCACACUGCCACAUGUGGUACGAACGUCCUAUUAGGUUGAGCCACCUUGGCUGGUGGCUUUCCACACACCCCCGAGGUGUGUGGGUCACCCGUUGAAGUGGCAUCUCGACAUUGGGUUGGUGCACCCACCUUACUGAAGAUUCUCUCAACAAUUAUCCAGCAAUAGUUGUCCCGGUAUAUGUUUAUAUGUUAAGCAAUUUUGAAAUACCUACCUGAACCUUUCACUCUGAUUGCCCUAAUUAUGGUCCAGCCUUUUGGUUUAUUUACUUUUUGUAGAAAUUAGGUUGCUGAAUUUUGUGAAGCCCAAAAUAUGUGGGCUGUAUGCGAUCGAUUCUAUUAUAAAUGUGGCCGAAAUUGAUGAUCCAAUAAGAUGAAGAAUCCAGUAUUAUGGUAAAAACGUUUUUGUUAAACAUGCCUUUUAAUUGAAAAUGCAUNNNNNNNNNNNNNNNNNNNNNNNNNNNNNNNNNNNNNNNNNNNNNNNNNNNNNNNNNNNNNNNNNNNNNNNNNNNNNNNNNNNNNNNNNNNNNNNNNNNNNNNNNNNNNNNNNNNNNNNNNNNNNNNNNNNNNNNNNNNNNNNNNNNNNNNNNNNNNNNNNNNNNNNNNNNNNNNNNNNNNNNNNNNNNNNNNNNNNNNNNNNNNNNNNNNNNNNNNNNNNNNNNNNNNNNNNNNNNNNNNNNNNNNNNNNNNNNNNNNNNNNNNNNNNNNNNNNNNNNNNNNNNNNNNNNNNNNNNNNNNNNNNNNNNNNNNNNNNNNNNNNNNNNNNNNNNNNNNNNNNNNNNNNNNNNNNNNNNNNNNNNNNNNNNNNNNNNNNNNNNNNNNNNNNNNNNNNNNNNNNNNNNNNNNNNNNNNNNNNNNNNNNNNNNNNNNNNNNNNNNNNNNNNNNNNNNNNNNNNNNNNNNNNNNNNNNNNNNNNNNNNNNNNNNNNNNNNNNNNNNNNNNNNNNNNNNNNNNNNNNNNNNNNNNNNNNNNNNNNNNNNNNNNNNNNNNNNNNNNNNNNNNNNNNNNNNNNNNNNNNNNNNNNNNNNNNNNNNNNNNNNNNNNNNNNNNNNNNNNNNNNNNNNNNNNNNNNNNNNNNNNNNNNNNNNNNNNNNNNNNNNNNNNNNNNNNNNNNNNNNNNNNNNNNNNNNNNNNNNNNNNNNNNNNNNNNNNNNNNNNNNNNNNNNNNNNNNNNNNNNNNNNNNNNNNNNNNNNNNNNNNNNNNNNNNNNNNNNNNNNNNNNNNNNNNNNNNNNNNNNNNNNNNNNNNNNNNNNNNNNNNNNNNNNNNNNNNNNNNNNNNNNNNNNNNNNNNNNNNNNNNNNNNNNNNNNNNNNNNNNNNNNNNNNNNNNNNNNNNNNNNNNNNNNNNNNNNNNNNNNNNNNNNNNNNNNNNNNNNNNNNNNNNNNNNNNNNNNNNNNNNNNNNNNNNNNNNNNNNNNNNNNNNNNNNNNNNNNNNNNAUUAAAAUCUAAAUCCGAUACCUUACAACCUUUAAGGAGUAGAAUACAUCGAUUGAAAAUCAAACUAGUAAGAAGAUUAAGAGCCUGUUUGGGAGCGAUUUUGAGAAUUGAUUUUUUGACCGUUAGGAGAAAAGUGGGGUUCACCUGUGAGAGAAGAAGUCAAAUACGACGGCUGGAAUUGUGAAAUAACGGUCAAAAAAUCAAUUUUUGGGGGAAAAAAAUCACUCCCAAACAGGCUCUAAGAUUUUAAGGACUGUCAAUAGACUUGAGUUUUGCAAUAUAGGAUUUGAUCAAUACUGCUGUAAACAUGGAAAUCUGAGGCAUAGAACUGUGACCUAACUCCCCAACAAAAUGGAAUUACUAAAAGAGUAAACAGAACAUUCUUGAAGGGAUAAGAUGCAUGUAGAUUAGUUCAGGCUUGUCAAAAAUAUUCUGGAAAAAGGCAAAAAAAUUGCUUGCCACCUAAUAAAUAGAUGUUCCUCUAGCUCCCUAAAAAACAAAGUUCUCGAGCAUGUCUGGUCAGGAUCAAUGCUUGACUAUUCGUACCUUAGAACUUUUAGAUGUGUAGCUUAACCACAUCAUAGUGACUCCAACUUGUAUCCUAGACCCUAAAGUGUGUCUUCUUAAGAUAUGGUGAGGGGGUUAAAUGACAUAGACCGUGGUUAGGGGAUAAAUGUUAUAAUAAGUAGGUUAGUGAUCUUUAAUUAAGAUGAUUUCCCAUUCCUUGGUGACAAAAUUGGAAGAAAAAUAGUUUAUAUGAUUUCAUUAUUACUGAAAUUAACCUUGAUAAGCAAGUUAUUGAUGAUCGGACUUAGUUUAAGGUGAAACAACUUCAAACAAAGCCACGGAUAAUUGCAGAUAAUGAAAUUUUGAAUGAUUAUCAAGGCUUGAAUCCUGUACAUGAGCUGCAUUAUCAGCUAGCUAGGAGUAGAUAAAUGAGACAAAUAAGAUCUCUUUCCAGAUUUCAGUAUGCAGAUUAUGCAUUUGCGCAGUUUGAAACUGAUCAUUCUGAAACAGAACCACCCUCUUAUAAAGAAGAUAUAUCUUGUAAGAAAUCUGCUAAGUAUCCUGCAGCAGCAAUGGAAGAUUAAUGUAUUCCCUACAUAAGAAUAAUACCUAGAAUUUAGUAGAAAAACCUAUAUAUUGCAAACUUGUUGAUUGUAAAUAGGUUUACAAAAUUAAUGAGGAUGAGCCGAAAUCAAAUGACAAGAGAUAUAAGGCAAAACUUGUAGUGAAAAGUUUUACACAAAAAGAAGGAAUAGACUACAUUGAAUUUCUUCACCUGUUGUUAUAUAUACUUCUAUUAGAGUAUUGCUUGCCAUUGUAACUCAAUUUGAUUUAAAACUAGAACAAUUUGAUGUGAAGAAUUUCUUCAAAUAUGGUUCCCCAGAUGAAAUCAUAUAUAUGACUCAGCCAAAAGAAUUUGAAAUGAAAAAGGAAAAAGAACUUAGUGUGUCUCUUGAAAAAUCCUUGUAUGGCUUAAAACAGGCUCGAAGGCAAUGGUAUAAAAUAUUCGAUUAUUUUGUACAGAGCAUAAAAUUCAAGAAAUCUGAAUAUGAUCCUUGUUUUAUUUCAAAAGAGAUCAAGAAUUUGAAUUCUUCUAUCUCCUCUUAUAUGUUGAUAACAUGUUACUAAUUGGUCAAAAUUCUGUUACUCUCAGCUCUAUAAAAGAAAAGUUGAAAUUUAAGUUUGAAAUGAAGGAUUUAAGACCUACUAGAAAGAUUUUAGGCAUGAAAAUAAAUAUGAACAGAAUUAAAGAAAAAUUAUUUUUAACACAAAAAACUAAUAUUGAAAAUGGGGUUAAAAAUUUCUCCCUUUAUGAUACUAAGCUUGUUAGUUUACCUUUGUUUAGUUGUGUGAAAUUAUCUGUUGAUCAAUCACCUAAAAUUGAAGAUGAAUUUAAAAGAAUAAUGGAUUUGCCAUAUGCUACGCUGUUGGAUCUAUCAUGUAUGAAAUGGUAUGUUCUAGACUAGAUAUAGCUUAUGUUGUAAGUGUGUUAAGCAAAUUCAUGAAUAACCCGGGUGAGCUUCAUUGGAAAGCUAUGAAAAAUUUGAUUAAAUACUUGAAAGGCACAUGUCAAUUAAGACUUAUGUUUAAAAUUGAUAAAGAUGGCUUUAAAUUGAUUGGCCAUGUUGACUUUGAUUUUGCUGGAAACUUAGUUAAUAGGAAGUUUAUAACUGCAGAUUUUUAUGUGAUAGAUAAUACAUGCAUUAUCUGAAAAUCUCAACUUUGGAAAUUGGUUGUUUCAUCAUCAAAUGAAGCUGAAUAUAUUGUUGCUACUAAGGCAGCAAACGAAUGCUUAUGGUUGAAAGGCUUAUUAAAUGAAUUAGGACCCAUGGAAAAUCAGGUAAAUGCUAUGUUCUAGAUAAUCAAAGUGUCAUUUUCUUGAGUAAAAAUUCAGUUUUUAACGAUAGGUUCAAAAAUAUAGAUGUUAAAUUUCAUUUUAUUAGAGAUAUAAUUAAAAGAGGUGUCAUUAAGCUGACCAAACUUUCGACUAAGAUAAAUCUUGCUGAUGUAGGUACAGAGGUAAUAUCACUUAGUUAGUUCAUUGAUUCUCUGAGACAAUUGAAACUUGAAAUUUGCUAAUUUUUCUUUUCUUUGUGAACAAGUAGUAAGAGCACGUGAAGUUGUGUUGAUUAAGUUGGAAUCCAUUAUAGUACAGUCACAAAUUGUAACAAAGGUGAAGAUCGUAAAAAUUGGGUUGCUAAAUUUUGUAAAGUCCAAAUAUGCGGGCUGUAUGCUAUCGGUUCUACUAUAACUAUGGCCCAAAUUGAUGAUUCAAUAAGCUGAAGAAUCCAGAAUUAUGGUAAAAAUGUUUUUGAAGAAUCUAGAAUUAUGAUAAAAAUGUUUUUGUUAAACUCGCCUUUUAAUUGAAAAUGCACUUUUGUUGGAUUACUGACAUGGCUGGUCUUGCACUGUUGGAUGAUAUAAUUAGCUCUGUCUCAUAUAAAGUCGAGGCUUGUGACUUUAGGGUUUCAUUCUGAAAAACUCGAAAAGCUUAUUUUGUUUCGUCUUCUCCAUGUAGUUCUUAUUGGUUAUUCUCUUUGGAAAUACUUAGUGUUUUUAGUUCUUGAAAGGGAGUAAACAUCAAUAUUUCUCUUGUGAGAGUUGUUAUUGAUGUUUUGAGAGGAUUUUGCAUAAACAAAUGAAGAAAUAAAGUGUUUACAAAUUUGGUUGAAAAAAAGUGUUGACACGAUUCAGACAUUGAUUUCCAAUGAUUUUAAAUCUGUGUUUGAUUGGUGCAGAUGUUACUUUGCCAACAAACUUUAUAAAUCAACUUUUUACGUAUAGCAUAACUCAAUAAAGACUCGCCCCGUCCCUGAUGCUACCACAUGUCCUUUUAGAUAUCUUUGGGUCAUUUUCUUUUUCAGCUUUUCAUCUACAUUUGUCCUUUCAGACAUAAACACGUAUAGUGGAAGUUGGUGACUUUCUUUCUUCUAGUGCAUGUUCGAUUUACAAUGUCAAACUAUGAAAUCCCAUCCUUGAAAGCCCGAACAAGCCCACAUUUGAUAGCAAACAACAUAAGAACAUUAGACAACACGUGUUACAGAGGCAAGCAAUUUCUAGUAACGGAAACAGCUGACUCAGUACAUGUUGUAAUGCCAAUUUUAUUUCUCCAUUUCAAUAAGGUAAUAUUAGCACACAGAUAUAAUGUCUUCGUGCAACUUUCCAAUUUGACAAAAGAGGAGUGUCGGAAUGCUCCCACGUACCCAAACCAGGUCCAUAUCUAUCGCCCUGAUGUUUUGAGAGGAUUUUGCAUUUAAAAAAAAAAAAAAAGGGUUUCGUGAUGAGCUGACCCUUAAACAAGUAAAUAUUACGGUUCAUACUUGCUUGUAUAAUACAAAAAAUUAGCUUCCUGAUUUUGUUUUGGUUCAGGGUCGCCAUAAUUAAACUUAAAGUAGAUUUAAAACACCCAAUGAAAUCUCGGGCAUGUCAUCAUCCGUAAAGCUAGAGCUUUACUCGUGUAUUGCUAGCAUUUCUUUUACUGUAAUAGACAAAUAAAAGUUUUAAAAUUUCAAAAUUAGUAUUUUGAUGAAAAAUGUGUGGUUACAAAAUAAGAAAAAUUUUGAAUUUGCGUGUAAUAUUAUUUUAUUGAAGAAUGUGAUUGAAAAUAAAAAAAAGAAAAUUAUAUUUUGAACAUAAUGGAGACCAAACAAAGCUAAAACCUUUUUAAUUUUUCAGUUUUCUUUUUUAGUUCAAUUACACUUUAUCCAUCAAUCCUACCGUUCCAAAAUACAUACUUCAAUAAAAAAAAAUGAGAUUCAAACAAGUUUUCUGUUUUAAUACAUAAUUAAAAGUAAUAAUUUUAUAGUGUAACUUAUUUCAAUUAAAUUAAUUUUUAUCAUUAUGGGUAGGGGUGUCAACGAGUCGAGCUGAAACUUUGGCUAGGGUUUUUUUUAUCCGAGUAAAAGCUCGACCAAAAAAUUAAGGCUCGAUCGGCUCGAUUUUCUGGAUUUUUUUUCUCCUCUUAGCUACCUCAAUUGGCAACAUAUUUUUUUUACUGGCCGGCUCAACUCGAGCUGACUCCCCGAAUUGGGGCUCGACCUGAGCUUUGGCUUCCUGCCUUCGAGUCUCGAGCCGGGUCUGCUCGAGCUUUUUCUGGUCAAGCCACGAACAGUCAAAGCCAGCGAGCCCUAUUUCCAUUCCUAAUUAUGAGGGUUGAUUUUAGACUAUAAAAGUAGGUGAUAUUUAAUUAGAAAACAUAAUCUUAACACACAACUUGGAAGAUGAAUUUUCACGUGAUAUAUCAUUUUUAAAGAUUGAACCACAAUCUUGAGAGUCCCCACCACCUCGCCCCUAGAGCUUUGUGAGGGAGGUAAAUCGCUAGAUGUGCUCCAACAGGUCAAGGAACAAGAGCUGCCUGUAUACUGCGCCUACAAGGAGUCCAAUUCCAUGUUUCAAGAAUCGAACCCCCACAUUGCGCUUGCUAGCAAGGCGUGGGAUAACCUCACUCCUGUCUUUUGAAUCACUAGGCUUUUUUUUUUUUAUAUCCAGGUAUCCCGAUAUAUCAUUUUUAUCUCUAUGUGAUGGUGCCCAUGAGGAAAAACUAAUGACGAGCUAUGUGAUUUUUAUUUUGGAGUUUUAUAGUGUUGAAAGUAUCCAAAUGUAAGAGAGGUAAUACGAUUUUAUGACAACGUCCGUUUCAUGAUUUUUUAAAACUUGCUCUUUAACUCUCUUCUUAUAUUUAUGUUAUUAUAAAAUUUUAUUUUUUUAUAUUCUUAAAUUUGUUAUGUUAAUAUACACAUAAAUCACUUAUUUCCCUCCAACAACUUUCGGAUAAUUUUCGAGUCUUUUUUUUUUUUUUACCCAAGUGUCCGCCUUACAGCGACUAAUCCUGUGGCCUACGAUCCAGCCUCUCUUCACGCAGAUCAGGUAAACCGCGGAUUGUGCUCCAAAUUGGCUAGGAUCUAAGAGCCCUCCCAACUGAACUGUCAAAGUGCCUAGCGAGUCAAACCCAUGUAUACGUCUUGUCUUCCAGGAGAACUCCUAUCUUCCAGGAAAUAUCUUGACUUCCAGGAGAAAGCCUGCCUUCCAAGAGCCCUAUGAAUCGAACUCGCGACCUCUGAAUUGCCCGCCUUAAAGAACUCCGUCCUUUGCCAAUUGGAAUGUGCCCCGGGGCGGAUAAUUUUUGAGUCUUGCUCAUAUCGGUGGUCAACCAAGAACUGACACUUAUCAACUUUUGUUGGUGUGAGGAAUAUUGUACGUAAUCACAUAAAUAAUACACAUUUUAGAGGAUUUACAACUUUUAUCAACUUUUCAAUCAUACAUUUCAUCAAUUUUUUUACUAAAAAUUUGAUUUUAGAUAAACCAAAACAUGGCUCAGUUCAAUAAAUUUCCUUUUUCAAAACGUUUGAUUCCAUGUUAUGAUAUACAUUCUGACAGGUAACUCAACCCAUCUACGCAAAUUUAGACACUUGAAAAGGUUUAUCCUAUCUUAGCGUGCCCUAAUGGACCAAGCCAAUCAUUUUUGAACGGCUUUUGACUUUUAUUUUGGAUAAGAGCUGUCAAAAAAAAUAAAAUAAAAUAAUAAUAAUAAUAAUAAUAAUAAUAAUAAUAAUAAUAAUAAUAAUAAUAAAAUGUAGGAAAAAUCAUUUGAUAGUAGAAAUCAAAUUGAAUUAAAAUAUUUUGUAAAUACAAAUCAUGUAAUAAAAAACUCUCUCUUUUAAUAAUAAUAAUAAUAAUAAUAAUAAUAAUAAUAAUAAUAAUAAUAAUAAUAAUAAAAUGUAAUGGAAAAAUCAUUUGAUAGUAGAAAUCAAAUUGAAUUAAAAUAUUUUGUAAAUACAAAUCAUGUAAUAAAAAACUCUCUUUUUAUAGAUAUCUAUGCACUAACUUGAGGGGAGUGUCAACAUGAGAUGUAUAGAUGGUGCAUCCCUAGAAUUACUCUUGAUUGUAGUUAGUUAGGAUAGUUUACUCAAUUCAUGUAAUUAAUAAAUGAAUAUCUUUGUCUUUUAGGUAGUUUCAUUUUUGGUUUUAUACGUGUAUCUGCCUUUAUAUAGUUUCCCAUUGAAGGAGAAGAAUAAGAAUGUCAUAAUAUUAUACGAGCACAUGUUAUAAAUUUGUGAGCUUUUGUGCAAGUUUUUUCAUUGUUACGGUUUGUAAGCAAAUAUUCAACGUGAAAGGAAGACCACACAUUAGUGCGAACAAUUCUAGAAGAAGAAAAUAAAUCAAUAGGAGAAAAACGAUAAGUAUAUGAAUCUUAUGUGGGUGAGCAAAAUUUACUGAAUGGUGAUCAAGUGUCUGAUGUGACUUGAAAAUUCUGCUCAUGCUUCUUCAUAUUCUCAUCUCCUGUAUGGUUUUGUGCUAUUUUUAUUUAAUUGGAAUAGGGACACGGAUCGAGGGAAUUACGACCGUCUAAUUUGUUCUGAUCAAACCAUCAAGGCAUUCAUGGAGGGGCCAAGCAAAUGUUCCUCUUAUGCACAAAGGGGUUAGGGUUAUCUUACUUCACAUGCAACGUCUCAAAUUACUGUGCAUUAGGCUUAAAGGUUAGCGUCGCUGCUGAUGAGAAUUCUUCAAAGAACCUUGUGAAUUUCCCGUGUCAGCUCACGCACAUUUUCAGGACAACAAGUUCACAUCAAUGUCAAGUAGAUCAUAUUAAUUAAAACUUGAUCAAGUGUUUAACAACAUAUACUGCAAAUGCGUUGUGGUGUCAUUAGACACAGAUAGAUAGCUAUAAAAUUUUUGUCAUAUUUUGUUAUUGCACAAUUGAAACAAAUAGCUUGAUACAAGAUAGAUCAUCAAGGGUCACGAUCAACAACGACAAACCACUUGAACUAUUAAACUAAUCAUUCAUAAUAUCGGUGAAAAGGACCUGUGCCUCUUAUUAUCUCGAGUUCAGCUCAAAUACUCGAUUUACUGAAGCUUUUCUAACACAAAAUUAAAUCGUCAAAUACCUUGAAUUCAAAAUCUUUUUAAAAGCUCGUCAAAUAUAUAAAGAUAACUAGAUCUACCAAUCAAAAAACGUCCACAUUUACAAGUAUAUAUAACCACCAAAAUUGUUUAAUGACUUCAAUAGUUUAUCAAGACACCAACUUUAAAAGAUUGAGACCAACUAAUUACUCUUUUAUGUAAUUCAAAACUAACACCCAAAUUGACUAAAAGAUAGACUAACAAUGUAAUUUUCAUUUUCUUCAAGAUAAUGCUACUUGUACGUCAAGUGGUGUCCACCCGAUAUUCACCAUCUUCACAUGGAGGGGGUCCACUUUGAAUAAAUUAUAUUUUAUUUGAAGCGGCCCUCCUCUACGUGAGAGGGGUGGACACCACAAUGUAUAUGCAGUAUAUGACCCCUUUUUAUAGCUAUUUAUCUGUGUCUAAAAAUCGUAACCACUCCUGCUCGGGCUUUUUUUGGGUCAAGCCACAGAUAGUCAAAGCCACCGAGCCAUAUUUCCAUUCCUAAUUAUGGGGGUUGAUUUUAGACUAUAAAAGUAGGUGAUAUUUAAUUAGAAAACAUAAUCUUAAUACACAACUUGGAAGAUGAAUUUUCACACGAGAUAUCAUUUAUAUCUCUAUGUGAUGGUGCCCAUGAGGAAAAACUAAUGGCGAGCUAUCUAAUUUUUAUUUUGAACUUGUAUAGUGUUGAAAGUAUCCAAACAUAAGAGAGGUAAUACGAUUUUACGACAACGUCCGUUUCAUUAUUUUUUAAAACUUGCUCUCUAAAUCUCUUCUUAUAUUUAUGUUAUUAUAGAAUUUUAUUUUUUAUAUUCUUAAAUUUUUUAUGUUAACCUACACAUAAAUCACUUAUUUCCCUCCAACAACUUUCGAAUAAUUUUUGAGUCUUGCUCAUAUGGGUGGUCAACCAAGAAGUGGCACUUAGGGUAUCUUCAAUGGUUGUACCAUUGCACCAUGUUGCACCAUUUUUUGGUGCAAAGUUGCUCCAAUGCAACAUCAGAUUUUGCACAAUUUUGGUGCAAAAUGGUGCAAAGUUUUAAAUGUCUCUUUUGCCCUUAUUUAACAUUUUCCAAAUAAAUUUGUAAGAUUAUUUAUGUCAUUUGUGCUAUAUAUUUUUUAAUAUAAUAAAUUAUUGUUAUUUUUAUUAAUAUUAAUAUUAUUUGUAUUUAAAAUAAAUUUUAAAUGUAAGAUAUAAUAAUCAAUUAAUUAAUUAAAAGACGAAAACAAUUUAAAACACAACAAACACGAUUAUUUAUUAAAGUUAAUACGAAAUAUAUUAAACAACGACAUACAUACGAUAAUCUAAUUUGAUUUCAUAUUUUCGUUGUUGUAGUGUUUUUAUUAAUUGUUCUGUAUUUUUUAUAUUUAUUAAUGAAUCUAAUCUUUUUUAACGGAAUUAUUUAUUUAGUAAUUUAUCUAUUUAUAAAAUAAUUAAAUAAAUAAUAUUUCAAAUAAAUAAAUUAUAAAGAAUAAAAAAAGGGAAGAAAAUGGUUAAACACUGUUCAUUUGGUGUAAUUUUUUGUGUAAUGAUUAGAGAUGAAUUUUAGCCCCUGUUUGGCCCCCAUUUUGUGUAAAUGAAAAUGGGUGAAAUAGUGUUUUUUGAAAAAUGAAUGGUUGAAAAAAGAAGGAAAAUUUUUCGAUUUACGUAUAAUAUUAUUUUAUGGAAAAUUGUGUGGUUGAAGAUAGAAGAGAAAAAUGAAAUGUAAUGAAAUGAAAAUUAUCAGGGACCAAACGUGGGCUAAGUUUGAUGCAAAAUUUGGUACAAAAUAAUGUAAAAUUUGGUGCAGAGUUGGAGAUAACCUGAUCAACUUUUGUCGGUGUGAGGAAUACUGUACGUAAUCUUGUGUCUAUACACACUAGUUUGUGAAAUUUAACUUGGAAUCCUCUUCUUCAAGUUCAAAGUUUUCUUAGAGUCUUGAGUUUUGCUAUCAUUCUCUUCAUAGAAUGGAAACUAUUGUUCUAUAUCCCUCCCCAGGCAUGGGGCAUCUGAUUUCGAUGGUGGAGUUCGGGAAGUUCAUACUCAACCACCACCCUUUCUUCACCGUUGCAAUUCUCACGGUGCCUCCAUCAUUCAACACUGGCUCAACCGCCUCCUAUAUUGACCGAGUUUCCGCCACCAACCCUUCCAUCACCUUCCACCAUUUACCUUCUGUUUCCCUUACAUUCGACUCUUUCUCCUCCAUGGAAGUUGUUAUUUUCGAGACCCUCCGCCUCAGCAACCCUAAUGUCCAACGAGCCCUUCAAGAGAUCUCUAGCACCAGCACCAUCACAUCCGUCAUAAUCGACUUCUUUUGCACCCCGGCUUUCUCCAUUUUCACCGAACUCGGAAUCCCAACUUAUUAUUUCUUCACUUCUGGUGUCUGUUGUCUUGAUUCUUUCCUUUACGUUCCCACAAUACAUCGGAAUACCACUAAAAGUUUCAAAGAUAUGAAUUCACUUUUGGAUAUUCCGGGGUUACCACCCAUACCAUCUUCACACAUGCCAGAUCCAAUUCUUGAUCGAUCCUCGGCUGAAUAUGCUUACUGUCUAGAUUUCUUUCUCCAUUUGCCCAAGUCAGCUGGAGUUAUUGUAAACUCAUUCGAGUCCCUUGAAUCAAAAUCUCUUAAAGCAAUAUCUGAAGGAUCUUGCAAUCCUGAUGGUCCGACACCACCUGUUUUCUGUGUAGGACCACUAUUGGCAACAGAACGAGGUAGAACUGGUAGUAUGGACGAAUGUUUGAAAUGGCUCGAUUUGCAACCAAGCCAAAGCGUCGUGUUCUUGUGUUUUGGGAGUCUUGGUUUGCUUUCAGGUAAGCAGUUGAAAGAAAUUGCAAUUGGGUUGGAGAGAAGCGAGCAAAGGUUCUUGUGGGUGGUGCGUUCUCCACCCUCUGAGGACAAGAGCAAGCGCUUCCUACCUCCUCCUGAACCAGAUCUGGAGUCACUACUUCCUAGUGGAUUCUUAGAUAGGACAAAGGACCGGGGUUUCGUGGUGAAGUCGUGGGCCCCACAAGUGGAGGUGUUGAGACAUAAAUCUGUUGGCGGGUUCGUGACACAUUGUGGAUGGAACUCGGUGUUGGAAGCAUUGUGCGCGGGCGUCCCCAUGGUGGCGUGGCCUCUUUACGCUGAACAAAAGUUCAACAGGGUAGUGUUAGUGGACGACUUGAAGUUGGCUCUGCGAAUGAACGAAUCAGAAGACGGGUUUGUCACUGCUGAGGAGGUCGAGAGUCGAGUUAGAGAGUUGAUGGACUCGAAGGAAGGUGAGUCGGUCAGAAAGCGCACCAAAGAAAAAGAGGCAGAGGCAAAGGCAGCUAUGAGUGAAGGCGGUACAUCCAUUGUUGCCUUGGCCAAGUUAGUUGAGUCAUGGAAAUUGCCAAGAUUAACGAUAUAAGUGAUGUGAGUAUCCGAUCUUGCAAGAUUUGUCAUGCAAUAUAUAUUAUUUACCAUGGAAUGUUUUAGCAAGAUGUGUUCGUAAUUCAUAUCCUUCACUGUAGUUGCGCAUAAUUAUGCUUUUCAAUAAAAAUUUCGAAAAUUUCUGAAAUACGAAGUAUCAUAUAAUAAUUAGGACCAGGCUACAUGACCCGCGCGGGUGACCGCACACACACAUACACGUAGGGUUGGUAUUUUUUUAUUCAGGUGGGAUCCGUGCGUCAUGUAAGGGUGCGGUCAUCCGUACGGUGAACGGCACGGGUCGUUUAGCAAAAUUCUAAUAAUUAUGUCGGGAAAAAAUUGUUCAAAUGUAUCUAUAUGCUUAACAGGUCUUUUGUGUAUGCCUAAUUCAUUUUUAUUUAAGCGAAAAUCUUAUACUUUUUGACGAAGGGGAGAGAAUUUAGUUACUAUAGAUGUGGAGGUGUAACUAAGUAGAUAAAAUCUUUAAGUUCAAGCCUCGUAUUUUCCAUUUAUGAAAAUUGACGUGGGUCCUUAGUGCCAAAGUGAAUUCGACCAAGAUAAAAUCUAAAUAAAUAAAUUUAUUAUCUCCUCAAUUUAUUCUUGUAAUUUUGUGUGGUCGGUACUAAAAGUGAAAUGCAUCAUUUGCCUUAUCUCAAGUUUCGACCCCAUAUGUCAGAGCUUAGCCACUUUAAGGACCAAGGGUGCCAUUUGUUUCAGUAGUAAAUAAUACUCUUAACCUAAGAAGUCGGUAUUUUACUUUGAUUAUUCAUUAUUGCGUACAAUCAGUCUUCAGUAAUAGUAAAAAAUGCCUCCUUGCCCCUCAUGGACUGAUCGAGUUAGUGGAAUGAAUGAGCGUGGAGGUCUUUGAUCACGAGUUCGAUUUCUCCUACCAAUACAUUCUCGGUUAAGCCUAUCGCACAUGACUUACCUAGUACAUUUACUUGGCUGUCAUGAUUUGCAGGUUAUUACGCCAGCCCGAGGGUUUACCCAGUGUGCACCCGAAGGGUAGUGGCUGCGGGUUCCCCCGUCAUAAAAAAAUAAUAAUAAUAUUAAAAAAUAAUAAAAUUAUUAUGCCUCCUUCAAACUUUAAACAUCAGUCCAAGAUGAGAAGCAAAAUUCAGUUUUAUAAAGUCCAACGUUUUAGAAUUGUGUGUUUAUUAGAGAUUUAAACAGUUAUUAUUGAAGAUUAGAUAAUAUGUAAUUGUAAUGAAGUCGAGGACCAACUCGCUCAUUUUUUAAUAAUAGAAAAAUAUCUAGCUGCAACGAUGAUACAUUGGAACCAAUACUACAACGACGAUAUGUUGGGAACUAGUGGAUAAAAAUAUUUGUACAAAAUUUUGUUGAUAAAAUGGUAUACUUACUCUCACAAAAGUAAUGGACCUCACGUGAAUUUAAAAAAUGUUGGCUUGUGAUCCCCAUUUCUAUUGUGAGUAGUGAGUAAGGGAGUUUGUAAAAAAAUAAAAAUAAAAUUGUACACGUAACAUGAUCCUGGACUAAUACUGCAACUUUUCCCAUUUAGUAAAGCAAAUUGAGAGUAGUGUUACAGGGAUAUAGUAACCCUUUGGUUAUCCACAAAAAUGUACAAAAGAAGGAAGUUCCCGUUUCUCCGAGUCCUCCAACUCUAUAAGUCGGUUCUCCAACUCAGUAGCUGUCAUGAAACCGUUGGCAGACUCAGUUAAACCCAAUGCCACCUUCACGUUCUUUGCUCUGCUUAGAGUGGCCAAGAGACACCCGCGCAAAUAGCCUCUAGAAUUGAGUUCCAACCGUAAUGCGUCACAAAUCCGCCACUCGCUGAGCCCAUGAAUUUACCACCAGCCCCUCUAUCUUUACUUUCCAAGAAACCUAUUGAAGACAAAAUCUAAAUAAAUAAACGUUAAAUACGAUAGUUAACUUUGUAGUGUAACGGAUAAUCAAGUCUUGUUGUUCUCAUUUCCUGAAAAUCGACCCACCAAUUUAUUAUAAAUUAUUCAAAUAUUUGUCUUUGACAGGAAAAAUUUAAUUCAACCACUGUAGGGAGGUGAAUAUAACAUUACAAGUAAUUAAACUUUUAAACGAAAGAAAACCUCGUGGCAGCAACGCAUCCAAGUCUGGCUCUACUGGUUGAGUAUUGGUUUUGUCAUCCGCGGGUGGAUUACGCACUACCCAAACAACCCUGUGGCCGCUAUUUUCCAACCAGCGGCCAUCUCCGCCAGCUGCACCGCCGUGAACAAUCACAUACUUCCAAAACACAGAAAAAUAAUACUUUUACUGGGCUGUAACUUUAACCAAUUCAAACACUCAUGUUCAACACUUUUACGGCCUCCAUCAUUGCUUGCAAUCAGAGGUCCAAUUAAGUAUAAACGAGGCAUUGGUCCAUUUGGGAUUGUUGUGUUUCCAACCUGGACCAUCCAUUGUUAAAGGCGUGCUUUGAAAAUCUGUAAAAAUAUUCGUCGAGGGAAGGUAUGAUAGUAAGUGAAUGAAAACGAAAUUUUAGGGAAAAAGAUAUUUGAAAUGUGGGAAAGAAAUACCAUUUAGGUAAUAUUUACAAAGGGGUUUAGAAAGCGUGUUUCCAAAAUGGCACUUUUCUUAGUGGAUGCUAUAUUGGGAUCGUGGCACUUGGCCUCUUGGUGACCAUCAGAUCUAAUUCUAGAUCUUCUGAUUUUAUAUCUAUCCAAGUGACUGUUUGGCUACACGGUUGAUUCAUUUUUCAUCUUCUUUAGGUUCGACGACUGGGCUUCCUUUUAGAGAGAGAACCUCAUUUUUAGUGUUAGAGCUUCUCAUUCUUGAUUCAAUAAAGUGUGUAAAUGAAUAGUUUGUGUAAAGAAUCUGUGUAAUUCGUUUGAGCAGUGGACGUUGGAGAUAGAACUAAGUGUUCUGCUAUGAUUUGUGGGUAGAUGGUGCUUUGAUCCAAAGAUUUUGGUUAAAGAUAAAUCUCUAUGACUUGAUCUUGUGAUUUUUGAACGUGUUGUAUUGUGGCUAUCAUAUUUUUUGCUUUACAAUGCAACCGAGUUUUAUCCAUUUACAAUGGAAACUCAACAGGGUAUUGGGCGAAGCGGUCGUCUUCGGCCAAAAAAACUCUUUUGUGUUGAUUUUUUAUUUUUGCAAUUUCUUUUAAAUGUUCUGUUAUUAGUUUUUAAAUCGUUGAUUAAUUUUCAGUGUUUCUCAACCUUUUCAAUGAUAUCAAAGCUUGGUUUUGUAAAUUGCAAUACCGGAUCGUCGAGCAAACUGUGGAUCUGAAAUCAACUUCAAAACUACGUGAACUUAAUUGAAGGAAACAGAGUUCUUUGAACUCAUUUGGUGAGACCUUUCCUAUAUCUCAUUGUUUGGUAAUUCCAAAUAUUAGAAUUUCUUGAUUUACGCUACACAAUUUCCCUCCCAAGAAUGGUCUUUGUCCAAAGGCUCUAAAGAGGCCUUGGGAAUCUAAGAUAAACUCGGUGCAGGGGUAUAGUUGGAGGAUCUUGCAGGAGAAAUCAUUGAAAUAUAGGAAUUGUAAUCUCUGUCUGGGAUUCUUUUUUAUACUGGAGUGAUAUGUUUACUGAUUGAGAAUAUACAUCCGUGUGCACUACUGCCGGCUUAACCCCUUUUUGUCAAGUAUCUUUUCACGUGUCUUCCGUUGGAUUUUUUGUUCAAACGAGUUUAUCGUUUUUGGAAUAUAUGAUGGCAACUGCUAAGUUUGAAAUAAACCAAUAUGAUGGAAGCGGAGAUUUCAGUAUGUCGAGUCAAAAGAUAAGAGCUAUCUUAAUGCAAUUAAAAUGUGCUAGAGCCUUAAAUGGUUCUUUGACAAAAGAUAUGACGACCUUAAAAAAGACCGAAUUGGAAGAAAUAGCACGGAAUACUAUCUUCUUGUAUCUUUUUGAAAAUGUGAUUAAAACCAUUGGAGAAAAUAAAACUAUUAAAGAACAUUGGACCGAAUUGAAGGCUCAAUAUGAGCUUAAAAUUGUUCCUAACAAAUGUUCUUUACUAAAAUAAUUCUUUUUCUUUUUAGAUGGAUCCUUCUGUUGAUCUAGAAGAAAAUUUAAAUAGAUUUACGAAAUUGAUCCAAGACCUUGCUAACUGUGAUGAAUGUCCAAACGAUAGAUUCAAUGAGUUCUUGUCAAUAACCAUGUCCGCUAAAUAGAAACCCAUUUUUAAGGAACUUGGAAAAAAAAAUUGGAAAUUUUCAAAAAAAAACCUUCUAAAUACUCCAAUAAUGCUCUCUAUUUUGGCUCUUCUUUUAUAUUUUUCUCAAUUAACAUUUAUAAAUUUCUCCUCAUAUUUUAUUUAAAAUAAUUUUUCUUAUGUCAAUAGCCAGUCAAUUUAACCGUUGUUUGAAGAGUUAAAGAAGUAGAAUAUUGAAAUUAAUAAUGCUAUUUAGCACAGUGAUGUUAGAAUAUCAAUUUAUGUAGUAUUAAAUAAUAGAAUCAAUGAAAUAUAGUGUUUUAACAAACUAGUGUUAGUAUCAGAUAGGCUAAAAUAUAUUGUGUUAGUACCAGAUAAACUAGUGUUUUAACAACAGUGAUGUUAAAUAACAUUACUCGUCGAAAUUUGUGACUUAUUAAAUGCAAUCAUUAUACAUUAAGGCUAGAAAGAAAGUUUAGUUCUCUAAAUUUAGAAAGUCAAACUCACUCUUUAUUUUAAAAAGUUAAAAUAAAAAAUAAAGAUUAACAACCUAUUUGAUGCUCAUUUUAAUUAGUUCUUUUUUUUUUAACACAUCUUAUUUUUCUACAGUACUUGCUUGGUUAUGCGGUACAACCACAAAGAUUUUUGUCAGAGAUGGAUAUAGGAAUGAUAAUGCCGUUGAGCCUCGAUGACUAUUUUGCCCUUUGAUGCAAUUUGAAUGCACUUGCGAGGGCCACAUAUGAAGAUAUUGAAGAGCAGAAAUGAAAAGUGGGAAAAACUAAAAUUGAACUGACAACCACAAACGCAUAUGAAUUGAUUGCCCAGCCCUGCUACUGAGACAGGCUCAACCUCAGCCCCUUUUUCACUUACUUUUUUUUUCAGAUCUAAGGGUCGAGGUGUUGCUAUCUCAGCUUCUUGUUUUUUAGCCUGGUUUUGCACAUGGCUGAGUAGCAUUUUUCAUUGAUUGCCACCGUCCUUUUUGUCUAGCAUGGGCCCAAACUUGCUAAAAAAUUGUUGGAUUCUUAAAAUAUUCAUAAGCCAUUCACACAUAUCAAGGCAGUUCACUCUCAAACUUGGAUUCUUGGAACGUCCCGAUAGUAAAAACUGGGCAAACUGCACGCCUUGUCACUUUAUAUAUGACACCAUUUCGAUUUAUUUCGUUACCACAUCCAUAUCGAUUAGUUUAUCUAGCAUUGCUGGCACCAUUGUGCUGCAUCCCUCUCCCGGAAUUGGCCACUUGAUUGUUGGGAAUUUAUUUAAACGUGCACAGUGAAAAUAAAACAAUUUUUAAUUUCCACCAGGAUUUAUCUUUGUAUUUAGAUAGAAAUUUUACAUUUUACGAGAUCUGCAAAUUCUCUUGCUUUUUUUUUUCCAACAACCAUGGUCUGUUACCCAUAACUGUCCAAUUAUCUAGCUUCCAACGAUAAUCCACAUAGAAAACAAGAUUGUAGAAUUUGCAAGAAUAAUGAAUCUUUACAAAAUUUUAAACCCUAAUUACUUAUUUAUAUAAGCCCAAACGGGUUUGACCUGACCCGGUUCAAUAUUUAAUUAACCCAUUAAUUAAAUCUGAUUUGUGAAUUAAUUAAUCCAAUUAAUUCAUUCGGGCUUAUAAAUAAGAAACUCAAUUAAUUAAUUUAUCCAACACUUGUUAAAUUAAUUAAUUGAUAAAUUACAAUCUUCCAGUUCUCCUUUUGUGUGCGGCUCAUCAUGUUCUUGAUCACGAUACCUAACGACAUGAAAUAUUAUUUUGAUCUAAUCAAAAUUGAUAAAUUAAAACACCAUUUUAAUUUAUCACCAAUUCACACUCAUCGUCCCAGAUUGACAUUUAACAAUGUGUCAGGGCAAUACAUGUAACGAAAAAUGUCACGUGGUAUGACAAAAUCAAACUCGUUCGUUUACUGUGAAACUAUAAUCUCUUCAUCAAUAUGAUUCGAUUAAUUACGAGAUAUAGAAGUAUGUCAAUCUCGAUUAUCGAUCAUAUCGUUCACUCUACUAUUAAGUCAACAUAAGUCGAAAACUCAUUUUCGACUUAUAAGUACACCUUGGUCAAUGAUUUCGUUAUCUACUUAAUUGAAUGAAAUGCAGAACAUAAUCUUUUACUAUCUAAGAAUGACGAAUUCUCUAUUGGUCAUUCACAACCUUCAUACGAUUCUUGACAUGCUCGAACGAUGCCGUAUUAGCGGCCCUUAGCAGAGCAACAUCCAACACCGUUAAAGCAUGAUUAUCCUCAUAUAAGAUAUUAUGACGACCUCAAGUUAAAGGACCAAUCCCACUACCGAACAUUAACUGACACUCAGAUAGUUAUCCACGUGAAAUCUCUAGGCAGGUCUCCAAUAUUUUGUUUUAUAACAAAACAUCAACGUGUUCAUUCAAGUGUCAACACACUUCAACUUGUGAGAUCAGCUACUUAUUUCACAAGUAAAAAAUGUCAUACGUGAUGGUCUAUUCGUUCUGACGAUAUCCGUAUCUUGUUAUUACUUACGAUUUAAAAUUCAAUCAUAUGUAAUUUGUAUAUCACAAUCACAACUCCUUGUGAUUAACAAAUUAUGAAAAUUUGAAUCUACGGACUCUAUUAUUUAAUUUAAUUGUCUAUUAAUUAAAUAAUAAAUUUUCCAUUAAAUUGCAUUAAUUAUAUAUUAAAAGUAUUUAUGUCCAAGGUUGAUUGGACCUAGAAUAUAACACUUACAAAAUCUCACUUACGCUGGAUCCAAUCACUUAUGUAUUCAAUAUCAUAAGAGUUUACAUGACGAUCAUGUUUAUAUUACAACAACUCUUUGUUAGUAGAUCUGCAAUAUUGUCAAAUGUGGAAAUUCGUUCUUCUCUUUACGUCAUUUGUAUGUAUUAUUUUUCUGAUGAGAUUAUACUGUCUUAAUACAUAUUUGAAUCAUUGAUAAGACCUUAGUUCCUUCGCUUUUGCGAUGGCUCUAUUGUUAUCACAAUACAAUAGCAUGUGAUCAACAAUAUUAGGAACUAUCCCAAGUUCAUUAAUGAAUAUCUUAAUCCACAUUGCAACUCCUUGCUGCUUCUGAAACAAUCAUGUAUUAGAUUUCUACCAAUGAACCAACGGUUAUUUCACUUUUGGAACCUUUCCAACAUACGGUUUAAGAGUAAACCAGUUUCUCUAUAUAAAAUAUUCUCAAAAUUUUAUCUAUAUAGAUUGGGAUGAGUUAAUCAAUCUUUUAGAUCCAUCUCUAUAGAUCAGGUUGCUUAUCACAUAUCUUUCAUAAAAAAAUCCUUUACCAACCACAAUUGUAACGACUGAAAUGUAUGGAUGUCGUUUCCUAUUAAUAAUAUGUCUCAUACAAAUAGUGUUAGGAAUGCGACAAUGCUCCCAUUAUCUUCUUGUAAACACACAAUUCGUCUUCAUAUUUGAUAAAAUCAAACAUUUUUUAUUUUUCCAUCAAAUCGAAGAUUUCAGCUCCAAGAGACUUGCUUUAAUCCAUAGUCACGGUAUGCAACUAUUGCAACCAAAAUUCGAAUGGAUUUCAACAUGGGUACAGGCGAAAGGUUUCGUCAAGGUCAACACUUAACCUUUUGCUACUAGCCUUACUUUGUAUGUACGGAUAUUCCCAUCCGUGUCAACCUUUUCCUUAUAAAUCAUUUACAAGCUUUAGGUUUUAUCCUAUCAGGAGGGUCAAAUGCUACACACGCCCAUCGGAGUAGCAAAAACGGCAAAGGCUGCCAGGAAGAUCAGGAGGCAUUACUCCACCACCAUUUCAGACUCAGACACAAGUGAGUCACUCCUGAAGCGCGCCAAAGAAAAGGAGACGGAGGCAAAGGCAGCGACAAGUGAAAGUGGUUCCUCCGAUGUUGCCCUGGCCAAGUUAAUCAAGUCAUGGAAACUGGGUUGAUUAUCAAUAAAACAAUGCCUGAAACUGUCCAACGACUGAGUUCUUGAGUCUCCAAUCUUGCAAGAUUAGUGUGUUGUAUAAUUAUGUUCAUGCUCCAUUAAAGCAUGUGAAAUGUGUUUGUGAUAUGUUUUAAAAAUCUUUCUUAAUGUUUUCCUUUACAGUCGAAUCUUUUGUUGUGUAGAAAAAGGUUAUAUUUAUUGGAGCGUGCUACUGAAACAGGACCGUGUGGCCUUGUUUGACAAGGAUUAUUCAUAUUUAUUAGGUCCAGCCAUCUGGUUUAUUUACCUUUUGUAGAAAUUGGUUGCUAAAUUUUGUGAAGCUCAAAUAUGCGGGUUGUAUGCUACCGAUUCUAUUAUAACUGUAGCCGAAAUUGAUGAUCCAAUAAGCUAAAGAACUAGAAUUCUGGUAAAAAUGUUUUGAGGAAAUUAGGCCCAAUAUGGCCUAUAAGAAACUAAAUUGAAUAAUACACUUUAAACUAAUUAAAUAAUUUAGACGUAAUUAAUACGUCUAAAAUCUCCCAAAACGUUAAGAGAGAGAACUGAUUGGUGUUUCUUCAACUUUUCCCAUUUUCAUUAUCCUAAUCGACAAAAACUGAGAAAAGAACAUUACACGACGAGCACUUAUCGGUGAGUCCCUACACGUUCACCGGCCGGUGGGACUUUCUCACAAGUUUAUGGCAACAAUUGACAAUGGCAAAUUCCAUUCUCAGUUCCUCUUUCGCUGCCGUGGGGUCAAAAGCUUUGGAUUCUUCCAUGUGUCUUUUAAACUACAAUUGGACCUUAAAGCUAGUUUAUCAAUUUUCAAUAAUCUCACAAUCUAUUUCAUUGCAGAAAAAGUAAUUAGAGGAUUGUUUUUGUAUACUUAUAAAAAUGUUUUUCAUAAUUGCAUUCUCGAUUUUUUUAGAAUUUAAUUUCUCAACUUCUUGCGUUUUCUUUUGGUUUUAGUUAAUUCUAAUUUUGAUGGAUUAACAAUUGACUAUAUGCGAUUUAUUUUUUAUUUUCUUGUUCAUGGAUAGUCUAGUUUGGAUGGUUGUGUAAGAACAUUAUGAUGUGUGCUUCUGUGGAUGGUUUGGAUUCGGUGAAUUCAAGUUCGAUUUCAUUGCCCCUUUUUAAGUUUUAGCUAUUGAUUUCACAUGUUAUUAGAUGUUUGAAUGCAUAAAAUUGCAAAUGAUGAGAAGUCUCUACUUCUGGUGCUUGUUGGGUAUAUUUAAUGGCAUGGUUGCUUACUCUUCUUUAGAAUGACAAUUGUGUAGAAAUGCCAUCAGUCGAGGUGCAUGUAAUCUAUUUGAAGGCUUAAAUGUUAGUCAAUUUGUUUUUGUUUAUGAUUUAAUUCCUUCUGAAGUGAAACUAACAUUUAUGAACUUACACUAAAAUCUUGAACUUGUUUUGGUCACAUUUUAUUAUGCUUCCUUCUCAAUUGCUGUUUUUGUGACCGUUCCUCUUUCAUGAUCAUAUAACAUACACUUUAUUCACUUCUACAGUGGAGCACGAUUUUCUUUUCAAAUUGAUUGUUGUUUCAUGACUCCUUUAUCUAUUGGCAUGUACAUAGAUUCACUCUUGGUGCAUGUUUAUAGUAUUGAUUGCCAAGGUAUUGACAUUAUUAACAUAUUCCUUUUUCGAAAGUCUGGGCAGGAGGCUGAUGUCCCAAUGCCAAUUGUCCUGAUAGAUCACGAUUCUGACCCUGAUGCAACCAUUGUCCAACUCAGUUUUGGAGAUCGCCUUGGUGCUCUUAUUGACACAGUAAAACAAGGGGCCUCGCCAUCAGUUUGUCACCUUUUUUAAGUUUUGUUACUUUUUUUUACUGUUUGUCAAGAUUUUAAUUUUCUGUCACCUUUUUUAAUCUUUGUAGCUCUUUUUGUUUAAUUUGUGUCAUUUUUUAAAUUCGUCACUUUUUUAAAUUUAUGUCAUUUUUUAAAAUUUUCAACACUUUUUUAAAUUUUUGUCGUUUUUCAGUAUUUGUCACUUUUUUGAAUUUGUCACUUUUUUUAGUGUUUGAUAGUUUUUUAUCAAUCACAUUCUUGAAAUUUCUAUCAUUUUAGUGACAAACAUCAAUUUUUAAUAAAAGUGACAUUAUAUGUCAUUUUUUAAUAAAAAGGUGACAGUAAACUUUCAAAGUAUAUUUUGUCACUUUUUUUUAGUUUUCAUUACCUUUUAAAUUUUUGUCACUUAUUUAAUAAGAUAAAAGUGACAUGAUAUGUUAUAUUUCCCUAACUUAAUCAACGUGUGGAUUGUCCUGGACAUGUUGUUUAUGUUAAGAACCCCACUGAGCUCAUGUGGAUUGUCUUGGAUAUACUAAUUAUGUUAAGAAUAUUAUUGCUGGUGCUGCACAAUGAAUGGUACUAUUUUUGUGUUUGCCAUUUUUUUGAGUUUGUGCCACUUUUUUUUUUUUUAGAAAUUUAUCACCUUUUUAAGCGUUUGUGUCACUUUUUUAUUUUGUAUCACUUUUUUUUUUUUUUUUGAAUUUGUGCAACUUUUUUUUUAAUUUGUGUCACUUUUUAAAAUUCGUCACUUUUUUUUUGACACCUUUUGAAUUUUUGUCACUUUUUUAGGUAGUUGUCACUUUUUCAGUCAUCUUGAAAUCUCUAUUACAUUUUUUAGUGACAAACAUCAGUUUUUGUUAAAAGUGAGAUUGUAUGUUAUUUUUUAAUAAAAAGGUGAUACUAAACUAUUAAAAGUGAUAUUGUGUCACUUUUUUUUAAAAGAAAAAUGACAAUUUUUAUUAAAAAAAAAAAGUGACAUUGUGUCACUUUUUAACUUUAGGCAGUAUUUUUUACUUCCAAAAAAUUUUUCAUGUGAUUUUUCAAAAGACUUCUAAUUUUAAGGGUAUUUUUGUAAGUUGCCCGAACGUUUUUGUUAAACAUGCCUUUUAAUUGAAUUGAAAAUGCAUUAUUGUUGGAUUGCUGACAUGUGGACCAUGUGGUUGAUCUUGCAUCGUUGGAUGAUAUAAUUGGCUUUGUCUCAUAUAAAGUCGAGGCCUAUGACUUUAGGGUUUCAUUAUGAAAAUCUCUAAAAGCUUUCUUUCGUUUAGUUUUCUCUGUGUAGUUCUUGUUGGUGAUUCUCUCUGUAAAUACUUAGUGUUUUGAGUUUUCGAGAGGGAGUAAACAUCAGUAUUUCUCUUGCGUGAGUUGUUACCGAUGUUUCGAGAGAAUUUUGUAAGAACGAGAGAUCUAAGAUCUUGGUGUUUUUGUAAUUGAAAAUUUUCUUGUUUUGGGGUGGUGCUAUUGGAUUCAAACUUAAUUCUAACGAAUGCUCAAUAGGGGACUAAGCUUUUGAGAGCAGUUGCUGAACCUCUGGUGCCUUUGGCCAAAAUUCUCGGUGUUCUUUUACUUUCUUGUUAUUUUCUUUUAUGAUUUUUUACUUUAAAUAUUGAAUCACAAUGCUUGAGCAAAUCUUGGAACAAUAGUGUUAUCAACUUAUCAGAGCUUGAAAUCCUUUUGAAUCUUGGUUUCUCAAAACUAUUCUUAAGAAAAAUUCGAUAUGCUUUGAGUUAGCUCCUCUGUUUUAAAUUAAAGGACAGAUCUAAGACGAUCUGUUAAUACUCUGUCAAGGAACUUCUUGGAUUUGAACCUAGACUCGAUUCUUGGUACUUUUGAGUAUCUCUUUCAUAUUUGCAAUUCUGCUGAAGAAUUUUUCUUAACCUUCUUUUUUUUUAAGAAUCUGUUAAACGUUUUUGAAACAAAGGAAUUAUGAAAAUCUCCCUAAAUUUACCUUUGUCCAGAUGAUCUUGAGAGAACUCUAAAAUUUGAGGAAAUUAGGAUAUCAGCUUAAAGAAAUCGAGAAGCGUUUUUAUUGUUUCUUGAAAACUUAUAUUUCGCUACUUUGUGUGUGCUGUAAUAUCUUUGAUUUGGGUUUAAAUUCAUAUACAUGUUAUGGGCUGUAGCAUAUUGCUAACCUUGUUCUGAUACUCUAAUUGUAUUUUAUUUGUAGAAUAUGUCCCUUCUACAUGUGAAUAAUUAAUAUCAUAUGUUUUGAAUCUUCUCCUCGUAAUAUUUACUGAGUGUAAGCAUACUUGGCCAUAGUACCUUUAUUGUACAGUUUUUGCCUAUAUUUGGAUUAUAUUCUCUAUCUUGUAAUUGGUUAUUCGAUAUUGAUCUGUUUGAUAUAUUCUUGUUUAUAUCUCACUGGAGAACAAUUGUUACGCUAUUGCACAGCAUGACUACUAAAAUAGAUGUGAGAUGUCAAAGGAGACUUUAGCCUCUGGCACUAGAAAAUGAAACAGUUGAAAUAUGCUAAAGCUAUUGAUGAAUUUUGGCUAGAAAACAUAGCUGCUGAUAGGAAAACUGAGCAGGUGAAUUAGCAUGGAGUACUAUGUUUCUGCACUUAUCUGAUUCUGUAUCUGUAAUUAAAAUAGUAGGAAAAACUAAAACUGCUGUAGAAUUGUGGAUUGCUUUAGAAAACAAUACCUCAUUAAGACUCUACCAAAUAAGUGUUUUCUUUCGAGACAAUUUUUUUUUUAAUUUUAAGUUUGAUCCUAAUAUUGACUCGGAAGAAAAUGUGGACAGAUUUAAUAGGAUCACUCAAAAUCUUAUAAACUGUGGUGAAAAGAUCUCUGAUGAGCAAAAAGUGGUUGGUCUACGUAAUGCACUAGGAGAGAAAUAUAAGACAUAAAAAAUGUUUUAAAAUAUAGUAGAAGUGACUUGACUAUUGAUAUAAUUCGCAACUCUCUUUUGAACAAAGUGUUGAAAUUGAAAUCUGAAUAUAAUGAGGUUUUUCAUGUUGAAAAUGUCUCAUCUUAUCAAUAACCUCAAGUCAAGGGUGUGAGUACUUUUAGUCAAUCUAAUUACAAUAAGGACGAGCCUUAUUAAGAAGAAAUAGGGUAUUAACAAAGAAAAAGAUAAGAAAACUUAUAAAGGAAAGAUAAAGAUCAAAAGGUGUUAUUAUUGUGGAAACACGAGUCAUAUCAUUAAAGACCGUUUUAAUAAAGCCAAAGGUCAAAAGAAUGGGCUUAAUAUUGAGAAUGGCUCUUUAGCCAUUGUUGUCUCUCAUAAAGAAGUGGAUGCUAAUAUUGGGAUGGCCUGUGUAUCUUCAAUUGAAAGGUGUGAUCAGAACUGAGCUUUGGAUUUAGGUUGCUCUUUUCACAUGAGCCCCAAUGUUAGCUCUCUGAUUUCUCUAAUCUUGAUGGAGGUUUGUAAAACUUGGAAACAAUAAGUCAUGUCAAAUUAAGGGCAUUGACAAUAUUGUUUCGAAAUUGGAAAAUGAUCAAUACACAAUGUUAAAACAUAUUAGAUAUGUGCCAGCACUAAAAGUAAAUCUCAUAGCUUUAGGGGUUCUAGAUGAUGAUAAUAUCGGAUUGAGAUCAAGAAUGGUUUCACAAACAUAAUUAGAGGCCAAAAAAUUAUUGUCAUUUCACCCAAAACGAAUGGAAUCUAUGUUAUAGAUAAUAGAUACUGAGCCUAUUUCACCCAACAAUGUGUAAACUUGGCGACACACUCUGAUAAAUUAGAAUAAUUGACACAAGAGACUAGGCCAUCUUGGUCAAACAUGUUCAAAUUCCUUUCAUAUCAUGGGGCAUCUCAAUGAAAUAUAGAAUUAAAUGAUUUAUUUUAAUUAUAACCCUCAUUUAAUGUUGCGUUAGUGUCAGACAAACUAGUGUUUUAACAGCAGUGAUGCUAAGUAACAUUACUCAUCGAAAUUUUUAACUUAUUAGAUGCAAUCAUUGUACAUUACAAAUAGAAAGAAAGUUUAGCUCUUUAAAUUUGGAAAGUCAAACCCACUCUUUAUUUUAGAAAGUUAAAAUAAAAAGUCUUUCGAAACUUAUUUUUAAGCAUUAACUUUCUAAAAUAAAACCCAUUUGAUGCUCAUUUUUAUUAGUUUUUUUUACCCCAUCUCAUUUUCCUAUAAUAUUUUCUUGGUUAUACAGUACAACCACUAAGAUUUUUGUCAGAGAUGGAUAUAGGAAUGAUAAUGCCGUUAAUCCUUGAUGACUAUUUUGCCCUUUGAUGCAAUUUGAAAUUUACUUGCGAGGGCCACCUAUGAAGAUGUUGAAGGGCAAAAAUGGAAAGUACGAAAAAUCAAAAUUGAACUGACAGCCCCAAACGCAUAUGAAUUGAUUGCCACCGUCCUUUUUGUCUAACCGCCCACUCUUGCUGAAAAACGUUUGGAAAAAUGGGAAAGAAUAGGGUCCAAAAUUAUAUUUAAUGAGUUACAAAUUUCAAUACUUUAUAAUUUAAAUUAUUCAAUAAUUUAAAUUAUUCAAAUCACAUUUAAAUUGACAGACCAUGCAUAUAAACAAUUAUGUUAAAUAAGAGAUUAAGGAGAAAUCAGUCAAUAUUCAUUAGAAAAAAACAAAAUAUAGUGUCAAAAUAGAGAGCAAUACUGUUCAAGUGCAUAAAAAAUUACUAUCGAAAUUUAAAUAUAUGCUUUAUCAUGUAUAAGAUACUCUUUAUAAAUGGAGAGUAUCUUAAAUAUACCUUAAUAUGGAAUAGCAAAUAUAAAAAAGGAGGCGAAGCGUAAAAUUAAAAAAUAAACAUCUAGUUUAAGAUUUUUGGUGUCCCUUCGUGAAUUGAUUCACCAUUUUCGAAUUGUUGUGAUGGGGAAUGAGUUGAAUUAUAAGAAAUGCAUAUACAUUUCUUCUUCAUCAUCAAGAAAUUUAGGCCCCGUUUGAGCCCAUUAAUUUGAAGUAAUGUAUUAUGUAAUAGUGAUUGAUAGAGAAUUUGUGAUUAAAAAAGAAAGAAAAGUUUUUAAUCUGCUUGUAAUAUUAUUUUAAUGAAGAAUGUGUGGUUAAAAAUAAGUAAUAUAGAGAAAAUAAUAGGAAAAAAUGUAAAAAAAUGUCCAAGGUUUUCAUUGUCUGUUUUAAAAUAUUCAUAAGCCAUUCACAUAUAUCAAGGCGGUUCACUAUCAAACUUAGAUUCUUGGAACGUCCUAACACUAAAAAUUGGGCACACUGCACGUCUGGCCGCCUUAUAUAUGACACCAUUUUGAUUUAUAUCGUUACCAUAUCCAUAUGAGGAAAACCAUAUGCACAGAGGAUGCAGAACUCCUACAAAAUAGAUCCAUGAGGUCGGUCCCACGCGGGACUCAUGAAUGAUAUAAAAAUUGCCAAAAAAUGCUGACCUCUAUAAAGCCUCUAUAAGUCUGUAACAUGUAGUGCGGUUCCAUCCAUAUUGAUGAGUUUAUCUAGCAUGGCUUGCCCUGCCCCAACCAUAUCCUGCCCCGACCCCGCCUUGUCCUGCUUUAAUCGAGUAUGGAUAUGGGGGUAAAAUAGCAAAAAUAUCCAAUGGAACGGGAGUAAGAAUGGCCUAUCCGUUCCAUACCCGCCUUGUUGCCAUCCUUAGUGUCAGCCAUGCUAGAUAAACUCAUCAAUGUGGUAAUGAAAUAAUCAGAAUGCUGUCAUAUAUAGAAUGAUCGACCUGGGAAGAACACUGUUAUCUGUCAGUCCAGAGGUGGAGACAGACAGCCCAGCAAUGCCUCUAGCCCACGUAAUUUUUUAAGAAAAGAUUUUGGCAACUCGUGUAAUUUUUUAAGAAAAGAUUUUAGAAUUGUGGUCCAAAUGUUAGCAUUAGCCCAACUCUAAUUUAAAUAUCAAUCCAAGUCCAAUGCUCAAUUAUUCAAAUUGUAUUAAAGAUACUAUAAUUAUUAAUUACUCUUUUCAAGACAUUCAUGAAAUGUGAAUAUUUUAUUGCUAAAUUAGAUAUAUUUAAUGCAUGUUUGACUAAAAUUUACUUAUAAUUAUUAAGUAAAUUUUAUUACAGAUAAUUUGUAUUGAUUAGAUCUAAAAGUAAAUUACGUAUUCUAAUAGUUAGAGACACUAUGUAUUUUUUCUAAAUUACGUAUGUUUUCAUUCAUCACUAAUUCAUAUUAAAAAAAAAAUACUUAUUUUGACCAUAAAGUAGAUAUUAUGAUCAAAAUAAAUAACUUACUAUAGAUUCAAUAUUGACAAUAAAAAGAAUGUGUUAAAACUUAUUUAUUUAUAAAGUAAUCUAUAUCGACAAUAAAAAUAGUAUUUUUUAAAACUUUCAAUUGUUUGAAAAGACUAAUUGUCAAAGUUACUAGAAGAGUACUCAUUAAGUAAUUUUUUAAAUGUUCAUUGGUAGAUAUGUAUUGUUGGUUAAUUCUAUCAUGAUUCGAUUAGUUUAUAUUUUUUAAGGUAAGCAUCGAUUUUCUAUCUGGUUAAAAAAAUACAAAAAUUUAGUAAAAUAUCUUAAUGCGAGACAUCUAAACUGUUUUUAUUUAUUUGAGUGUUGUAUACUUUUUAUCGUGAAAGUCACGAAAAUAGCCUUCGAAACUCAAUUUUUUGUGCGUAAAUUCAUUCAAAAUUUUUUAAAUUUCAAUGCACUCUAAUAUUAUUUUCUAGCUCCGCCCCUGUGUCAGUCAAUCUUUACGGACGAGCUGUGUCAAGCGGUAGAUGAACUCAUCAAUACACUAGUGAGUUAUGACUUACCAAAUAUCAUGAAAUAUGGCAAGAAAGAAUCAGACUAGCGCCAGCUAAGGAUGGCAACAGUUUGGCCAAAACUAUCACCGAACUGUCAAUUUUUUGUCAUAUCAUAACCGCGCCAUAAUCAUGUAAAUCGGUUCAGUUCGAUUCGAUUCGUAUUUCGGUUCGGUACGGUUAAUAACCACGAAAAUAAAUUAUUUUUUAUAGAUCCAUCCGUCAAAUUGAUAUAAAACAAUUUAUGAAAAGAGAGUCAAUGAAAACAAAAAUAUAAUAUUCCAAACAGAAAUGCAAACAUUAUCUCAAAUUUCAAUUGCAAAGUACAAAUUUAACAAACAAUAUUAUGAAUAUAAUAAUACUAAACUUUUCUUUCAUUCUUGAUUCUUAUGCAUUGUAGUUACUUGAUUGAUGCUCAAUAAUUCAAAAGUUUCAACUUUAACUCAUAUUCAAUCUUCAUUCUUCCCCCGCAACUCUUACUAGGAUAGGUCAGCACUCAAAGUUGAUUUCUAUAUAGUAAAUAAGAAAUGUAAGUAUAGAAUACAAUGAUACUACCUAAUCCAUAAUGGUUUUCACUAAAAUUUAAAUAAAAAAAUGUAUCUCUUCAUCAACUUCCUCCCCACUAAACCCUGCCAUUCUAAUAAAAGAAUGGUUUUUUUUAAGCGAAUAAUCGGUUCGGUUUCAGUUCGACGGCAUAAAUACCAUACUCGCAUCGUCAUGAAUCAGUUCAUUAAAAUUAAAUACCAUAUCCGCCCCAUUGCACCAUCGGUUCGAUUUUUUUCGUCCCAUUCGAUUUGGCUAAUCGCGAUUUUCGAUUUUAACGGUUCAAAUUAUCAUUCCUAGUGCCUGCAAUAGUAGAUAAACUCAUUAAUAUAGCCAUAAAGAAUCACAGCGGCCGUUGUCAUAGUUUCAGACUUGGGCUAAAUAUAGCAAGAAUUGAUCAUCUUAAAAUCUAGUUUGAAAAGUUCGUAAUAUAGAGAUACGAGACAAUUAAGGUCCUGUUUGGCUAGCAUUUAGUUUUGAUUUUUGAAUUUUUUUUUAGUUUUCUGUUUUGGGAUUUGUUUUAAGAUUGCAAAAGAUGUAUAUAAUUUAUCAUUCUAAAAAAAUUGUUUCCCAAAAUAGAAAACUGAAAUUACGUGUUUAAUUUGAAAUUUUUAGAAAUUGGUUUGACAUGAUGAAUAAUUUUAUACUUAUAUAUUAUUAAGUAAUAUAUAUACGUUUUAAAGUUUGUGAAUCUUACCAAAAAAAAUUCUCAUUUUGAAAAUGAAAUACAAAUAAAUAAUAAUUGACUUGGCAAAAAAUAAAAAUAAAUGCGUGAACUGAGAAUUGCUGGAUAUGAUUGUCUAUUAUGAGAUCAUUAUAACAAACAACUCAAUAGUUAUUGGACUAAGAUUUCCAACUUAAAUUUGGAUAGCUGAAAUAAAUACACUUGAAAAAUUAAACUAAUAAAAUAAUUUACAUAAUUAUUAAGACAUAGUCAUUUCACAUUUGUGUAUCAAUUUGAUCUCUCUAACAUAUCUUAUUUGAACUGUUUGACUCCCAUGAAUUUCUAUGACUUCUUGAUCUUCACUUUACUUCGAUAUAUCCUAAAAUAUCAUAUUCCCAGAUGAAUAUUGAUCGGAAAGUAGAGAAGGCUAAAAUUAUCAUAAGUCGGCAUAGCCCAUGAUCCAUACAAGCCAAGACCGUGAUCAGCACGUUGGCUUUUUUACUUUUGUCCAUUUAUCGCGGAAAAUGUUUGAGAAAUUUUGCUUAAAUAAAAUGAAUUUGGAUGUCAAUUUAAUGACCCAAACAAACUUGUAGAAGACUUUGGGAGGGACAAACUCAUACACUUGAAAUAAAGUUUUAAAAGCAUUUAUAGAAGGCUAUUUAAACACAAAAUAUUAGUUUAAAAAGUCAAUACUUUAAAAAAAAAAAAAAAAAAGGCUCCAAGAUUUUUAUUUUAAAUUGUUAAGAGCAUCUCCAAAUGACCAUUUAUUUAUGAAGAGUAUAUCAUACAUUAUAUAGAGAGCAUCUCUAAAUUUAAAUAGUCAAUUUGUUUUAUGUGCUUCAAUAUUGCUCUCUAUUUUGGCUCUUCAUUUUACCUUUUUGACAAGAAACAUUUAUAAAUUUCUCCUCAUAUUGUAUUUAAUAUAUUUUUUCUUAUGUCAAAAGCCAAUCAAUUUAACCAUUUGUUUGAAUAGUUUAAGAAGUAGAGUGUUGAAAUUCAAUAAUGUUAUUUAGCACAACGGUGUUAGAAUAUCAGUCUAUGUGGUAUUAAAUAUUUGUUUAAUCUUCAUUCUUCUAAAAAAUCAUUUUUUUCAAACUAAAUUUUAACCACACAUUUUUCAAUAAAAUAAUAUUACACUUAAAUUCAAAAAAUUUUCUUUAGCCAAACAUUCUCCAUGAUCUACUACUCAAAAUACAUUUUUUCCCCCAAAAUAGAACUCAAACAAGAGCUAAGUAAUAGACUCAUAGAAAUAUAAAAUUAAAUGAUUUAUUUUAAUUAUAUCUCUCAUUUAAUGUCGUGUUAGUAUCAGAUAAGCUAGUAUUUUAAUAGUAGUGGUAUUAAAUAGCAUUAUUCAUCGAAAUUUGUAACUUAUUAAAUACGAUCAUUGUACAUUACAAAUAAAAAGAGAGUUUGACUCUUUAAAUUUGGAGAGUUAAACUUACUCUUUGAUUUAGAAAGUUAAAUUAAAAAGUCUUUUGAAACUUAUUUUUAAGUAUGAGCUUUUUAAAAUAAAAAGUCCCGUUGGAUGCUCAUUUUACUUUCCUACAGUAGUUUCCUGAUUACAUGGUACAAUCACUAAGAUUUUUGUCAAAGACAAAUAAAGGAAUGAUAAUGCCAUUGAGCGUCAAUGACUAUUUUGCCCUUUGAUGCAAUUUGAAUCUACUUGCGAGGGCCACAUAUGAAGAUAUUGAAGAGCGGAAAUGGGAAAUGCAAAAAAUUGAAAUUGAAAUGACAGCCACAAACGCAUAUGAAUUGAUUGCCAUUGUCCUUUUGUCUAGCAUGGGCCCAAACUUGCCAAAAAAUGUUGGGUUCUUAAAAUAUUCAUAAGCCAUUCACACAUAUCAAGGCAGUUCACUAUCAAACUUGGAUUUUUGGAACGUCCCGACAGUAAAAAUUGAGCACACUGCACGUCUGGCCGCUUUAUGUAUGACACACCAUUUUGAUUUAUUUAGUUACCAUAUCCAUAUUUUAUCUAGCAUGGCCGACACCAUUGUGCUGUAUCCCUCUCCUGGAAUUGGCCACUUGAUUUCCAUGGUGGAGCUCGGGAAGCUCCUCCUCAAGCACCGCCCUUCAUUCUCCAUAACAAUCUUCAUCACCACCGCUCCAUACACCACCGGCGUCACCGCACCCUACAUAAACCACGUUGCUUCCACUACUUCUUCCAUCACUUUCCACCAACUAUCCACCGUCGAACUUCCUCCCACUUCCGCCGCCAUCCCUUUCGAAGAACUUCUUUUCGAAAUACCCCGCCUGAACAACCCUUACCUCCACAAAGCCCUUCAGAAUAUAUCCCAGAAAUCAAAUCUCUUAGCCUUUUUCAUAGAUUUCUUCUGUAACGCCGCUUUCGAAGUCUCUUCAAAACUUGGAAUUCCAACUUAUUAUUUCUACACCUCAGGCGCUUCUGCACUUUGCGUUUUCUUACAUAUUCCAACCCUCCACGAAACCAUUACAAAAAACAUCAAAGACGUACAUGAUUAUAUUAAAAUUCCUGGCACCCCACCAAUUUAUUCUCAAGAUUUACCAAAAGUUCUAUUUGAUCGUGAAAGUAGAAUAUACAAACUGUUCUUAGAAACUGCCGUACAGAUGGGAAAAUCAUCUGGGAUUUUGGUAAAUUCUUUUGAAGCUCUUGAAUCAAGAGCAGUUAAAGCAUUAUCUGAUGGUUUGUGUAUUCCAAAUGCACCAACCCCUCCUGUACAUUGUAUUGGACCUCUAAUUGCAAGCAAAGAUAACGGCAGUAACAAUGAUGAACACGAGUGUUUGAGUUGGCUAAAUUUACAGCCCAGUAAAAGUGUAGUUUUUCUGUGUUUUGGGAGUAUGGGAUCGUUCACGGCAGAGCAGCUACAAGAGAUGGCGGCGGGGUUGGAAAACAGCGGCCACCGGUUUCUUUGGGUGGUCCGUAAUCCACCCACGGAUGAUGAAACCAAGGGCAAUUCAGCACCAGCAGAACCAGACUUGGAUGCUUUGCUGCCAGAAGGUUUUCUUAUCCUCACGUCUAAUAGUUGCUAGCGAUAUGCGGUGUGUAUUAACUAAUAACAUUUUCCAAAAACUUUUAUUUUUUAAAAUAUAUGUAUUUAUUUUCAAUAUUUUGUACAUAAAAUAAAAUAUUUUGUACGUAAGCCCAUAAAUUUUCCACAAUUUUUAACCACACUUUCUUAGGGCAUUGCACUAAAACUUAUACCAAAUGAACAUUAUUUUAUCAUUUUUUUCUAUUUUUUUAUUCUAAAUAAUUUAUUUAUUUUACAAAUACAUAAAUUACGUUAAAUUAAUGAAAAAACUAAAUUCAUAAUAAAUAUAAAAAAUAUAGUAUAAUUAGCAAAAACACUACAAAAAUGAAAAUAUUAAAUCAUACCAUUAAAAAAUAAUGCAAUGUAUUUUGAAUUUGGAUAUUAUAAUAUUAUGAAAUCGAAAUAUUAUUGCAAUUUAAUUCUCGGAAUUUAUAUCGUUUUCUUUAAAUAAAAUUAGAUAAUGUAUAUAUGUCAUCAUUUAAUAUAUUUCAUGUUAACUUUAAGAAAUAAUCGUGUUUGUUAUAUUGUAAUUUUUUCUUUUAAUUAAUUCAUUAAUUAUUAUUUUUUACAUUUAAAAUUUAUUAUAAAUGCAAAUAAUAAUUUAUUGUAUUAAAAAAUAUAUAGUACAAAUGACACAAAUACUCUUAAUCAAUUUAUUUGAGAAAUUAUAAGAAAGGGUAAAAAGACUUUCUACACUUUGCACCAUUUUGGUUCAAUGGUGCAAAGUAUAGUAUUGUAUUGAAGUUGUUUUGUACCAAAAAUGGUGCAUUUUGAUGUUUUGAGUUAUAUAUUGAAAAUGGCUUAGAGAAAAGUAAUGCUUAUUUAUUUAAAUUUUAUUUUUGAUAGGUUUCUUGGAAAGAACCAAAGACAAAGGACUUGUGGUGAAGUCGUGGGCACCACAGCUAGAGGUUUUGAAUCAUGACUCAAUAGGGGGAAUGGUGACUCACUGUGGAUGGAACUCAGCUUUGGAGGCUAUUUGUGCUGGUGUGCCAAUGUUGGCUUGGCCACUUUAUGCAGAACAAAGGAUGAAUAAGGUUUUCAUGGUGGAGGAAUUGAAGGUGGCACUGGGUUUAGCUGAGUCAACUAAUGGGUUCGUUACAGUUGCUGAGUUGGAUAAGCAAGUAAGAGAGUUAAUGGACUCGGACAAUGGAAAAGCAGUGAAGGAUCAAGUUACAGUUAUGAGAAAUUGUGCCAAGGCUGCAAUUCAAGAUGAUGGUUCAUCUUGUGUAGCUUUGGAAAAGCUCAUCGAGUCCUGGGCAAAGGGAUGAUGCAAUUGUUAAUGGGAAUGUAAUAGCUGCGUGCGUCUAUGGAUUCAUAUCCCUUUCAAUUAUCAUUCGCAAUUCAAUAAGAUCAUCUCAUUAUGUGUUAGUGAAUUGUUAUUUAAUCAUAUUCAAUCUUCAAAAUACUAAAGUUGUCAUAUGCCAAUGUUCGAUAUGCAGCUUUAGAAAAUGAUGUACAAGUUUUCGUCUUCUUUUCUAUAAUACAAUACACAAUAGUGAAGAAAAUGAAUGAACUAGAUUUUGUUUCUUUCUUUUUUUCGAUCUUUAAUAUGUUUGUUAUUGUCAAUUUUUUUUUGUUAUUAAUCAUUUCGUGAACUCAACCUAUAAAGUUAAGAUAUCAACCUUAUAAUACAUAAAAUUUUAAGCUUUAAAAAAGUAGGAGUGGGCGUGAUCCGAUUCCAAAGGGAACCGAAUCGAAUCGAAUACCUAUGAGAAUUUUAGAAAUGGAACCGAACCAAUCAGUUCCGGUUCGGUCGAGUCUGAUUAUUUACAUUGAAGAUAUCAAAAUAAAAUAUUCUCUAAUAAAAAAUGUAAAGUUGCUAUUAGCAUGAUACUUUUAACAAAAUAUAAAAGAACCGAAAUACUAUUCAAAGAUUAAAAGAAAACUAAGUAUACAAAUUUAAAAGCAAUAUCCAAAUAAUAUAAAUUACUAUCAUCAAGCAAUCAUCAAUUUAUAUAAACUGCAUAGUACUCCAAUGAUUAAACAAACUUUUAUGAAAAUCAAAAUCCUACAUUGAAUUGGACACCCUUUAAAAAUUUAUUGCAACUUCUAAUUCUGUCAGUAAUCAUUUAUAGAAAUCUAGAUGAAAAGUUUUGUUCGGAUCAACAAACAAUGUAAUUAAAGUGAAAAUAAAAUAAAAUUUUCACGUCUUAGAAAUGAAAUUAUAUAUUGUAAAUAAAUAUAUUUAGGUAUAGAUUUACCUAGCUCCUGUUUGAGCCCUAUUCUUUGAAACAGUUCAUUCUUAAACAGUGAUUUGAUAUAAUUUCAAUCACAUAUUUUUUGAUAAAAUAAUAUUACACACAAAUUUAAAAUUUUUCCCCAUUUUUUAUCCACACAUUUUUCUCAUCAGUACACUAUUCAAAAAUUCAUUUUUAUGAAAAGAAUGAGGCUCAAACAAGGGCCCAAUACUCUAAUUUUACUUGAGAAUCAAUUAAUCAAAGAAUUAUAAGAAGAGAGAAUCAAAGAAUCAAAGUAAAGGAAGUGCUGAAGUCUAAAAUGAAGAACGAAUCCGAUUAAUUUUUAUAAAAGCGAUUAGAGAUUGAGUCAAAUAUUUUGCCAAAAAAAAAGAAAAAAGUCCUAUGAAAAUCGUCUGGUUCCAGGCGGUUCCCAUACUAGAACCGAGAACCAGACCAGAUGCGGUUGGUUCUUAAUAAUUUAUGCCAAAAUCAAAUCGUUGUUUGGAAGAUCUGGAAUCAAACCGGUCGGUUCUAAAUGGUUCCGGGAAAAAAAUGCCCACUCCUAUUAAAAAGUAUAUCUACUACAAUCAAGUCAAUAUCUAACAAAGAUAAUGAACUUUAUGGUUAAAUGUAUAAUUGAAAAGAAAAAUCGUAUGGUAAAAAUAAAAAAUACAUUACUUUACCAAAUAUAAAUACUAGAUGAAGAUUAGAAAUUAUGUGGUACAAUUACAUUUAUAUUUUUGUGAAUAUAGUAAUGUGUCGAUAUUAAUAUUAAAUAGAGACUUAACCAUCCUAUGGAGUUCAAUAAUUUAAAAUUUGGUCGCAAAAAAAAUUACAUUCGGGGCAUAUUUUGUUAUUCACCGUUUAAUUUUUAUAAUUACUAACAAAUUUUUUGUUAGAAAAUACUUAGAUAACUCUUUAGUUAUUUUUUAUUACUUCUUUUAAAUUUACAGACAUAUUAGCUAUGAAACUUCAUAUUUUUAUUUGUCAAAUAAUAAUAAAAAAAAAAAAAGGAAUUGUUGCUUAUCCUUUGGUUAUAGUUGCGUUAUUGGUGUUGAUAUAGAGGAAUUUGUAAGGCGGGUUUGUAUUUUACCAAAUUAGAAAAUAGAAAAUCGAAUCAAUAUAGAAAAAUAACAUUGAGGAUGAUCGUCCACACUUCAGUCUUUUUAUGGUAAUAAUAGUAAUUUCUUGAACCAUUUUAAUUAUGGAAUCCAAUUUUAAUAUGCUAUUUCUAAUUUUCAGUGUUUUUCAGAAUAAUAGAGGUUCUCUGUAAACAUUAAUACUAAAACAAGUUUAGAUGCUGAUAUUUUUAAUGAAGAUAAAUAGUCUGAUUAGUAUGAGUUACCUCUGAAAUUAGUUGAUAAAUAAACAUAACAAAAUAAAAGAUACCAACAACAUUUAUAUAGAAGAAUUUUAAGAGAAAUUCGUUGGUAUAGAUACAAAAAAAAAAAAAAAUUAUUCUACAAACGAUGAGGGUCAAAGCGAAUCGAGCAGAUCCACGAGCCACUAACACUAGUUGAACUACAUUUUGUAGCUAAAAUGACUGUUCGUACGAGCAAUUCAUAUUCAUUGUUCGUAUCGUCUCAUUUAGCACUCUUAUUGCCACAAGAUAGAUAUCAUGUAAAAUUAUGUGUAGGUCUUAUUUUUGUUGAAUUCACUAUGAAAUAGUUUUCUCAAUAAAUUUAUUCUCAGCCAAUACUACAUUUGUCCUCAACUUCUAUCUUGAAUAAAUUUAUUUUUUUAGGAAUACCCUGUUCAUGAACGGCGAUCUUAGGCCAUCUCCAACCCUGUACCAAAUUUUGUACCAUUUUGCACCAAAUUUUACACCAAAUCUUGCACCAAACUAAAAUUUAUCUCCAAUCAUUAUACCAAAAGUUACACCAGAUGAACAUUGUUUAACCAUUUUCUUCCUUUUUUUUAUUCUUUAUAAUUUAUUUAUUUGAAAUAUUAUUUAUUUAAUUAUUUUAUAAAUACAUAAAUUACUAAAUAAAUAAUUACGUUAAAUUAUGGAAAAGAUUAAAUUCAUUAAUAUAUAUUAAAAAACAUGGAACAAUUAAUAAAAACACUACAACAACGAAAAUAUGAAAUCAAAUUAGAUUAUCGUAUGUACGUCGUUGUUUAAUAUAUUUCGUGUUAACUUUUAUAACUAAUCGUGUUUGUUGUAUUUUAAAUUCUUUUCGGCUUUUAAUUAAUUUAUUAAUUAUUAUGUGUUACAUUUAAAAUUUAUUUUAAAUGCAAAUAAUAAUAUUAAUAAAAAAAAUAAUUUAUUAUAUUGAAAAAUAUAUAGUACAAAUGACAUAAAUACAUUUAACAAAUUUAUUUGAAAAAUGUUAAAUAAAGACAAAAGAAACAUUUUACACUUUGCACCAUUUUGCAACAAAAUGAUGCAAAGUUUGGUGUUGCAUUGGAGCAACUUUGCACCAAAAAAUGGUGCAAAAUGGUGCAAUCAUUGGAGAUGCCCUUAAGACGAUGAAAUCUCAUGUUGAGUAAGUUUGGUACUACACGAGAUAAAUAGUAAGGUACCACGGAUUUUAACAUUUAUCGUUAAAUAUUUUUAUUUAGAGGGUCAGACUCUAUCAAGAAGUCAUUCUCCUCAAAGUAAUUUUAUCGUGUAUGUCAUCACUAGCUUCAAAUACUUUGUUGAGUUUCAAGAAAUGGUGAGUUGCAGGAAGUGAAGGGUUCAGUGGCUAAGUUUAGUAGCAAGUUAAUGGGCUUUAAAAGAUCAAAUCUUCAAGUACUCCUAGUUAGUGGGGGUCCAAUUUUUUUUGGGACCUGCUCGAUAAUGAUCAUAAAAAUUGAUUUUUUGACCGUUAAAGAGAAGAGUAAGUUUUGUUUGUGAAUGAAAAUGUAAAAAAUGAUGGCUAAAAUAGUGAACUAACGAUAAAAAAUUUAAUUUUUUGGGGAUGAAAAAUUACUAAUAAACGAGGGCAUAAUUUGGGGAUACGAAUUGUCAAUGUUAGAAUAGUGUAAAUAAUAUCCUUUCAUGUUAUCUUAUCAUUAAUGAUGGCUUUCUGUUUUUUUGUGACAAAUUCAUCAAACUUGAAAGAAAGUGAUGACGACUUGAAACCAAAUGAAAUGAAAGUCAUCCAACUUGCAGAAGCAAAAUAAUAAUGCUAUUUCGUCCAUCGCGUGGAUUAAAAUUAAUUUUUUAAUGAGUUUUGAUGAGUUGAUGAAUUUAAAAUUGUAAAUCACUCCUCUAGUAAAAGAGGCAAUCCCAAUUUAAUGUUCAUUUGUGAGUUUAUUCUCACAAUUCACUGUUCUUCUCACAUUGGUUUUAUAUGAUUUUAUAUUCUUGCAUAUAAAAAAAGUAGAUAUAGAAAACGGGAAUUAAUGCCCCGUUUGGUAGGGAUUUUGAGAAUUGAUUUUUUGAUCGUUAGAAGAAAAGUGGGGUCCACACGUGAGAGAAGAAGUCAAAAAUUACGGCUUGAAUAGUAAAAUAAUGGUCAAAAAAUCAAUUUUUUGGGGCAAAAUAUCCCUACCAAACGGGACCUAAGUCUUCCAUACACUUCCUCUUCAACCCUAAUUUUCACUUGCUCUCUCACCACCUCUUCCACCGACCACCGUCAAAUCGAACCAGGUCGACGCUGACGAGAGUUGAGAACAGCUUCCAUGAUUUAUUGAGUUUUACUUUCCCUACCCUUUCCCUUUUCCUCCUUUCAUCUUGGAGAUUUGAGUUCCCAAAAUUCUAGCAAUGCUACAUCCAAGAAAUUGUGGAAAAAUGAGUGCCGGUAGAGACAUCAGAAGCAGAAGAAGAACAAUAAGGAAUCAUAAGCCUCAGCCGUUGGAGAUGACAGGGACACUACAGACGAGGAUGGGUGUUUUUUCAAAAACUCGAAAAGCACUUCUUGAUUUCUUUCAAAUUUUAUAUAAAUCCCUCUUCAUCUAUGUAACCCACUAUUGAAAUGGAAAGCUUAGCAGAAAACCUCGUCUUGGAACUGAAAGAAGAGGAAACCCAUAAGAAACUAGGAGAUGGAGCAAAUGGGACAGUAUGAAUAGGAUGAAACGACACUGAAAUACCUGAUCAAGAGUACAUGGAGGUUGAUUUUGAUUCUUGUUAGGGCAAAAAGUGUAAUUAGCGAUUAUGUGGACAAAAGGAUUAAAUUGUAAAUUUUUAAAAGUUAGGGACUCAAUUGUACAAUGUUAUAAAAGGCCGGGAUUUAUGGUGCAAUUUAGCAAAGCUAGAUGGUAGGGACUAGGGUUUGAGUGCUAGGUUCAAAUCAAGGUCGCGGUGCCGGAAGUUCGCUAGCUGUUCGCCCUGUCACCGCUCGAGCGAGGGGAAGUAGAAUGAUAGUCACUCGCUCGCCGCUCGAUGUUCGCUCGAGCGAAGUUCCGUCGCUCGCUCUCUGCUCGCUUUUCGCUCGAGCGAUAGUGUUAUUGGAAUAUUGUAUUUUCUAUUUCUGGAAAGUUUGACACGGUUUAGGACUCCAAAUUGCCCCUAACUAUAAAUACAAAAGUUGUGAACGAAUUUCAAUAAGGUUACUUUAUUAUGCUUUCAUAUUAGAAGACAUUCAUAUCAUUGUGAAGAGAUCUAAGAACACAACCAACUGGAGAAUUCAUCAAUCUUGUUCUUGUGAUCCGGCAACCAAUAUUUUGGGAAAAAACAUCAAGUUUUUGAAGACAAAAUACCGGUACUUCUCCAUCUGUUGAGGAAGGAAUUCUCUCAAAGGGAGAUUGAGGGAGGUAGACGAUGAACCCAGGAACUGGACAAGAACAUGAGGUUUUUGAAAUUCCACUUGGUGAUACAAUCAGCUAAAGACCAGGAGGCUGUAUUGGACAGCAAAUUGGGUUGCAGGAGGUAGAUCAGGAAGUUAGCAGGAGACUAGUAGUAUCAACGGUAGUAGAUCGUGAGAUUGGAGCAGCGAAUCUCACUGGGUAUGGAGUUUGGCAGAACUUGUACUGUCUGAAUUGGUAUAGUGGAACUUAUUGGCUUGGUCCCGGAGUUUUACCCACGUUGGGGUUUCUUCGUCAUCAUAUCGUGAGUUGUGUUUUGUAAUAUUUUAUUUACUUUACGCAAAUCCGUAGUUCAACAUAGGAAUUAACUGGACUGUAUGUUUAAUCACCUAGACAAUUAAUUAAAGUGACGUGUUGCUUUGAUUAAUCAAUUCUGCAGUGAGGUCGAAUAAUAAAUUUAUUGGAACGUAAACUUGGUAAUAUCUAAAACUUGAAUUUGACGUAGUAAAGCGUUCUCGUGAAUUUUCAAGUGGUUGUAGAACGUUCCUAGAACUUUCAAGUCUAAAGCUAGACUGAACUUGAUUCUGACUCUAAAGUUAAGGUAUGUUUCUAGGUUUAUGAGUGUGCGUGCGUGUAUUCUUGCGUAUAUGUUUUUAUGAAUGUGUGUGAUGGCAUUUGAUUUUAUUUGGGAUUUAAAUUGCAGGAAUUGGAAGAUAUGAAGAAGAAAUUGCCUGUGAUGGGUUGAUUUCGUGAUAUUUGUAUAUUCCAGUGGUUUAAGACUUUUAGAUGAAUAGAUAACAUCCUACUUUCUGUUUCAGUGGCUACAACAUUAGUGAAUAUGGAACUUAUUUAGCAGAUACCUCACAAAAGGCUAUAGGAUAGUAUUUCUGUUGUAAAUUCAUUUUCCUAAUGAAAUUGACUCCUUUGACACAUAUUGGAUUGUUGACAAGUAAAAAUUUAAUGCAUCAUUGAAGAUUUUGAUAUAAGAAAAGAUAAUUGUGAGAACUUACAAUAGGGGACUAUCUAAGGCAAAGUGAAGUACUAAAGUUCCUAAAUUAGCAACGAUACAUUUUAAAAAGUACUACUUUGAUAACAUGAAGACCUUUAUGAAUUUAUAAUUGCAUGAGAACUACAUGAAAAACCACAAUAUGCUCCUGAGGUAGGCGUUAUACUUGUUACCUAAAGUAGGUAGCGCAUUGAUGAAUAUGCUCUUAAUUGUCAUUGACCUUACUGAGUAAAAUUUUCAAUUUAUUAACAUUUAAUUUUUUCACUUUCUAAUCUUUAUCUAAAAAUUCUACCAUUCCUUUUUUUACUGUUUUUGUUGAGGUUCUGCACGUAUUGCAAAUUGUAGAAAAUACAACCAUUUGAAAGGAUCGAUUUGUGUCUUCUCUUGACUAUCAAUUAUUUUAUUGUGUUCUAUGCUGUUUGACGUUGUGAUUUUUCUUCUUUUUUGUUGCUAAAUAUCAUUGAAAUUUGAGAUUGAUGAUUGUUCCUUUGUUGUCUAUGUGUUUCUAUUUACUUUCUUCAUUUUGCAUCAGUUUGCUUUCUAUAAGAAUCCUAUUGUUCUCUAAAAUCUUCGGUUUUAAUCGUUGAUAUCGUUUGUCUAACUAUGGAGCACAUGAAUUUGGGAAUUAUUAUUUGAAUUUAUAAUCGAGGAUAUAAUUUUUUGAUGUUAUUUAAAGCUGCGGUCUUCACAAUGAAAUGACCCCUAUUUGCAGCAUUUGUGUUACUGAUUACAAUUUUACUUUGGUUAUAAUAUAAUGAUAUACUUCAAGCCAGGCUUUUCACAUUAUCUUCGUCUCAUUUUUUUUCCUCCAAUGAUUGCUUAAAUAGGUGGAUCUUUGAAUCUAUUCAAUAAGAGAGCCCUUAAUUUUUUUGUAAAUAUGGUCAUAAUUAGCGCAAAAGGAAGGAUCGCCCCCAUAAUGAUAAACCAUUUGCUUUCAGGAUUCCCUUGUGCUCAAUUAUUGACAAAUGUACAAGCAGCAAUUCAAUAGAAAAGUAAGUUUAAUUCUUGAAUUUUCUACCUUUGAAGAAACUUUGAGAUUAUUUAUCACUACACAUUUUUGCACGUUUCCUUUUUUCAAAUUUAUUUUAUUUGAGUGUUUUUAUUGCUACUCGUCAGAUUUUUUAAAUAGUUGUACACACUUUGUAAUUUUAGUAAUGUCCACCUGGUCUUGGUGUAGGCUUCUCAGUGAUUUCCCAAAGGUAAUUUAUUUUUCCUUAAACUAGAUUUUUAAAUAUUUUUUGUAUAAAGGGGCGGUCUUCGUAUACUUUAUUUGGAUUUGUUGUUACUCGAUUUAUUAAUUUUGUAUUUUUAUUGUUGAAUAUUAAUUCUAUUGUGGGGUUUUAAAAUGGAGGGAGUAAAUGCUUUUGUCGUUUAAUUGCAUAACCCAAGUGUUUCAGUUUGUACUACCAUUUUCUCUGUGGGUUCAAGAAAAUACACCAAUCAUUUGAUCCUGAAAUCAAACCAUUACUAUAAUUUUGUGUUUCAUAAGGUGUACUCAAGUAUUGCUUCAGUUUCAACUUGACCAAAAAAUCUUUUUUCUGGUGCCAAUAAUAUAGAGUUUCUGAAAUCACUGUGAAUCUUUUCUAAUAUAUCAACCUUUUGCUUUUCCAUGACCGUGGUUAUGGGUUACAUAGAAAAAAAUUGUACCUGAUGCUUCAAUUUUGUCAGCUUUCUCAAACUUGAGGCAACAUUUAUCAUGUUUGAAGCUUUCAUCUCGGGCCUUUACUUAAAUUCACCAAGGGAAUGAGCUAAAUCUGUUAAUGAAGAUGAUCUGGAUGUCAGUUCGGCUAUAAAAUUCAGGUAUAAAGAAGCUAUUGAUGUUGAAGCGGCCAGUAAGGUACUCCCUCUUGACAGCCAUUUAGACUCUGACAUAGAGGCAGGCAACUUCAACCUUUUGGAUGAAUGAUUUGCUUUGGCCUCAAUCAUUUACAUAAAUAUUUUAAAUUUCCACAAGACACCAGAUUUUAUGCCCUAGAUAAUGGUUUUCUUUUCCUUUUUAGCAAUUUCUUUGAUUUUUUAGCAUUGAGUUUUGAAAGGGCUUGCAGUUGAGGUUUGAAUAAAGACUAACAACUUCUUCAGCUUUUAUGUGUAAAUAUGUAUACUUGUAGUAUUUGUAUCAGUGUAUUUUCCUGUCUUUUCUAUUUUUUUGUUGAUUUUCACCUUAUUCAGAUUAAGUUCAUCUCUAUUAUUUAUCUGUAACUCUUUUUUUUUUUUUUUUUUUUCUGUUUAGUGAUUCAGACAAAUAUGAAUAACAAUAUUUGCCUACUUCUAUUUAGUUUUUCUAUUUUAAAAGAUUACCAUAUAAGUCUUUCAAGCCUGACACGUGUAUAGUAUUUUUAUUGCUCGUGGCUGUUUCAAAACCUUCAUUUAAUGAAUUACUUUUGGUUCUAUGUGAAAGGGUAUUUCUGUUGUGGGAUGGAUUUUAAUGUUGUUUCUCACUUAAUCGAAAUUGUUUUUUUUUUUUUUUUUUUGAUAUCCAAGUAUCCCAACUUACAUCAGAUUAAAUCCUGGACCUCCAAGACCCAUGCCCCUAGAACUUUGGAGGGGGUAAAUCGCGGGUUAUGCCUCAAUUGGAUCACAGAUUCCCCCCAUUGACUGUACACUUCUACGCACAAGAGACCCUCAUCCACAGUGAUUGCUCCAUACCAAAUUUUUGGCUGCAGGUUCCCACCAGGAAUCGAACUCUCCACCCUGCCGCUGGAAGCAAGCCAAUGUUGAUUGAUCCUCCAGUUGAGCUAUGCCCCGGGGGGCUGAAAUUGUGUUUCCUUUGCCCUUUGUUGAAUUUGGUUUCGGUUGAUGGAGCAAAAAAAGGAGAACAGUAAAAAAAUGUUGAGCAUCAAAGAACAUGAACAACCAUUGAGGUUCCUCAAACCUAUCAGGUUGUUGUUCCAAUACGGAUUAACCAUAAUUGGCAGGUAAAAGGAGGUCUCAACGGAGAUGAUGGUCAAAAUUGGUGAAACUGAAAAGCAUGGAAUAAGGGAAAUUCAAUAGGAUAUGUUGAUAUACACGAUCUAAUUGUAACUUAUAAAACACGAUGCAUGUUGGACAGCCAUUUUUGAGAGCUUUUGUUCAUGAGCGUAGACAUUAGCUUAGUCAUCAGCACGUGUGAUUGACUACAUGGGCAUAGUUUGGGAAUUCCAUCUCAAAAAGGUAAAUAAUUUAUUGUAUUUUUCUUUACCCCGAUAUCAUUUCUUUGACCACCACGUGCUCGAAAAUAAUUGAUUUCUUGUUGUGUAUAAUGAGAAUUCAACAUUUGAGGUUAUGAUCUUCCAUUUGUUGGCUGUCGAAUUUUCAUAUGAGAACAUCUAUGAGGAUGAUGAAAAAACUUCCUCUCUUGGCAAUUCUUCUGUUCAAGUUAAGCUCGAAUGAAGACUUGAUACUCAUAAAAUGAUUAUUAGUUCUGAUUUCUCUUGUGGUGCACUAAAGUACGUUACAUUUAUUGGCCACCUUGGCUCGAGUAUUGCUUCCAUGUAACCAAUUUGCCUUGAUAUUGCUGUACAUGCUACGCGUUAUAACUCAUGAGAUCACAUGCUUUUGAUGCUUUAAUAAUUAAAGUCUUUCACCGUAUUGGUACUAUGAAUAAUUUGGGUUUGAUACUUCCAAGUGCUUUAUUAUUUCAUCAUUUUCUCCUCCUUACUUUUUUUAAUAUCGAAAGUUUCAUGUCAAUUGUCUCUAAUUUGUGUUAUAGGUAUCCAUUUUACCGGCACAAAUUGUUAUCAAAAAAGAUUGGGUCCCUCAUUGACAUCCAUCAUGACCAAAUACCCACCCUCAACUCAUGUCCCUGAUAUGAGCACUUCAUUAAAUAAAUGAUUAUAUGUUUGAAAACACAUCAACAUGUACCAGCUCUAAGUGUAAUAUUUUCUACAUUAUCUUGCAUUAUUUUGUAAGUGGCGUUUUUUCAUCAUAUGGGCUUCCUUUCACCUUUUUUUUUUUCAAAACAUUUAUCUAGGAUGUCUACCUAUUUUUUCAAAAACAAAUUAAUAUUUUUCCAAAUCUUAAAUUUAGAUCAUUUAAAAUUCGACCUUCUGAUUUCUUGUCACUGGGCAUCCUUUUUGCCAAAACGUUAAUUUGGAAUGUCUACUAAUUUUUUCCUCUGAAUUUUUUUCAAAAAAAUUAAGAUUUUUUUAAAUCUUAAAUUUAGAUCAUUUGAAUUCUGAAACUUUUAUUUUCUUGUUGCUUUAGUUAUCAGGAAUGUGAUCUUUUCUUAGUUGCAUUGGAGGCACCCUUCAUAAAUAUGUACUUAAGUUUGUGUUUGCAUAUUAAUUGAAACAGUAAAUUUUAACUUGUUGGGAAUUUACUUAAACAUGCACAGCCGAAAUAAACAGUUUCAAUUCCCACCAGGAUUCAACUUUGUAUUUAGAUAAGAACUAUGAUGAGAAAUAUACCUUUUUCUUGAUUUUGCAAACUCCUUUGUAUUAUUCUUUUCCAGCAAUUUGAAUCUACCUCCCACAACUGUCCAAUUGUCCAGCCUCCAAUAAAAUUCACACAAGGAAUAGACUGCAACUGUUAGGGUUUUUCCUCUUGUGCCAUCAAGAAUAAUGAAAACCUUAUGAAUCUUAAACCCUAGCCAUGUAUUUAUAUAAACCCAAACGGACUUGGCCCAGUCUGGUCCAAUAUUUAAUUAAUCCAUUUAAUUAAAUUCAUUCCGUGAAUUAAUUAAUCCAAUUAAUUAAUUCGGGGCUAUAAAUAACCAAUCAAAUUAAUUAAUUUUAUCCAACGAUUGGAUGAAUUAAUUAAUUGACGAUUUGCAAUCUUUUAAUUCUCUUUUGUGUGCGACUCAUUAGGUUUCCGACCACGAUAUCUAACGACGUAAAAUAUUAUUUUGAUCUAAUCAAAACUGAUAAAUUAAAUUUAUCACAAAUUCACACUCGUCGUCCCAGAUUGACAUCUAGCAAUGUAUCAGAGCAAUACAUGUAACGGGAAAUGUCACGUGGUAUGACAAAACCAAAACUGUUCGUUUACCAUGAAACUAUAAUUCCUUCGUCAAUAUGAUUCGAUCAACUAUGAGAUAUGGAAGUCUGUCAAUCUCGAUUAUCGAUCAUAUCUUUCAUUCUACUAUUAAGCCAAUAUUAGUCGAAAAUUCCUUUUCAAUAUAUAUGUAUACAUUGACCAAGGAUUUCGUUAUUGACUUAAUUGAACGAAAUGCAGAUCACAAUCUUUUACUAUCUAAGAGUGACAAAUCCUCUAUUGGUCAUUUACAACCUUCAUAUGGUUCUUGACAUACCCGAACGAUGUCGAAUUAGCGGCCAUUGACAGAGCAACAUCCAACACCGUCAAAGCAUGACUGUCUUCAUACAAGGCACUAUGAUUACCUCAAGUCAUAGGACCAAUUCCACUACCGAACGUUAGAGAUUAACCACUGACACUCAAAUAGUUAUCCAUCUAGAAUCUCUUAGCGGGUCUCUAAUGUUUUGUUCUAUAACAAAACAUCCACGUAUUCAUUUAAGUGUCACCACACUUUAACUCAUGAGAUCAGCUACUUACUUCACAAGUAAGAAAUAUCACACGCGAUGGUCUAACUGCAUUAACGAUAUCCGUAUCUCGUCAUUACUUACGACCAUGAUUUAUUCAAGCUCCAAUUAUACGUAAUUUGUAUCUCACAAUCACAACUCCUUGUGAUUAACAAAUCACUUAAACUUGGAUCUUCGAAUUCUAUUAUUUAAUAUUAUUUAUCACAAAAUUAAUUUAAAUAAGUAAUAGAUCUUGCCAAAUUAAAUGCAUUAAACAUAUUAAAAGUGUUUACAACCUAAAUCGAUUGGAUUUAGGGCAUAACACUUACAUAACUUUUAGGUGUUUCCUAUUUUAUAUAAAUUUGUUUUUUCUUUUAAAAAAAGAAAUUAAAAUUGCACAAUAACGGGGGUAAGUCCAAAUUGUAGGGAUCAAUGUCAAUUGAUGUGUCAUAUAUUAAAACAAUGUUAGUCGAUGUGAGCUUCGCAUCCAAUCAUUUUCCAAAAUAUAAAUUAGGACUGGAUAAUGAGAUCUUAGACAAGGUGAAAGAGGAUUUUAAGGGUCGAUCCCAUAAGGAAGUGGUUGUUGAAGAAAUGAACCAACUAAGUAGCCAAGAGGCCUUCAGUUCACGACCUGGUGAGUAAAUUCGACAAAAAACUAUCUGCUGAUACAAAAUUGUCUAAAGAGGUCUUAAUAAAUUUAUAUUUUCGAUUUAUAUCACAGUUGAAGUUCUAAAAUUACAUAUGCGAAAAUCAAUUUCUUUAAUUUUUAAAUGUCAGUGUUUAUAUAGUCCUUUAAUCUAGAUAGUUUCUAAAUAGAUAGGAAGUUGGACUCUAUUUCUCCUAUCAUUUCAUUUCUCAUUGGAUGAGAUUUGAUGACUCGAUGAAUUGUUAAAUUCUUUUUGGACUUUAGGCUAAAUUGAGAAAGGUGCCUUCAUUGGAAAGACAUGUUCUUCUAAAAAAGCUUAGGGAUGCAUUGGGAUGUUUGAAAGGACAACUUUAGGGUUGUAACAAAAAAGAUCUGGAAAAAGCUAUUUCUAUGUUUAGUAUCUUGUUCAAACCAAAGUUUUUAAAAUGAUUUUCUUUAUUGCUAGCUAUUCGUUAUAUGGGCUAUUUCAAAUUCCUGUCUACCUUAAAUAUGUUUUAUAUUUACCUAUUGUCAGUAUUAAUUGGGAAAACCCAAGAAUGCAUUACAUUUUAAUUUAUUUCAUUAUUUUGAACAUAAUGCAAAUUUAAGAUUCAUUUAGCACUUUCUUCUACAUUGUUAGAUAUCCUUUGGCUCUUUUCGACAUUUUCAAAGCCAAAGAUGCAUUGCGAUUUUACUUAUUUCAGUUUGGAUUUUUUUUGGUUUUGUAGGUUGAAGCUUUAGCAGUGAAAGGUAAUCCAGAUUUAUUUCAACAAUGAGGCUUUUGAAGCUGAUAAACAUGAUGAAUUUCUGAAAAGUAAGUUGUUCGAGAUUUGGAGGGAUCUUCCUUUAUAUGAUUAAACUUAUUUUGUAUAGGUCAGUGAUAACAAGUGAACUUAUUCUCAAUAGACAGGUUAUCCAAAAUAAUUAGAAAAAUGUAUUUUUUUUUUUUUUAAGGAUAAGGAGGUGUUAUUAAAGUCAUCAUUGGAUCUUUAACAAGUUGGAAGAGGCCUAGGACCAAUGCAUGGAGUUUUAUAACUAAUUCUUGUAAUAGUUUAUGAACUCCGGUCUCUUCGACAUUAUUGCAAUUAUUUUUAAAUUCUAUUUUUCUUUGAGCUUGCUGUACAUGGUCAGAUCGUAGCCAUUGGAAUAACAUGGUCACCUCGUAAUCUGGGGAUUGAAGCAGUUGGAUAUUUUUUUUUUUCUUUGUUGUAAAAUAUUUCAUUUCAGCAAGUUUGAUCUUCAAAGCAGCUUGGUCUGAAAAAUGCACUAAAUGUUAUAGCCUGAUCGCAUUUUGCAAUGCUUCUAGGGAGUCUCACGAUAGCUUGAAAUAAUUUUGCGAUCAAUUUAUUGCUUUUAGUCCUUGAGACACUGAUGAAUUUUUAAUCAUGUCUCUCAAUAUACUUUUACUCUAUUCUUUGCAAGUCUAAUAGAGUAGAUUCCAAUUAAUUAAUGACAAUAUAAUCUAUUUCAGGAUAUGAAGAUGCUGCUGCACAAACUCAACGAACCCUUGCCUAUUUAAACUUCACCCGGAAUUUGAUAUUUAGCACAGUGCUCUUUGCAGCUAUAUAAUUCUAAAGUCCCUUCUCUAUAUAAUUCUAAUAAUACCUGUCUCAUGUUGAUGUUAUAAAGCUUCGAUGACGAUUAAAAGAAACUUGAAAGUUUUUUUUUUUUUUUUAAUAAUCAAUAUCUACUUCUUCGAUUGUUGCCGUAAGUCUAGGUCAAAUGUACAAAGCUCGGUUGAAGUACUCUGGCCAGGUUGUUGCUGUGAAGGUACAAAUACCUUGUAUUGAAGAAGCUAUAGGGCUGGAUUUUUAUCUUAUAAGUUUAGGUUUCCUCAUAAAUAAAUAUGCUGAAAUAAUUACAAGUGAUGUUAUUGCUCUUAUUGACAAAUUUCCUUGGAUAGUUUACCAAGAGCUCAAUUAUGUGCAGGUUUCUAACUUUUCCUAAAUUUACCUUUCCUUAAAAGAGACAAUCCUAAGAUCACUGCUCAUUUUUGCCACCCUUGUUUUAACACUAGAACUGGUUUGGAGUUUCCUUCUUUUUUUAAUGCAUAAAACGAGUUCUGGGUUCUCCUUGAUGUUGUCUCUUGUACUUUUCAAUUUUGAUUCACAAUCCGAAUUUCAAAAAUUUCUUGAAAAUGGGGUUUUGGAAGGAUAUGUUAGAAAAAUAAACAUGCAUUUAACCUAUUUAAUUUAUUUUCAUGAAUUUAGGAGUUUGAAAUACAUGUAUUAUUAAUUAAUAUGCAUCUAGUUAAUUGUGGUUCAUGUAUGUAUGUAUUAUUAAUUAAUGUGUACAUAGUAAAUUGUGGUGCAUGUAGUAGAAUUAAAUUGAGGGGAUAAACUUAUGUGAUAGGAAGUCCUAUAAAUACCUAUGUAAUCUUGAGUUGAAGGCAAAUCCACAAUUGAAUAGAAAAUCAUUUCCUCCUCCUAAGUCCACUUCUAUUUCCUACAAAGUGGUAUCAGAGCCACAAUACUAGAAACCAUGGCAAAUGUCAACAUGAUCCCCUUCCAAGUUCCAAAACUAUCCAAAGAGAAAUUUGAUAAUUGGUGCAUCCGCAUGAAGGCACUACUUGGUGCACAUGAUGCAUGGGACAUCGUGGAGAAUGGUUAUGAGGCUCCCAUCGAUCUAGCUGCGCUCAUCCAAGCACAAAGGGAUCUUUUACAAAGCACUAAGAAGAAUGAUCAAAAGGCUGUUUCUCUUAUUCACCAAGCAUUGGAUGAGACCACUUUUGAGAAGGUUUCUAAUGUUACUACAGUAAAUCAAUUAUGGGAUAUGCUUCAAGUUGCCUACAAAGGAAAGGAGAAGGCAAAGAAAGUUCGCCUCCAAAAUCUACAAGGUGAAUUUGAAGCUAUUCAAAUGAAGGAAUCCAAAAAGGUGUCGGAUUAUAUUUCAAGAGUGGUGACCGUAGCAAACCAAAUGAAGAGGCUUGAUGAAGAUGUGACUGAUUUAAGGGUGAUUGAGAAAAUCCUUAGAUCAGUUACUGAGAAAUUUGAUCACGUGGUAACUGCCAUUGAAGAAUCAAAGGACAUCGAAGAUAUGACAAUUGAAGAAUUAUGCGGAUCAUUGAAUAUGAAGACAAGCUUAAUCGAAGAAGGAAGGAGCCAUUGGAGUAGGUUUUGCAAUCAAAGCUCACAUUGAAAAACAAGGAAGNNNNNNNNNNNNNNNNNNNNNNNNNNNNNNNNNNNNNNNNNNNNNNNNNNNNNNNNNNNNNNNNNNNNNNNNNNNNNNNNNNNNNNNNNNNNNNNNNNNNNNNNNNNNNNNNNNNNNNNNNNNNNNNNNNNNNNNNNNNNNNNNNNNNNNNNNNNNNNNNNNNNNNNNNNNNNNNNNNNNNNNNNNNNNNNNNNNNNNNNNNNNNNNNNNNNNNNNNNNNNNNNNNNNNNNNNNNNNNNNNNNNNNNNNNNNNNNNNNNNNNNNNNNNNNNNNNNNNNNNNNNNNNNNNNNNNNNNNNNNNNNNNNNNNNNNNNNNNNNNNNNNNNNNNNNNNNNNNNNNNNNNNNNNNNNNNNNNNNNNNNNNNNNNNNNNNNNNNNNNNNNNNNNNNNNNNNNNNNNNNNNNNNNNNNNNNNNNNNNNNNNNNNNNNNNNNNNNNNNNNNNNNNNNNNNNNNNNNNNNNNNNNNNNNNNNNNNNNNNNNNNNNNNNNNNNNNNNNNNNNNNNNNNNNNNNNNNNNNNNNNNNNNNNNNNNNNNNNNNNNNNNNNNNNNNNNNNNNNNNNNNNNNNNNNNNNNNNNNNNNNNNNNNNNNNNNNNNNNNNNNNNNNNNNNNNNNNNNNNNNNNNNNNNNNNNNNNNNNNNNNNNNNNNNNNNNNNNNNNNNNNNNNNNNNNNNNNNNNNNNNNNNNNNNNNNNNNNNNNNNNNNNNNNNNNNNNNNNNNNNNNNNNNNNNNNNNNNNNNNNNNNNNNNNNNNNNNNNNNNNNNNNNNNNNNNNNNNNNNNNNNNNNNNNNNNNNNNNNNNNNNNNNNNNNNNNNNNNNNNNNNNNNNNNNNNNNNNNNNNNNNNNNNNNNNNNNNNNNNNNNNNNNNNNNNNNNNNNNNNNNNNNNNNNNNNNNNNNNNNNNNNNNNNNNNNNNNNNNNNNNNNNNNNNNNNNNNNNNNNNNNNNNNNNNNNNNNNNNNNNNNNNNNNNNNNNNNNNNNNNNNNNNNNNNNNNNNNNNNNNNNNNNNNNNNNNNNNNNNNNNNNNNNNNNNNNNNNNNNNNNNNNNNNNNNNNNNNNNNNNNNNNNNNNNNNNNNNNNNNNNNNNNNNNNNNNNNNNNNNNNNNNNNNNNNNNNNNNNNNNNNNNNNNNNNNNNNNNNNNNNNNNNNNNNNNNNNNNNNNNNNNNNNNNNNNNNNNNNNNNNNNNNNNNNNNNNNNNNNNNNNNNNNNNNNNNNNNNNNNNNNNNNNNNNNNNNNNNNNNNNNNNNNNNNNNNNNNNNNNNNNNNNNNNNNNNNNNNNNNNNNNNNNNNNNNNNNNNNNNNNNNNNNNNNNNNNNNNNNNNNNNNNNNNNNNNNNNNNNNNNNNNNNNNNNNNNNNNNNNNNNNNNNNNNNNNNNNNNNNNNNNNNNNNNNNNNNNNNNNNNNNNNNNNNNNNNNNNNNNNNNNNNNNNNNNNNNNNNNNNNNNNNNNNNNNNNNNNNNNNNNNNNNNNNNNNNNNNNNNNNNNNNNNNNNNNNNNNNNNNNNNNNNNNNNNNNNNNNNNNNNNNNNNNNNNNNNNNNNNNNNNNNNNNNNNNNNNNNNNNNNNNNNNNNNNNNNNNNNNNNNNNNNNNNNNNNNNNNNNNNNNNNNNNNNNNNNNNNNNNNNNNNNNNNNNNNNNNNNNNNNNNNNNNNNNNNNNNNNNNNNNNNNNNNNNNNNNNNNNNNNNNNNNNNNNNNNNNNNNNNNNNNNNNNNNNNNNNNNNNNNNNNNNNNNNNNNNNNNNNNNNNNNNNNNNNNNNNNNNNNNNNNNNNNNNNNNNNNNNNNNNNNNNNNNNNNNNNNNNNNNNNNNNNNNNNNNNNNNNNNNNNNNNNNNNNNNNNNNNNNNNNNNNNNNNNNNNNNNNNNNNNNNNNNNNNNNNNNNNNNNNNNNNNNNNNNNNNNNNNNNNNNNNNNNNNNNNNNNNNNNNNNNNNNNNNNNNNNNNNNNNNNNNNNNNNNNNNNNNNNNNNNNNNNNNNNNNNNNNNNNNNNNNNNNNNNNNNNNNNNNNNNNNNNNNNNNNNNNNNNNNNNNNNNNNNNNNNNNNNNNNNNNNNNNNNNNNNNNNNNNNNNNNNNNNNNNNNNNNNNNNNNNNNNNNNNNNNNNNNNNNNNNNNNNNNNNNNNNNNNNNNNNNNNNNNNNNNNNNNNNNNNNNNNNNNNNNNNNNNNNNNNNNNNNNNNNNNNNNNNNNNNNNNNNNNNNNNNNNNNNNNNNNNNNNNNNNNNNNNNNNNNNNNNNNNNNNNNNNNNNNNNNNNNNNNNNNNNNNNNNNNNNNNNNNNNNNNNNNNNNNNNNNNNNNNNNNNNNNNNNNNNNNNNNNNNNNNNNNNNNNNNNNNNNNNNNNNNNNNNNNNNNNNNNNNNNNNNNNNNNNNNNNNNNNNNNNNNNNNNNNNNNNNNNNNNNNNNNNNNNNNNNNNNNNNNNNNNNNNNNNNNNNNNNNNNNNNNNNNNNNNNNNNNNNNNNNNNNNNNNNNNNNNNNNNNNNNNNNNNNNNNNNNNNNNNNNNNNNNNNNNNNNNNNNNNNNNNNNNNNNNNNNNNNNNNNNNNNNNNNNNNNNNNNNNNNNNNNNNNNNNNNNNNNNNNNNNNNNNNNNNNNNNNNNNNNNNNNNNNNNNNNNNNNNNNNNNNNNNNNNNNNNNNNNNNNNNNNNNNNNNNNNNNNNNNNNNNNNNNNNNNNNNNNNNNNNNNNNNNNNNNNNNNNNNNNNNNNNNNNNNNNNNNNNNNNNNNNNNNNNNNNNNNNNNNNNNNNNNNNNNNNNNNNNNNNNNNNNNNNNNNNNNNNNNNNNNNNNNNNNNNNNNNNNNNNNNNNNNNNNNNNNNNNNNNNNNNNNNNNNNNNNNNNNNNNNNNNNNNNNNNNNNNNNNNNNNNNNNNNNNNNNNNNNNNNNNNNNNNNNNNNNNNNNNNNNNNNNNNNNNNNNNNNNNNNNNNNNNNNNNNNNNNNNNNNNNNNNNNNNNNNNNNNNNNNNNNNNNNNNNNNNNNNNNNNNNNNNNNNNNNNNNNNNNNNNNNNNNNNNNNNNNNNNNNNNNNNNNNNNNNNNNNNNNNNNNNNNNNNNNNNNNNNNNNNNNNNNNNNNNNNNNNNNNNNNNNNNNNNNNNNNNNNNNNNNNNNNNNNNNNNNNNNNNNNNNNNNNNNNNNNNNNNNNNNNNNNNNNNNNNNNNNNNNNNNNNNNNNNNNNNNNNNNNNNNNNNNNNNNNNNNNNNNNNNNNNNNNNNNNNNNNNNNNNNNNNNNNNNNNNNNNNNNNNNNNNNNNNNNNNNNNNNNNNNNNNNNNNNNNNNNNNNNNNNNNNNNNNNNNNNNNNNNNNNNNNNNNNNNNNNNNNNNNNNNNNNNNNNNNNNNNNNNNNNNNNNNNNNNNNNNNNNNNNNNNNNNNNNNNNNNNNNNNNNNNNNNNNNNNNNNNNNNNNNNNNNNNNNNNNNNNNNNNNNNNNNNNNNNNNNNNNNNNNNNNNNNNNNNNNNNNNNNNNNNNNNNNNNNNNNNNNNNNNNNNNNNNNNNNNNNNNNNNNNNNNNNNNNNNNNNNNNNNNNNNNNNNNNNNNNNNNNNNNNNNNNNNNNNNNNNNNNNNNNNNNNNNNNNNNNNNNNNNNNNNNNNNNNNNNNNNNNNNNNNNNNNNNNNNNNNNNNNNNNNNNNNNNNNNNNNNNNNNNNNNNNNNNNNNNNNNNNNNNNNNNNNNNNNNNNNNNNNNNNNNNNNNNNNNNNNNNNNNNNNNNNNNNNNNNNNNNNNNNNNNNNNNNNNNNNNNNNNNNNNNNNNNNNNNNNNNNNNNNNNNNNNNNNNNNNNNNNNNNNNNNNNNNNNNNNNNNNNNNNNNNNNNNNNNNNNNNNNNNNNNNNNNNNNNNNNNNNNNNNNNNNNNNNNNNNNNNNNNNNNNNNNNNNNNNNNNNNNNNNNNNNNNNNNNNNNNNNNNNNNNNNNNNNNNNNNNNNNNNNNNNNNNNNNNNNNNNNNNNNNNNNNNNNNNNNNNNNNNNNNNNNNNNNNNNNNNNNNNNNNNNNNNNNNNNNNNNNNNNNNNNNNNNNNNNNNNNNNNNNNNNNNNNNNNNNNNNNNNNNNNNNNNNNNNNNNNNNNNNNNNNNNNNNNNNNNNNNNNNNNNNNNNNNNNNNNNNNNNNNNNNNNNNNNNNNNNNNNNNNNNNNNNNNNNNNNNNNNNNNNNNNNNNNNNNNNNNNNNNNNNNNNNNNNNNNNNNNNNNNNNNNNNNNNNNNNNNNNNNNNNNNNNNNNNNNNNNNNNNNNNNNNNNNNNNNNNNNNNNNNNNNNNNNNNNNNNNNNNNNNNNNNNNNNNNNNNNNNNNNNNNNNNNNNNNNNNNNNNNNNNNNNNNNNNNNNNNNNNNNNNNNNNNNNNNNNNNNNNNNNNNNNNNNNNNNNNNNNNNNNNNNNNNNNNNNNNNNNNNNNNNNNNNNNNNNNNNNNNNNNNNNNNNNNNNNNNNNNNNNNNNNNNNNNNNNNNNNNNNNNNNNNNNNNNNNNNNNNNNNNNNNNNNNNNNNNNNNNNNNNNNNNNNNNNNNNNNNNNNNNNNNNNNNNNNNNNNNNNNNNNNNNNNNNNNNNNNNNNNNNNNNNNNNNNNNNNNNNNNNNNNNNNNNNNNNNNNNNNNNNNNNNNNNNNNNNNNNNNNNNNNNNNNNNNNNNNNNNNNNNNNNNNNNNNNNNNNNNNNNNNNNNNNNNNNNNNNNNNNNNNNNNNNNNNNNNNNNNNNNNNNNNNNNNNNNNNNNNNNNNNNNNNNNNNNNNNNNNNNNNNNNNNNNNNNNNNNNNNNNNNNNNNNNNNNNNNNNNNNNNNNNNNNNNNNNNNNNNNNNNNNNNNNNNNNNNNNNNNNNNNNNNNNNNNNNNNNNNNNNNNNNNNNNNNNNNNNNNNNNNNNNNNNNNNNNNNNNNNNNNNNNNNNNNNNNNNNNNNNNNNNNNNNNNNNNNNNNNNNNNNNNNNNNNNNNNNNNNNNNNNNNNNNNNNNNNNNNNNNNNNNNNNNNNNNNNNNNNNNNNNNNNNNNNNNNNNNNNNNNNNNNNNNNNNNNNNNNNNNNNNNNNNNNNNNNNNNNNNNNNNNNNNNNNNNNNNNNNNNNNNNNNNNNNNNNNNNNNNNNNNNNNNNNNNNNNNNNNNNNNNNNNNNNNNNNNNNNNNNNNNNNNNNNNNNNNNNNNNNNNNNNNNNNNNNNNNNNNNNNNNNNNNNNNNNNNNNNNNNNNNNNNNNNNNNNNNNNNNNNNNNNNNNNNNNNNNNNNNNNNNNNNNNNNNNNNNNNNNNNNNNNNNNNNNNNNNNNNNNNNNNNNNNNNNNNNNNNNNNNNNNNNNNNNNNNNNNNNNNNNNNNNNNNNNNNNNNNNNNNNNNNNNNNNNNNNNNNNNNNNNNNNNNNNNNNNNNNNNNNNNNNNNNNNNNNNNNNNNNNNNNNNNNNNNNNNNNNNNNNNNNNNNNNNNNNNNNNNNNNNNNNNNNNNNNNNNNNNNNNNNNNNNNNNNNNNNNNNNNNNNNNNNNNNNNNNNNNNNNNNNNNNNNNNNNNNNNNNNNNNNNNNNNNNNNNNNNNNNNNNNNNNNNNNNNNNNNNNNNNNNNNNNNNNNNNNNNNNNNNNNNNNNNNNNNNNNNNNNNNNNNNNNNNNNNNNNNNNNNNNNNNNNNNNNNNNNNNNNNNNNNNNNNNNNNNNNNNNNNNNNNNNNNNNNNNNNNNNNNNNNNNNNNNNNNNNNNNNNNNNNNNNNNNNNNNNNNNNNNNNNNNNNNNNNNNNNNNNNNNNNNNNNNNNNNNNNNNNNNNNNNNNNNNNNNNNNNNNNNNNNNNNNNNNNNNNNNNNNNNNNNNNNNNNCCCCAAAGUCCUGCCAUUUGAAAAAGAAAAGGAAAAGAGUGAAUUUUUGGCAUCCCUUAAGAGGAUUAUACCAUAAUCAUUGCUCUAAUAGAAAAGAGAGAAUUUGAUAUCACUGUACAUUCUUAUGGUGCCCAUCGCACCUAUCUGGUUUUUAAAAUGUCUCUAGUCAUUCAUUAACAGGUUUGGUACUUUUCAUUAAAUAUCUUCUUUAUAUACCUUUUGUACCUUUUUCAAUCCAUCUAAAUCUCUAAAGACAAAAAAUACGAUCUACAAGCUGGCACUGUAGGCGACGAUUUUCAUCAACUUUGACAUAGACUUCGGCAACGAGGAAGAGUAUUAUGAAACCAACAGUGAGUUAAUUGGCGAAGCAAAAUCAACCUCUCCAAGUUGGUGAUUUCAAGUGAAUAUUCAUGUUUUUUCUCAAUUCAUUAUUAUUUUUUGGAUUUUUAUUUUUUAAAAACUUAGAAUGGUUUAAAACUGCAGACAACUUUUUCUCUGCGUUUGUUCUCCUUUAUCAUUAUUUUUUUACAAUUAACAUUGUAAAGAAAACAUUUGAAAUUGUGAAAUCAAACAUUAUUGACAUUUCCUUUGGUGAAAUUAAGAUUUUUAUCACUAAUGUGUAGCCAAGUUCUUUUUACCUAUCAACUUUUGCCCUCGCAUGGAAGGGAAUGAACACCGUGCCAAUCGCAUCGGGGGACCACGCUCAUGGGAAAUUUGCAUGUAGCAUGAUAGGGAUAUGUACUUUAAAAAUACGUAGGAAUUAUGUUGGAUUGGUGAAUUUUUCUGCUUGAUACCGUGUAAUGGUUGAGAAUUUGGAGGUUUUCAGCAUUCAACUUCAGUGAAACUGCUUUAGUUUCAAUUACUUCGAUGUUCAUUGUAGGCAAGUGAUGCAUGAUGGGCUUAAGUUAGUAAAGGAAUGCAAGGGGACUCUGUAUCGUGUCCCUUGGAAUAUGGAGGAUCAUUUAUUUAAUAGUUAAUUGAUUGGAGUCUAAUAGAACUCUUUUUGACUAGGACUUUUAACUUUUGGACGAGGUUGAGCAUGAAGCUUGUCUUCUUAUCUUAUGAGAUGAGAUUUUAGUUUAUUCUGCCAAGUUAUAAUCUUGCCUUGGAUUGGGCUCUAAGAACUCGUUGGACCAUGAACACUGGCAAGGAUGUUCACUACUAAGUCAUGCUUUUCAAAUUCAGGUCAGCUUAUGGUCUUAAAUAAUGAAGGGGACACAAGAAGAAGAUCAAACUCUUGUUAGUAGAUAUUAUGAAAUGAGGUUGGCCCUAGGUUUGUGGUACAGUAAGAAAGGAUGAAAGCUGGUGACUAAGCUGGACAAAGCUAGAAGGUUAGAUUAUGUCCUAGGUAUAUGGUAUGGUACAUAAUUUGUUGAUGAUGAGACACAAGAUUAGAUCAACUGAGGUGAUUAAAAUAGACAAGAUCAGAAGAUUAUAUCAAAUUUUUGUUUUGAUAUUGUAGAAUCAAGUUGGUUCUAGGCAAAUCAUUUAGUAGGAAUGAAUUAUCAAUUGGGCUCAAUUGAGGCAAGGUAGAAUAUACUUUCAUUGGUACUAUAUAUGAUAGUUAAUAAAUUAAUUUAUUACAUAAGUUAUCGAUAUCAUGAGAACAAAAUUGCUAUUCCAGUUUUAGUCAUAAGCUCAACAUAAUUGAAUUAUUUUGCAUGUAGUUCUAGACCAUAGGAUGGAGGUAUUGACUUGGUCUAAGAAGUCAUGUACAUUGAGGGCUGAAUUGGUCUCAAGGUCAUAAAGGAAUUGCAAUUUUUGUACCAAAUCCAUCGAUCAUUGGCCUAUUUCAUCGAUCAAAUCUCUACAAAACUUUGUAAUUAUGUGUAAUCAAAUGAUCUGUAUUGUAUAUGUAAAUCAUAUGGAUCUUUAUCUUAUCAAAUUUAGUAAUUUUGCUAACGUAAUCAACGUAGGAAAUUCCAUCAAUCCUUAACGCUCUAUACACUAACGUUACCUUUAAAAAGAAACAGUCCGUGCAUUGCACGGGCAUUAGACUAGUCUUAUGAAAUAUGUAAUUAAAAAUAAUUGUUGAUUUUGACUUGUGAUUUUUAUCUAUUUUUAAUCUACACUAAAUAAAAGGCUUAGUAUCAAUAAUACUUACUUUAUGUGAUAGUAAAAUUAUUGUCACACAACCACAUGAAUUAGUACUAAGUACUACUAAUGCAAUCUCACAUAAUUACUAGUUGCCGGCACGUUAUGAGUAAAAUAUAUCAUCUAUCAUCGAAACUUUGUCUCUUGUUUUAGAACGGUCACUGAACUUCUAUUUGUUUUCAACUCGUUAAUAGACUUUAAAAAUGGAUUCAUAUCGGUCAAUCAGUCAGUUAAAUGAACUGAGUUGCAUAAAUGUCAAACAUCUUUACUUAGGGUCUUGUCAGCGGCUAACUAUUUGAAAUCGAUCAUCAAUCUUUUUAUCCGCUUUUCAAAAUGGUCGCUAGACUUCAAUUUUAUUUCCAACUAGUUAUUGGACUUUACAAAAUGACNAAUAGUCAGAUUUGAAACAUACAAAUAAAGGGCCUGACUUUUAGGAUUGCAAAUCUUCCUAGCGGAUCGUUUAGUCUGCAACAAAAAUUUUGAUGCUAAAGAUCCUCUAGAGAGGCAAUAACAGAGCAUAAUUUUGUUACUGCUCAAAUUUAAAUCAAUUAAAAAAUAAUUGAUCUUGUACAUUUUUCUUUCACAUAAGUGGAUUCGGGGCAUAACCUUUCUAUUUUUAAUUCGAUCAUAUAGGCAUGGUACUUUAGGUUAUAAUUUUAUUAUCGUCAAGUAAGCAAGCGGUUUAAAACAUGGGUAAAAAGUUCAGAGAUCGAUUUGAAAUGGUUGAUGAGGCUCCACAUACAUGACGCCACUUGAUACAUAGGCAACUUCGUUAAUUUAAUGGGGUGACUAAUUUGAAACCAUUUUUAAAAUUCAUUGACAAAUUGAAAAUCAAUGGAAGUCUAGUAACCAUUUGGAGGAUAAAACCAAGUUUUCAGACAGGCUUUAAAAGAUCAAAUCUUCAAGGUGGAAAUUAUAUCAAACCAUACUUUAAAUAUUCAACAUUCUAAAAUCAAGUUAAAAGUUUGACAUUUCAAAAAUCGAAUGUUUUAUAUUUAAAUAUUAAAUAUUAUAAUACAAAUUUUAUUUCAAACCCUAAUUAAUUUAUCUCAUUCCUCUUUUCCCCUCUCUCUUCUCACCCGUCUCCCUUCCACUCUCAGACGUCGCCUCUCCAUUCCUAGUAGCCUUCCAGCGGCACGUCAUUGAUGAAAAACAGCUGCGACGACGACGAUUGGUAGUGUUGGCGAUGGCGUAGUGGUGGUCCUCUCUUCUCACCCGUCUCCCUCUCCACUCUCAGCAGCCUUUCGAUGGUUUGAUGCUGAUUUCCUGUUGAUUUGUGUGAGAUUGGGUUAUGCUGUGGGAGUUAUUCUAGAAAAAAAUCACUUCAGUGAAAGAAGAAGUGAAAUCAUUGGUGAAUAUCUUAUGCUGUUCUGGAUCUGGGUGCAAAGUAGAAUGAGAAAUUAACUUCCAUCAUCCCCUCAUUAAAUAUACUGUUUUUGUUGGUGAUUGUGUCAAUUGCUUAGUCAGAAAUCUAUAAAGAUAUUUCUUUACAUCUCCCACCCUUCACCGUGCACCAGUUGUUCUGAAAUUGAUAUUUGAUAGUUCAAAAUCAUAUUCAAAUAUAGUCUGAAAGAAGUCACCAGCGGUUUGAUAAUUCACAAAUCUCUUCAAUUUGUAUCAGAUAUGGAAGGCUAAGGAGUUUCUAAAUAUUUUUCCAACCAACAGAAAUGCCAGAGUAGAGGCUGAUAUUGUUGAUGCUCUCACAGUCAGACUUCCAAAUCUUGGGGUGAACCUUCUACCAAUGGCAUUUAGGCAAAUUAAAGAUCCUAUGGAGAUCAUUAAGUUGGCAAUUAAUUGUCAAAGUGGGGCUUAUCUAAAUAUUGAUGAACUUGUUGAAAUUCCAAAACUUCUUGGAUUAAGUUCACGGGAAGACAACUCAGCAGUACAGGAAGCUAUUGCAAGAGAGGCAGAAUUGUCGGAGAUGUCCAACUGGCUUUUGAUCGCUGUCUCAUGUUGGCCAAAAAGGGCCUUGGUUCUGCUUGGGACGACGCACAGCUGCAACCACUCUCUCAGCUCUUUGUACCGCUGCGACGACAAACAGCUAUAAGGAACACGACUGCUGAGACAUAGUUUUUUUUUGUGGGGUGGGUGUGAUUGUGACCAAUUAUUUGAUUGAUUGUAAUUAAUAAUUGGUUAAUUUGUAAUAUGUGACCUAAAAAUUGUGACUGUGGCUCACAAUUGAAUAAGUUGUCUUCAGAAAAUUAAUCACCAACUAAUCUAAUAAUUUGCAAUGAAUAAAUGAGUUGUGGUCAAUAAAAUUUUUGUUUCCAUGACCAAUGAAUAAUUUAUAACCUAUAAAAUUUUUUACUCACGACUUAAAAUUUAUAUGUGACCUAUAAAUUUUUUUAUUUAUGAUCAAAAAAUUAGUUAUGAUCAAUAAUUUGAUAAGUUGUGACCAAAAAUUAAUUCGUGAUUAAUUAAUUUUUUGAUUUGUGAUCGAUGAACAAAUUGUGACUUACAAAAUUUUUGAAUUGUAAUUGUAAAAUAAUUUGUGACAUAAAAUUUUUGAUUUGUGACCAAAAAUAAUAAGUAACUAAUUAAUUUGUUAAUUUGUGAUCAAAUUGUAUAAAUCUGUUACCUAAAUAUAUUUAAAUAAUAACUUAAUUAAUUAAAUCAUAAAUAAAUUUUAAUAAAAAUCUGAUUUUUGAAGUUUGAAACUUGUUUUCUUGAUUUUGAAGUGUGUGAUAUUUAAACGCUUACUUAUGAAAUUUUUCCAUCUUCAAGUUCUCCUAGUUAAUGGGGGUCCAAUUUUUUAUAGGGUCUGUUCCAUAGUAAUUAUGAGAAUUAAUUUUUGGAAAAAAUUCAUAAACCAUGCUUUAAGUAUGGCUAAUUCAAAUUCAAGGCCUAGAGUUUUAAAAUGCAAAAAUCUGGUUUCUGUAAAUUAAUUAAAAAUAUUUUAUUAAUGAAGCAUAUUAAAGCCACAGUUAUAAGAUUUAUGGUCACAGAUGUGUACUUUAAGAUCACAAUGUCACAUGUUAUAAAAAUCAUUGAUCACAAAUAAAAAAUAUUAUAGGUCACAGUUUUUCAAAUUAGUUGGUCACAAAUUAUUUUUAAAUCAAAGUUAUCGAAUUUUUAGGUCACAUAUUUUCAAAUUAGUUGAUCACAGAUUAUUUUUAAGUCACAAGUUAUCAAAUUUUUAGGUCACAGAUAACCAAAUAAUUGGUCACACACAACCGCUGCUGUCACCACCACUGCAAUCUCCACCGCAACCGCCACCUCCCUCACGCUGACACAGUCUCUAGCAGCACAACAUCAACAGCACACCACACCACACCGCCACGACCACCACCAUUGUCAACUGCCACCACCGUUGUCAAAUCCACCAUCGCCGCCAGCACCCCUCCCUACACAACCAACAAAAACCACCUAAAACCACACCACCACUAAAACACCUGCAAACUACUACCAAUUCAACCACCAUAGACGCCACCACAAAACCUCCACUACACAAACACAAACACCAUCACCACCACCACACAAAACCUCGUCCAAACGCCACCCAACCGCCAUAUCCACCACCAUAGUUGCUACCACAGAACCGCCAUCACCACCACUAUCCACCCCUCACCAUCACCACUUCCUUAGAUCGGAAAGAGAGAAAAAAAUCCCAAACCCCCUCCCCAAGCUGGCAGUAGUCGCAUCGAAGACUGCAGAAUCACGAAUCAUUCUUCAAAGAUCGAAAAGUGGCGCGACUGAACCACCGAGUGAGUUUGAGUAGAGAGAGAGAAGAAAAACAAAACGCCGCCAGUCAGGUUGCUGCAGACGUCGUCACCGUCGUGAAAGCUGCCAAAUUCGGUGGUGUUUUCUGAUGUAGAGAAGUAGAAAAUACGGUAGAGAGAGAAGGAUAAAUAUUAGGGUUUGAAAAUGAAUUGAGGGAAAUAUUUAAUCUUUAAAUUAUUAUAUCAAAACCUGAUUUUUGCUUAAGAAAACUUCGACCCUGAUGUUUGAAUUGUGUUCUUUAAACCCCUGGUUUCAUGUAAUUUCUUCUUAAUUUUUUGAUCAUUAGAGAGAAAAAUUGGUCUUAUUUGUGAGCGAAAAAGUAAAAAAUGACAUUUGAAAUAGUGAAAUAACAAUAAAAAAAUUAAAAUUUUUUUGGGUGAAAAAUUGCUACUAAACGGAGGUAUAAUUUGAGGAUAAGAAUUGUCAAUGUUAGAAUAGUGUAAAUAAUAUCCUUCAUGUUAUCUUAUCAUUAAUUACGACUUUUUGUUUUUUUGUGACAAAUUCAUCAAACUUGAAAGAAAGUUACGACGACUUGAAACCAAAUGAAAUGGAAGUCAUCCAGCUUACAGAAGCAAAAUAAUAAUGCUAUUUCGUCCGUCGCGUGGAUUAAAAUUAAAUUUUUAAUGAGUUUUGAUAAGUAGAUGAAUGUAAAAUUGUAAAUCUUAUAAAAUAUGUAAUUAAAAUUAUUUUGACUUGUGAUUUUUAUCAAUUUUUAAUCUAGACUAAAUAACAGGCUUAGUAUCAAUAAUACUUACUUUAUGUGACAGAAAAAUUAUUCUCACACAAACACAUAAAUUAGUACUAAGUACUACUAAUGCAAACUAAAAUAAUUACUAGUUGCCAUAAAAAAUGAUGCACGAUAUGAGUAAAAUACAUCAUCUAUCGAACUUUGUCUCUCGUUUUAGAACGGUUACUGAAUUCUAUUUGUUUUCAACUCGUUAAUAGACUUUAAAAAUGGAUUCAUAUUAGUCAAUCAGUUUAUUAAAUUAACAGAUUUGCAUAAAUGUCAAAUGUCUUUACUUACGUAGAGUCUUAUCAGCUGCUAACUGUUUCAAAUCGAUCAUCAAUCUUUUUAUACGCUUUUCAAAAUGGUUGCUAGACUUCAAUUUAUUUCCAACUAGUUACUGGACUUUACAAAAUGACAAAAAAAGAAAAGAAAAAAAUAAAAAAGGGAAAAAAAAAACCUAAAAUUUCUGGCUUUAAAAUCUUACCUAACCUUCAAUUUAAAUGGAUUGCAACAUUUAACGAAGUUCAUCGUAUUCUAUGCUACAAUUUCCACUCAACUACAUAGUCCAUAGACUUUACAUCCCCAUACAAAUAUUGAAUUGAAUUAUUAAUUUAUGUUGGAUUAUGAAAGUGACGUACAAUAAUUAUCACUUUUUCAACAGUUUUAAACAAUUCCUUAAAAAUUCUUUAAAAACAAUUAGAUAAUGUAUGUAAAAUUCCUAAUUAAAUCAACUAAAAAAUAAUUGAUAUCUUGUACAUUUUUCUUUCACAUAAGUGGAUUUUAGGCAUAACCUUCUAUUUUUAAUUCGAUCGUAUAGGCAUAGUACUUUCGGUUAUAAUUUUAUUAUCAUCAAGUAAGCAAGCGAUUUAAAACAUUGGUAAAAAGUUCAGUGAUCGAUUUGAAAUGGUUGAUGAGACUCCACAUAAGCGACGCCACUUGAUAUGCGUGCAACUUUAUUAAUUUAAUGGGGUGACUAAUUUAAAACCAUUUUUAAAUUUCAUUGACAAAUUGAAAAUCAAUUGAAGUAUAGUAACAAUUUGAAAGAUAAAACCAAGUGUACAGAUAGUUGGGAGUUCGAUUGGAGUGCAACAGAAGAGGUUGUACUUGGAGAUAGUUAAUUCGAGCGAGAAAAAGGGGAAAUUUCUGAUGGUGCCAACAGCGGGCACAACCAUCACGAUGAGAGGUCCAGAGAUGAUCAACGGAGAGCUUGGAUUCGUAUUUACAGAUGUGGAAGAGAAGUGCCUAUCUGAAGAUUUAAGGUUUGCUUUGGUGAUGAAAUUUCUCACUGUGAGACCAAAUAUAGAUGUUGUUCGAAGGAUUGUUAACAAAACUUGGGGCCUUCAGAUGAUUUCAGUAAUUAGUUUCAUCAUACCUCACAUGUGUUGAUUCAAUUGAAAAACGAAACUGAUUAUUUGCAUGUAUGGACAAGAGAGGGUCGAUCCUUGGCUGGGGCGACAUUUUAGCUUUUUAAAUGGUCGGCGAAGUUUGAAUUAAAUAGAGAAUCCUCUAUUACUCCACAGUGGAUUUUCUUGCCAGAUUUGUCGAUGCAUAUGUAUAGACCAGAUUGCUUGAGAAUUUUGGCGACUCGAUUUGGAAGAUACUUGGGUACAGACCAUGCAACAUUGAAUCAAUCUCGGGCCACAAGUGCUAGAAUGUCUGUUGAAGUGGAUAUGCUGGCUGAACUAGUUAGAGGUUUUCCUAUAGUUACUUCAUCGAGGACAUUUUAGUAGAAGGUUUGGUAUGAGAAGCUAGGUUUCUAUUGUAUUAAAUGUGGUCGACAAGAUCAUCCUGAAUCCGUGUGUCAGCUUGGACAGAAGCUUAUACACCCUCAAAAAGUGAUGGAGAGACAGGAAUGGAGUAAGAAACAAGGGCAAGUUAGAGAGAAAAAUAAAGACAAGGUGGAGCAAUCAUUUGAACAACUGGUGAUUACUCGAAGGGGGAAGGGAGAAUCGUUGGCGGGGACAAGAAAACAUGUCAACGAGGGGGUGACUUUGUGUGAUGCUAUGUUGAAUGGAUCUACUGAGUCGGGGUACUAUAUAUGUCUCGAGAUUUUUCUAGACGACAUGGAGCAAGGGUGCCACUUUAUUGCGAUCAUAGUUUUUAUUUGGAGCGUCUUCACAACUGGUUCAUGACUCAGAUUAGUUUUCCCUUUGUGGUGGUUGUGUUUGAGUCGAUUCUCCUGUUUAACUUGCGAGUUUUGUGCUACAAAGCAAGGGUUUUAUAGAUUGGCUUCGUUAUUGCAUUUUUGAAGGUAUUUUUGUACAGAUUUGUUCAUUUUUCUGUGAGCUUAUGUUGAUUUGAAAGGGAAAAGGUUUGCUUUUUGUUUUUAUAAAAAAAGUAUUGUUCUUUCUUCUUGUACAGAUAACAGCAAUAGAGCGCGAAUUGACUAAUGUUGAGGAAACUAAUUUCCUUGAAGGCUUGGAUAUUGACAUACAUUCUCCAGUAUGUAAAAAUGAAUACUUUUUUCUCUCCUUCUGAGUGAGUUUUGAUAAGAAAUCUUUUGUAUGCAAUAGUGCUUCUUCGUUUAUGUUUAAAGAUGAAACUAAUAAACAACUGUGAAAUGCUUUAUUCAGUUGAAAUAAAUAAAUUGAAAGAACAGAGGUUACAAUUUCGUCCUCCCAAAAUAUUAAUUGUUGAAAAUUUGAUGCUGCUCUAAAAGACAUGCUGCUAAACUGGAUGGAAGAUGCAGUGACUUAGUUCAAGGUUUGGAAUAAGCUUGUUCAAUGUUGUGCUUGAAAAUAUGUAUCCCUUGCACCUGCUUGUUGAAUCACCCUCCCAUAAGCUUUUUCUGGUCAUUGGAGCACCUCGAGAGUUACUUUACUGUGAGAAUACGUCGUCAAGUUAAGUCUGAAGAUGAAGACUUUGGCUAGGUUUCUAUUUUCACUUGUUUUUCUUAUAAUAUUCUUCAUUGAGCAAUUCUUUUAUCCUUCUCUUUCAAAAAAUUCUUAAUUUGAUAAAUCGAUUUAACAUUAAUGCUUGCAUAUAUUCACUUAGUAAGAAAAUUGUGUAAUUAAAUUUCCAUCAAAGAAGUUAAUGGGUAUCAGUUAUAGUAUUGUUUCUUCAAAUUGCUUGCUCAAUUUCUUCGAAUCCAUUAACUUAAAAUCCUCUUCUUCUUUUUUAUACUCCAUUUACAAAUUUCUUGUUUGUAUCGAAAAUGAAUUCCUAAAUAAAUUGCAAAAUUAAAUAACUGUGUCAAUUCUUCAGACCUACUUUUUGCUUGAUAUAAGAUUUUUCCAGUAAGAAAAAUUUGUGGAGAAAUAGAUUUUGCAAUAAAGGCAUCAUUGUAACUAAUGGUUUGACUCUGAUGAAAGGUCGGAGAAGUGACUUAGCAAUACUAGCCGAUGCUUACCAAACUUGUCCCUCAAUUAUAGACUUAGCAAGAAAAUCCUUAAUGGUAAAUGUAAAUUUCAUCAAGAAAUCAUAAUAAUAAUUUGCCAUAGAACUCCACAAGAUGCACUAAUUGAUUUAUGAAAAAAUUGUGUCCUAAACACCAGUACUACAAAAUCUCAGCUACGUUGAUUCAACUAACGAUAUGUUCAAUCUUAGCUCCUACAAAAUUACAUAAUCCAAUUUUAUGUGUCUUUUGCUUCUCUCUUUGAGGAGUUCUUUAUAAAUUUGAUUCUUGAAAUCACAGGAAGAUAGUGAGCUCAUAAUAAUUAAAAGAGAUGUUGUCGAGCUUCAAUUGGAUUUAUCUAGAACGGUAGAAACGACACUACGGUAGAGCAAUAGAUUUGGAUAAACCUUAGGUCAAUUUGAUUAAAUUAGCUUUGAACUGAAAAUUAAAAAUAGGAAAAUUGUACUUUUGGGGUUGAGAUAAAUUAACUAGUUAGAAAAUUUGUUUAGAAAAAAUAAAAUAAUUUUGCUUAUUUAAAAUAAAUUAAUUAAAAAAUUUAGGAGAUUCGGUUAUUUGGUUCUUACCGACAACUGAAUCGAACUCGUCGAUUUUCGAUUUAGAUACCUGUUCGAAUAUUUAACUUAAGAAGAACCGCUUGAUUCGGGUCGGGUCGGGUCGGGUUCGAUAGGUUCGAUUCCGGAGUUUUGUCCUACCCUCAUCAGUUAUCACUGUUGUUGACUUAUUAGACUUAAAUAAUAUACAUCUAUUUAUGGGACCUCAGUAACGUUUCUUAUUUUUCUCGAUCUCCCAAUUAAAUUCCUAAGGAAAAAUAGCUUGAAUUUAUCCACGAUUUUUUAUUUACUUUAUUUUUAAUACCAAAAUUCACAUAUUUAUAUUUUAAUCGUAAUUCAUUUAAACCCAAAAGACUUAAAAAAGAAAAUACAAAUAAAUAAAAAUAAAACUUAAAUAUAGUAUAAUAUCAUCCCCUUCCCCCUUUAUAAAGUUAAAACAUACUUGGUUCAAUCUGUUUCUUUAUAUAUCAUUCUCUUUACGGUGGUUAUAUUGCCCUUCUAAUUUUUUAUGAGUGCACUAUAUUUUAAUUGCAUAAAAUAUUAACUUUGACUUGUCGACUUUUUUUAUUACACUCUUUUCUCAGCGUACUAUCAAUUUGCACUUAUUUUCGAUGAUAAUUUUUAUCCAAAAAUUAUUUUAAGAUGGCAUAAUGAGUAUUUUAAAUAAGAAAAAAAAUUAACGACAACAAAAGUGUGUUUAAUAUUUUGUCCCUUAUUUUGAAGCAUGUUAACAGAUACCUUGAUGAGGAAAUUAGUCCAAAUACUAUAAAAAGUGACUCAAUUAAAUUAAUACCCAAAAUUAAUUAAACAUCACGAAAAUCCAGUAAUAAUUAUGUCCUAAACUAAAACAAACUGCCAAAACCCAAAAUCUCCCAACUAAGUACAAAGAAAAAAGUGAAAAUUACAAAAACACAGGUGUUUCUACUUCAGAAUGCAAAAAUUAGGUACAAAGUUGUUUUAAUUAAAAUUCAAGUAUUAAAUAUUAUACCCACCCGACCUAAUCCCACACAAACCCUAUAAUUUUUGAUAUCUCUCUCUCGCUAUCUGUACUCUCUCACACACGGACGGCCAUCAUCAGUGAGGAAUCGCGGCCAAAGAUCCAAGCGUUGCUACGAUGCCCCAUUGAUGUGAGAGUCGAGCACUGUCGAUGAAGCCUGCGUUGUUUGAUGAGUGGCGGUGCAAAUUUUGACUGUGUAGUACUGUUCGAAUUUCAAUCCGAUUGCUUCAAAUUUUGGGGGUGGUGGUUGCUUGUUGUUGGUUUUUGGGUGAUGGUGGUUGGAGGUGGUAAGGUGGUGGUGAUGGUCGUGGAAGCAGCGGCGGUGAUUAUGGAUGGAUUGGCGCGGGAUAUGGGUGGUGUUGGUCCAAUCUAAUUGGUGGUGGUGUUAACUAUACACAAUUUGAAUUGGUGGUUGUGGUUUUUGUUUGCUGAAUUGGUGUUUGUUUUGUUGACGGUAUUUGUGCGGUGUAAUCGAUGGUGUGGUGGAAGCGCAAUUACGUGGUGAUGAUUUGUGACCAAAAUUGGUGCUAGAUUGGGAUCGAUGGUGGGGGUAUUUGGUGCAUGUGACUAAUUAUUUAGAAUAUGUGACCAAUAAAUUUGAACAUAUGUGACCCUGUGACUUGUAAUUUUUUUGAUCCGUGACCAAUAAAAUAAUUUGUGACCAGUAAAUUUUUUAUCUGUGACCUUUGUGACCUGAAAAUUUUUUGAUUUGUAAUCUAUAAAUAAUUUGUAACCAAUUAAUUGGAUGAUAUGUGAUCAAUAAGUAAAUUUGUGACCAGUAAUUAUAAAUUUGAGACCACUAAUCGUGUAACUAUGACUUUAUUAUAUUUAAUUAAUAAAUAUUUUCAAUUAAUUAUACAUAAACCCGAAUUUUGAAUUUUUUAACUUUGUGCCUGAUUUGUGAAUUGAUACAUAUGAAUUUUUCCCAAGAAAAAAAGGCAGCGCCCAAAAAAGCCAUAAUGAAAUCUAAACUUUAGUUCUCUUUGCUUGCAGACUAAGAAAGAAUAAACUCGAACACUAAAUAGCACAUUAGUGAAAUUGUCUGACAAACAAAUGAAAAAUCAUCCCCAACUUUCCAAAUUUUUUCUUAAAUUGCCGACAUUAAUGUUGGAAUAUAGUGGUGUUAAUGAAACCGAAUUAUCACAUACCGUAUAUGUAGUUUAGAUACCGAUUUUGAGCAUACCGUAUAUGCAGGUGGCUUACCAUAUAUGCUGUCUAUCGUAUUUGCAGCUUACUAUAUACGCUACCUACCGUAUAUGCUUUGAAUCAUAUUUUCACGUAUUUUCUUUACCUUUUUCAUAUAUACCGUAUUUCCACAUAUCGUAUUUUCACAUACCAAAAUUAUAGAAUUUUUUUCAGAUUUUUAUUUUUAACAUAAAUAGAAAUUAACGCAGAUUAUUUUUAAUAAACAUAAAUAGAACGAUAACAUAAUAAAACUGCAAAUCAUAUGAAUCACACGUAUAAAUGCUAAAUAAUUAAAUCUGCAAAAAUAAAUUGCAAAGGUGUAAUCGUAAAAUAUAUAAGUAAAUAAUGGAUUAAUUUUCAACCCGAGGCUUGUGUGAGUACAAUUUCCUUAAAACAGAUUCGUCCCCUCAAUGUAAGUGCUUGAGGUCUAAUCUGAGCGUCUAUUUCUCAGGAUACAACUGUAAAAUUUUUAGAAUCUGAGCAUCAUAGAUACAACUCCGAUGAACUGACUAGUAUCCAAAUAAUAUCACCACAAUGAUAAUGUUGAACAUAAAUCGAGAUGCAGACAGAAAAAAUUGCAGAAUGUUUUUCUCCUAUUUUCGUAUGUGUUUCUGUAUGUGCUGGAACUGUUGGAAAAAUAACAUUUUAUAAAUGUUUAAACCUGCCUAUUAACUCCAUAACAAUAAACACUGGAGGGAGUUUUGGCAGUUUUAGGAAAUUCAAAGGUCAAUUGGAGAAAGCAAAAAAUUGUAAAAUGUGGACACUCCAAACGAGUCAAUUUUUGCUAUUUUGGUCCGACAUUCGUGUACGCAGGUCGCGUCUACACAGAAGUUCGAGGUCUGAAAGCUAUUUCAAUCCGUGAUUUGCGCCCCCCUCCGCGCACGUGGAGAGAGCCUCUAUGCUGCACAUGAUUACACCUUUUCAAUGUGCAACCAUAUUUAAAGUGGUUCUUGCUUUCAUAUUUUUUUUAUGUGGGACAAACUCUUUUUUCCCCCACAUAAACCAUUUUCCAACGGUCAUCUUUAAGCUCCAAUUUCUCAUUCAUUCAUUCAUCAAUUUUGGCAAGUAAAUAUGUGGUUUUGAUACUCUCACGGAGGAGAACACGGAUCAACUUUGAUCUUUCAAAUUGGACCAAUGAGUCACAACGAAAAGUGUGCCAAAAGUGAGUCAUUUGCCAUCUUUUUCCAACAAUUAGAAGAAGAACCUAGAAUGUUGCAUAAAAUUUUCCAUCCCGCCUCCAUUGAAGAACUUUUCAGGAAUCUGCUUUGCUGCCUUUUUGCCACCGCCAUUCGUAGAUAAUUGUGGAAAAUCUGGAAGCUUAUGUUUAUUGCAUCUAAGUGUUUGAGAAGCAGGAAGAAAAAGCGAGAAACAUGAAAGAGAGAGGCAGUGUACAAUAUAGAGAGAGAGUGAUUGAGAAAGGGACGGUGGGUAAAUGAGAGAAAAGUGUGGUGCUCGAAAAUUAGUCAGUGAAGUGAUUGUUUUCAUUUUGGGUGACAUUAGUGUAUCUGUUUGAAAUUAUAUAAGUGAUUUUAUAUUCAUAAAAUUGUUGUCAUUUUUCUUUUUUUUGUCAUUUUUUAAUCUGUGUAAUUUUUUAAAUUUGUGUCACUUUUUUGAAUUUGCCACUUUAUUAAAUUUUUGUCACUUUUUUUUUUGUCAUUUUUUUUAGUAUUUGUCACUUUUUUGUUCACCUUCUUGAUUUCUAUUACUUUUUUUUAGUGACAAGCGUAACAUUUUAAUAAAAGUGAUAUUGUAUGACAUUUUUUAAUAAAAAAGUGACACAUAACUUUUAAAAUUAACAUUAUGUCACUUUUUAACUUCACAAAGUAUUUUUUACUUCCAAAAAAUAUUUCAUAUGAUUUUUCAAAAGACCUUUAAUUGUAAGGGUAUUUUUGUAAGUUGCCAUACUUUGAAUGACAACCAGGGUCAGGGAUACUAUUUGCUAAUUAACCAAAUAGUAUUGAAAUCAAGAUCUAGUUCAAAUUAAGGACACUUAAUGCAAUUAAAAUAUGGCAAAUUUGGUAUGUAUAUAGUUCUCUUUCUUAAUUCUAAUCGUUAUGAUAUAUAUCAUCAGUAAUCAUAUUUAAACUUAUAAAUAUUGAGAUCGAUUUCUAGUUUAAAUAGUAAGAGAAAAUCUUUACAAGAUUAGGGACUUGAAUUUGAGUUUUAUUUGUAGUUGCGGGAGUGGAGACGGGGAGGGUGAAAAAGAAAAUACCUUAAUAAUAUUACGAGGAAAUUAAACUAUAGAUCCCUAACCUAUUUCUUGGUAACAAGUUGGUCUCUAGACAUUCGUGAUAGUUGCACUAUUAGCCCAAUGUUCAAAACAAUCAAAAUAAUUAUGUUGAUAACAUGUUUCUAGUUGGUCAAAAUUUUGUUACUCUCAACUCUAUAAUAGAAAAGUGGAAAUUUGAAUUUGAAAUGAAGGAUUUAGGACGUGCUAGAAAGGUUUUAGGCAUGAAAAUAAAAAUGAACAGAAUUAAUGAAAAAUAAAUUUUAACACGAAAAACUAAAAUUGAAAAUGUGGUUAAAAGAUUCUUCCUUUAUGAUGUUAAGCCAGUUAGUUUACCUUUAUUUAGUUAUGUGAAAUUAUCUGUUGAUCAAUGACCUAAAACAUAAGAUGACUUUUGAGAAUUCUAGUAUGCUAUGAUACCACUUGAAAAGUCACUUAGAACGUUUAGAUAUGCUAGAAAGUUCGUCUAACUUGAUAUAGUGUCAAAAUCAAAUUUUAUGCGUUACCAAAUUUACGUUGUAGAUUAUAAUUUAACCAAUUUGACCUUACAUGCGGAAUUACCUUAACUAAAGCAACAAGUCACUUUUAGUUAAUUUCUAGAUGAUUAAUCAUUCAAGUCCAAUUCCCUAAGUUUGAAUGCCAUAGUUUUUAUAUUAUGGAAAAUAGUAAAUAACAAACAAUCUGAUGACGGAGAAACCCCAGAACAUGGGUAAAACUCCGGAACCAAGCUAAUUACCUCCACUAUCGAUAAUUCAGAGCAUACAAUGAUACGCCCAUCUUGUACCCAUUAAGAUCCGCUGCCACAGUUUUACGAUCUACUGCCGUAGACUUCUCUAGCCUCCUGUAGCCUAAUUCACCACUCCUACAGCCUCCUGGUCUGUGCUGAACGUUCUCCACGUGGAACACCAAGAACCUCCUAUUCUUGUACUUGUAAUUGCGCUUUGAUUCACCUCUCUCAAUCCCCUUUUAAGAGUCCCUUCCUCAACUGAUAUAAGGAAGCACGGUGUUUUGUCUUCAAGAAGGAUGAUGUUUUCCCCAACUAUUGAUUGCCAGGAUUGCAAGAAUUAUGGAUUUUCCAAUUGAUUUCGCUUUGGAUCUCUUAAGAGUGAUGUGAAGAUGUUUUUGCUAUGAAGACACAAAGUGGAAAUCUCUCUUUCACGUCCCAGACUCGUGUUAUUUAUACGUGGGGUCAAUAUGUGUCUUUGGCCGUGUAAAAAUCUCGAAAACGUGAAUUAGGGUUUUUGGAAUAACACCGUUGCUCAAACGAUAUUUCAGCGAAAAGCGAGCGACACACUUUCGCUUGAGCGAAACGAGGCCGAAAGGUGAGCGACGUAGGUUCUGUUUUUUACGCUCGAGCGAUGGCAGGGCGAGAAGCUAACGAAAUUUCAGCGUCGCGUUCUUGAUUUGAUCAUUAAACUCAAACCCUAGUCCCUACCAAACAACUUUACAAAAUUGUACCCUAAGUCCCUAACUUUUACAACAUUGUUCAAUUGAGUCCUUGACUUUUAAAAAUAUGCAAUUAAGUUCGUUUUGUACACAGAAUUGCCAAUUACACUUUUAGACCUAACAAAUUUAAAAGAAUGAUGGAUGUGCCAUAUGCUAUGCUAUUGGAUCUAUCAUGUAUGAAAUGGUAUGUUUUAGACUAGAUAUAUCCCAUGUUGUAAGUGUGUUGAGCAAAUUCAUGAGUAACCCGAGUGAGCUUUACUGGAAAGCUAUGAAAAAUUUGAUUAAGUACUUGAGAUGCACAUGUCAAUUAGGACUUAUGUCUAAAAUUGAUAAAGAUGGCUUUAAAUUGAUUGGCUAUGUUGACUUUGAUUUUGCUGAAAACUUAGAUAAUAGGAAGUCUAUAACUUCAUAUUUUUAUGCGAUAAAUAGUACACGCAUUAGCUGAAAAUUUCAACUUCUGAAAUUGGUUGUUUCAUCCUGAAAUGAAGUUGAAUAUAUUGUUGCUAUUAAGAUAGCAAAAGAAUGCUUAUGGUUGAAAGGCUUAUUAAAUGAAUUAGGACCUACGAAAAAUCAGGUAAAGUUAUGUUCUAGAUAAUCAAAGUGCCAUUUUCUUGAGUAAAAAUCCAAAUUUUCAGGAUAGUUUCAAAAAUAUAGAUGUUAAAUUUCAUUUUUUCAGAGAUAUAAUUGAAAAGGGUGACAUUAAGCUGACCAAACUUUCGACUAAGAUAAAUCUUUCUGACGCAAGUAUAGAGGUAAUAUAACUUAAUAAGUUCAUUGAUUCUUUGAGACAAUUGAAUCUUGAAAUUUGCUAAUUUUUCUUUUCUUGUGAACAAGUAAUAAGAGCACAUGAAUUUGUGUUGAUUAUGUUGGAAUCCACUAUAGUAUAGUCACAAAUAGUAACAAAGGUGAAGAUUGUAAAAAUUGGGUUGCUGAAUUUUGUGAAGUCCAAAUAUGCGGGCUGUAUGCUAUCAGUUCUACUAUAACUAUGGCCCAAAUUGAUUCAACAAGCUGAAGAAUCUAGAAUUAUGGUAAAAAUGUUUUUGUUGAACACGCUUUUUAAUUGAAAAUGCACUUUUUUGGAUUGCUAACAUGUUGUUGAUCUUGCACUGUUGGAUGAUAUAAUUAGCUCUGUCUCAUAUAAAGUCGAGGCUUGUGACUUUAGGAUUUCAUUCUGAAAAAAUCUAAAAGCUUCUCUUGUUUCGUCUGCUCUGUGUAGUUCUUAUUAGUUAUUCUCUUUGUAAAUACUUAGCGUUUUAAGUUCUUGGGAGGGAGUAAACAUCAAUAUUUCUCUUGUGAGAGUUGUUACUGAUGCUUUGAGAGGAUAUUUGUAAUACCUUAAUUUAAAAAAAAAAAAAAAAAAAAAAAAAAAACAUGUUGGACCUCUAGCUAAUUGAAUUUCGAGGACGAAAUUCUUUUAAAAGGGUGAAUUUUGUAAUACCUUAAUUUUAAAAAAACAAACAAAUAAAACAAAAGAAAGAAAAGUCAACAUUGUCAAGCAAAAACAAAAAGAAUAAAAAAUGAAAAGCAAACAAAAGUGGAAAAGUGAGGCGGUGGUUAAGUUUUAAAUAUUAACCAAUCCAUUUCAUCCUAAUCUUAUUUAUAUGUAAGUCCAUUCACAUACAAAAACAGAUAUAAAGACAGAGAAGUCGAGAUACAGAGAGAAAAUGAAAGAAAGAGAUGUUGAAUAUUAUAACACAUAUUGAUGAAGCACGAAGUAAAUAUUUUGGGCCUAUCGCAUCAUGUUUUAUAUAAGCAUUUGAUUUUGUUGCAUUUUUUGAAAUAACUCAUAGUCAGCCUUAGUGAUAGAUUUGACAUCUAGUCAGAAUAUAUCAUCAGUGCACGUCACGUUUCGAGUCCAUUAGAGUGAUUCGGGACGGGUCAUGUCAAAGUGGUAUCAAAGCAUGGUUUUGAAAAUUUUUAUGGUUCAUACAUUUUUAUUUCAUGCAUGUUCAGUGGGUAUGAUCACAUGUCGUGGUGGCGGAAAUUACAGGCUCUCUAGCUCAAAUGUAUAGAACCAAAAAUGAUAGAAAAGUAUUUUUUUAAUAGAUUUAGAAACGACUAGCAUAUAAGUAUGGUAGUUGAAUUGAUCCAAUGGUUGGAAAUGUUAUUAGUUGUUGGGUUGGACCCAUGUGUUUAUGUAACCUAUUAAGAUUUGAACAGAUUGUGAUGAUUUUGCGGGGCAUUCGAAGUUACAGAUGUUACACCACUUAAUUAUCAAUUUAUUUGUAGAACUACAUGAUUUUUUUAUGAGUACAUAGAAAAUUUUUUAGCUAUAGCUUGCACGAUAAAUACAAGGAAAUGAUAUGAUGUGUGAUUGGUGACAAUCAUUGGAGAUUUUUAAUUAUUCUUGAAACCAAAUGGUCAUUAGCGUUAUCAAAUUUUGUGGUGAUUUGUGGCCACUUUUAUGGGAUGAUAAUAGAAAUUAUGAUGGUGUAUAUUUAUGCUAUAUGAUAAGAAAUUGUGGAAGACAAAAUGAUGAUUUGUUGAUUGAGAGAUGACAAUGUGUUAUUGUGUACUUUAGGCAUCGAGGAAAUUAAUGGUAAUUCUAAUUAUUUUGAUUAUUUAUGAGUUGUUGAUUAUAAAGGAUGUGAGAAAAUAGGGAUAGACAUCAUAAUGAUUAUUUGUUAUAGGGUAAUUUUUUUUUCCCUCAAGAAAUAGAAUUAAGUAGAUAUGUGCAUUUAGGUAUAAUUAUGUGUGUCGAGAAAAAAAAGGAAAAAGAGAAUGAUAGUGUUGGAAUUUGUUGAGAUUGGAAAAUUAACAUACGAAAUCUUGAGUGGUAUAUUGAUGUGUAAAAGGUUCACGUGAUAAGUAUGAGGGUUACUAUUUCAUGAUCUUAAGGAAAAUUUAUAUAAAUAAAUGUUUUAGGUGCUAUGAUAUGACGACAAAUGACAAGGUUACAUGAUUAUAAUAUGAUAUGGUGAAUAACAAGUAAAUGAAUAUUAUGGUUGCCCUAUAACAAGAUAAUGUGUUGAUAUAUUUGGGGUUGUUAAGUUAAUUAAUUUUUUUAAGACCAUUUGUUGGAGUAUUGUGUUAUAUUCCAUAGAAUUUGAAAAUUUAGCCAAAUUUUGAAGUUAAGGUGAAUUUAAUGAAGUUUUAGUGAUGUAAAUUUUGAGUUAUUUUCGAUUGUAUUUGUAGUUUUCAUGAAUAAAGUAUUCCAUUCUUCUUGAAAUCUGCAAGUUAUGGAACAUAUGGAUGAUAUUUUGGAUAGCUUAAAGUCUAAGACGAUCAUCAUGUAAAUUUUAUACAAUUGUGGAACUGUAUCUUUAGGUUAUAAUCUUAAUUGACGGUCUUUGGGCGAUAUACAAGAAAGUUUAUGCAUUGGUGAUAGGCUGAUGGCCUCUUUAUGGAAUAAGAGUAUAGAAUUAUCAUGGAUUAAUUGUUAUAAUUGUCUCUCCAUAGAAAGAAAUAGCACCAAAUUUGUGUGGAUUUAAGGAUGUAAAAAGUGUUGCUAUAAUAUUAAAUUCCGAGAAAACAUUUACUCUUGUAUCAAAAGUUGAUGGGAUUUGAUUUAUGAUAAUGGAUUAUGUUAAGGUUUAGAACGUGUUUUGAAGUAAAAUGAUGAAUUAUGAACUAUAUGAUAGAUUGUUGUAGAGGCAUGAUUAAAACAUGAUUUGGAGUUGGUUAUAUUGGGAUUAUGUCAUUACAUUGCGAGAAAUAUCAAUACUUAUCAAUCAUUAGAGUUUUAAGGUAUAUUUUAUUCGAAAUGGUGGAAAUGAAAAUUCUGUAUUUAUUAUCAUUGGGUGAUAUAGAAUUAAAGGAAAAGAACAUCAUAUUGAGCUAUCUUAAUUGUUUUGUUGGGGAUAACUAUAAUUUUAGAAAAUUAUGAACAAUUGAACUUUUGAAGAUAUUGUCAAUUUAGAAUAGAGAUUGUUACCCUCAAAUAUUUUUGUUCGGGGAUUCCAAAUACACGAAAUGGAGACAAAAUAGAAUUUAAAAUCAUUGUGGAUAGAUUGAUAAAGGCUACAAGAUUCUUUUUAAAUGAUAUAAUCAGUUCAAAAGAUAGACUUAUAAAAUUAUAUUUAGACAAUAUUGUUAAUUACAUGAUGAAAUUGGAGUAUUCAUCUUUGGUUAGUUGUAAGAAGUUAUAUAAUUAAAUUACAUUAUGCAUCUUCUUUUGAUAGAGUGUUAGAUGCUAUAAAGACAAGUUUAAAAGAGAGGCUAUCAAUUAUAGCUAGUUAAUUAAAGGAGACUGAGAUAUUAUUUAUUUUUCAUGGAAUUGACAAAUAAAAACUAGAGAAAAUUGACGAUAAUUGAGGUUAUAUAUAAUAUUAAAAUAUUCCAAGGACGUUUGACGAAAUGGGUGAAAGAAUGCUAUUCGAUCUAAUUAUGUAACCAUUGUUAUAGAAAAAGAAUUUGAUUAGAGGGUAGUUUAAAUUUGACGUAAGGUGAAGAUUUUGAGAAUAUGAAAAGUAGUAUCUUGAACUUCAAAUUGGAAAAUAAUUGAGUUUUCCUAAGAUUUGGAAAAAGGAAAAGAUGAGAAUACCAUAUAUUGACUCUUAGGAAAUUAUUAAAAUUAUGACGGGAAGGAUUAAAUUUUGGGACUAAAAGUUUGUUGGAGACAUCAUUCAAUUAAUGAGACAUUAUGGGUAACGGAAGUUAAAUGUGAGCUCUAGAUCCUUACAUGUUGGACCUCUAGCUAAUUGAAUUUCGAGGACGAAAUUCUUUUAAAAGGGUGAAUUUUGUAAUACCUUAAUUUUAAAAAAACAAACAAAUAAAACAAAAGAAAGAAAAGUCAACAUUGUCAAGCAAAAACAAAAAGAAUAAAAAAUGAAAAGCAAACAAAAGUGGAAAAGUGAGGCGGUGGUUAAGUUUUAAAUAUUAACCAAUCCAUUUCAUCCUAAUCUUAUGUAUAUAUAAGUCCAUUCACAUACAAAAACAAAUAUAAAGACAGAGAAAUCCAACAACAUAGAGAAAAUGAAAGAAAGCGAAAGAAAGAAGAAAAAACAAAAAGAGAAGAAGAAAGGAAAAAAAAAAGUAGAAAAUUUUUGCUAGCAUGCUAGAAAAUAAGUUCUUCUACUAUUAGGCUUAAAUUCUUCAAAGUUAAAGGUAAGUAAAAUGUUACUUAUUUUCAAAUUAUGUUUAAUUUUAUAGUUGUUAGAUUAAAUUCAAUUUUAUUAAAGGGGUUAAGUAUAAUAAACUAUGAAAUUGAAUAAAAUGAAAGAAAAAUUAAUUUUAGUAAUUAAAGAGACCUUAAAAAUCGCUUAAACGUGAAAUAAUUAAGGUUGGCUAUCGCCUAUUUAAUUAUUGAAAUUACUUAAAAUAGUUAAUUGUUGAUUUAAAAAUUAUAUUAUAUUUCAAUCGGCGAUACGGAUAUCGGGACAGGGUACCAUCCGAGUUGAUUUUGGUUUACAUAGUUCUGUGAGUGGAAAAAUAUAAAUAUUUUUAAAGUAUUUAUAAAUUAAAUAUAUUAGCAAAAUAUAUGUAAUUAUGUGUUCGAUUAUAUGAUUAUUAUGUAAAUCUCUUUUAUUAUGAUACAUGUGAAAUUUCAAGAAUUAUUUAUUGUACAUUUGUGACUUGAUAUAUGAGACAUGUGAUAUUGAGAUUUGUUUGGUAUGUGAGACGUGAUAUUGAGAUGGACCAGAAAAAUACCCUGAUUAUGUACUUCUUCUAGUUCACAGAGGGGCCUUAGCCGUGUUUUAGAAUUAAUUAUCAGAUGUCUUGAGACCUGUUUUUAUUCACGAAAGGGCCAAAGGCGUGUGGCGAAAGUUUUUAACCCGACGGGCGGAUUACAGAUUUUAAUCAGAGGGUAUAUUUUUGGUGAAUUUUUUAGUACAUUUGAUUUGAUGAGAUUAUAGCAUAAUUACCAUCUUAUGUUUAUAUCAUGAUUUUGAGAUGAUAUUUUUUGACAUUAUGUGAAUAUUUCACUUUUGAUUAUAAUUACAUGAUAUUAUCUUGUGAAUUAUUAAAUGAUAUGAAUUCGAUUUUCGAUAAAAAUAUAAAAUUGAAAAAAUAUAAUUAUUUUCGAAUUUCUCCAUUCACUGAGUUAUCAACUCAUAUGUUUUUCCCAUGAUUUUUCCUACAGGUAGCAAUUGAUUUUUUUAGUUGGAAGAGCCUAAUGAUUUCGGAAUGAGAGCCACACUACAUGUUGAAUAUAAUAACUCAUAUUGAUGCAGCAUGAAGUAAAUAUUUUGGGCUCAUCGCAUUUUGUUUUACAUAAGUAUUUGAUUUUGUUGCAUUUUUUGAAGUAACUCAUUGUCAGCUUUGGUGAUAGAUUUGACAUCUAGUCAGCAUCUAUUAUCGGUGCACAUCACGUUUCGGGUCCACUAGGGUGAUUCGGGACGGGUCGUGUCAAUAUUGUAAGUGCGAGAGAUCUGAGAACUUGGUAUUCUUAUAAUUGAAACUUUGCCUGUUUUUGGGUAGUGCUAAUGGAUUCGAGUUUAAUAUUAAUGGAUGCUCAACGGGGGACUAAGUAUUAGAAAGUGGUCGCUAAACCUUUUGAGCCUUUGGCCCAAAAUUCUUAGUGUUGUUUUUGUUUGUAAUUUUUUACUUUGCACGUUGAGUCUAGAAAUGUUAAUUUAGCUCGUUGGCUCAAAGUUCCCGUGGCUUGGCCAGAAAAAAGUCUGAGUAGACCUGCUCAAGGCUCGGGCUGGCUCAUGUCGUGGGCCAUUUUUGGCUCGUGAUGAGCUCACCCUUAAACAAAAAAAAAAAAAAAAAAAAAAAAAACGAUGAGCUCACCCUUAAACAAUUAAAAAAAAAAAAAACUACAGACAGCUAUGCUGACGCUGCUUGUGUUUUAUAAAAAAAAAAUACGUGAAUUGGCCCAGCUCGGAUCAAUAAGGUUCGGGCCGAAAGUUUCAGUUGAGCCUAGAUUUUUGCUCGGCUCAAUUAGGGCAAAAAAAGUUCCAACCAUUUUUACUCGAGUCGAAACCCGAGCCUCGAGAUUCGUCUCAACUCGUUAACAUCUCUAGUUGAGUUACAAAUCUUAUGGGACCAUUACCUUUAAGUUUAAUUAUGGCGACCCAGAACCAAAACAGAAUCAGGAAGCUAAUUUUUGUAUUAUACAAGCAAGUGUGAACUGUAAUAUUUACUCAUUGCGAAUUAUAUUUUGAUUUUGUUUAUUUUAAAUGUGCGGAUUGUUGAUUUGGAAAGAUGAAAGAAGCUACAAGUAUAGGCAUCCUGUACAAACAGAAUUACAAAAUGUCAAGUGGAAUAAUUUCGUUGGACUUUGCAUUAAAAAUAGAUUUAAAACACCCAGUGAAAUCCCGCGCAUGUCAUCAUCUGUGAAGUUACAAAGAGCUUUACUCGUGUAUUGCUAGCAUUUCUUUUAUUGUAAUAGAAAAUAAAAGUUUUAAAAUUUCAAAAUUAAGCUUGUUCAACCCCCUCCCCCCCUUUUUUUGUUCAGAAUACAUUUUGAAAUAAUAUUUUGAUUAAAAACCCGCGCAUGUCAUCAUCCGUGAAGCUACAAAGAACUUUACUCAUGUAUUGCUAGCAUUUCUUUUAUUGUAAUAGAAAAUAAAAAGUUUUAAAAUUUCAAAAGUAAGCUCGUUCAAGCCCCCUUUUUUGUCCAGAAUACAUUUUGGAAUAAUAUUUUGAUGAAAAAGGUGUUGUUACAAAAUAAGAAAAAAAAUUGAAUUUACGUGUAAUAUUAUGUUAUUGAAGAAUAUGUAAUUCAAAAUAAAAAAGAGAAAAAUGUAUUUUGAACAUAAUGGUGACCAAAUAAAGCUAAAACAUUUUUAAUUUUUCAGUUUUCUUUUUUAGUUCAAUUACACGUUAUCCAUCAAUCCUACUGUUCUAAAAUACAAAUUUCAAUAAAAAUGAGACUCACACAGGUUUUCAAUUUUAAUACAUAAUUAAAAGUAAUAAUUUUAUAGUGUAACUUAUUUUAAUUAAAUUAAUUUUCAACAAUAUUGGUGGGGGUGUCAACGAGUCAAGCCGAAACUUUCGUUUCGGGCUUUUUUUUUAUCCGAGUAAAAGCUUGGCCAAAAAAUUAAGGCUCCAUCAACUCGAUUUUCUGGAUUUUUUCCCCUCUUAGCUACCUCGAUAGUGUCCUUUGGUUGACGCAAUAGCCUACAAACCAUGUCAGUCAAGUAAAUCACAUUAGGCAAGUCCGGUGCGACAGGCUCGACUGAAAAAAUGUUGGUAGGAAAAAUCGGACUCGUGACCAAAGGCCUCCGUACUCACUUAAUAUUUAUCUCUAUGUGAUGGUGCCCAUGAGGAAAAACUGAUGGUGAGCUAUGUGAAUUUUAUCUUAGAGUUGUAUAGUGUUGAAAGUAUCCAAAUGUAAGAGAGAUAACACGAUUUUUCAACAACGUCCGUUUCAUGAUUUUAUAAAACUUGCUCUCUAACUCUCUUCUUAUAUUUAUGUUAUUAUAGAAUUUUAUUUUUUAUAUUCUUAAAUUUGUUAUGCUAAUUGAUAACCUACACAAAUCACUUAUUUCCCUCCAACAACUUCCAGGUAAUUUUUGAGUCUUAAAAAAAAAUGUUGAAUCCCAACUUUAAGGGUCCCCCACCAUCCCGCCCCUGGAGUAUCGUGAGAUAAUUUUUGAGUCUUGCUCAUAUGGGUGGUCAACCAAGAACGGGCACUUAUCAACUUUUGGGAGUUAAUUAUUCAAAUAGUCAUUGAACUUUGCUAAAAGUUUCUAAGAGGUCACUGAACUUCAAAAUUUCUCUAAAUAGUCACUAAACUUUGUCAAAAGUUUCCAAGAGGUCAUCGAACUUUAAAGCUUUCCUAAAUAAUUACUGAACUUUUCAAAAAGUUCUUAGGGGGUCACUUGACUUUGCAAAUUGGGACCCCAUACAACAGUGGUUUAGUGACCUCCUCAGAAUUUUUUGCAAAGUUCAAUGACUAUUUAAGGAAGUUUUGAAAUUCAGUGACCUUUUGGGAACUUUUUACAAAGUUCAGUGACUAUUUAGGAAAGUUUGGAAGUUCGAUGACCUCCUAAAAUUUUUUGAUAAAGUUUAGUGACUAUUUGAGGAAUUAACUCCAACUUUUGGUUGUGUGAGGAAUACUGUACGUAAUCUCGACUUGUCUAUACAUACUAGUUUGUGAAAUUUAACUUGGAAUCCUCUCGUUCAAGUUCAAAGUUUUCUAAGAGUCUUGAGUUUUGCUAUCAUUCUCUUUAUAGAAUGGAAACUAUUGUUCUAUAUCCCUCCCCAGGCAUGGGGCAUCUGAUUUCGAUGGUGGAGUUCGGGAAGUUCAUACUCAACCACCACCCUUUCUUCACCGUUGCAAUUCUCACGGUGCCUCCAUCAUUCAACACUGGCUAACCGCCUCCUAUAUUGACCGAGUUUCCGCCACCAACCCCUCCAUCACCUUCCACCAUUUACCUUCUGUUUCCCUUACAUUCGACUCUUUCUCGUCCAUGGAAGUUGUUAUUUUCGAGACCCUCCGCCUUAGCAACCCUAAUGUCCAACGAGCCCUUCAAGAGAUCUCUAGCACCAGCACCAUCACAUCCGUCAUAAUCGACUUCUUUUGCACCCCGGCUUUCUCCAUUUUCACCAAACUCGGAAUCCCAACUUAUUAUUUCUUCACUUCUGGUGUCUGUUGUCUUGAUUCUUUCCUUUACGUUCCCACCAUACAUCGGAAUACCUCUAAAAGUUUCAAAGAUCUGAAUUCACUUUUGGAUAUUCCAGGGUUACCACCGAUACCAUCUUCACACAUGCCAGAUCCAAUUCUUGAUCGAUCCUCGGCCGAAUAUGCUUACUUUCUAGAUUUCUUUCUCCAUUUGCCCAAGUCAGCUGGAGUUAUUGUAAACUCAUUCGAGUCCCUUGAAUCAAAAUCUCUUAAAGCAAUAUCUGAAGGAUCUUGCAAUCCUGAUGGUCCGACACCACCUGUUUUCUGUAUAGGACCGCUAUUGGCAACAGAACGAGGUAGAACUGAGAGUAUGGACGAAUGUUUGAAAUGGCUCGAUUUGCAACCAAGCCAAAGCGUCGUGUUCUUGUGUUUUGGGAGUCUUGGUUUGCUUUCAGGUAAGCAGUUGAAAGAAAUUGCGAUUGGGUUGGAGAGAAGCGAGCAAAGGUUCUUGUGGGUGGUGCGUUCUCCACCCUCUGAGGACAAGAGCAAGCGCUUCCUACCUCCUCCUGAACCAGAUCUGGAGUCACUACUUCCUAGUGGAUUCUUAGAUAGGACAAAGGACCGGGGUUUCGUGGUGAAGUCGUGGGCCCCACAAGUGGAGGUGUUGAGACAUAAAUCUGUUGGCGGGUUCGUGACACAUUGUGGAUGGAACUCGGUGUUGGAAGCAUUGUGCGCGGGCGUCCCCAUGGUGGCGUGGCCUCUUUAUGCUGAACAAAAGUUCAACAGGGUAGUGUUAGUGGAAGACUUGAAGUUGGCUCUGCAAUGAACGAAUCAGAAGACGGGUUUGUCACUGCUGAGGAGGUCGAGAGUCGAGUUAGAGAGUUGAUGGACUCGAAGGAAGGUGAAUCGGUCAGAAAGCGCACCAAAGAAAAAGAGGCAGAGGCAGAGGCAGCUAUGAGUGAAGGCGGUACAUCCAUUGUUGCCUUGGCCAAGUUAGUUGAGUCAUGGAAAUUGCCAAGAUUGACGAUAUAAGUGAUGUGAGUAUCCGAUCUUGCAAGAUUUGUCAUGCAAUAUAUAUUAUUUACCAUGGAAUGUUUUAGCAAGAUGUGUUUGUAAUUCAUAUCCUUCACUGUAGUUGCGCGUAAUUAUGCUUUUCAAUAAAAAUUUCGACAAUUUCUGAAAUACGAAAUAUCAUGUAAUAAUUAUGUCGGGAAAAAAUUGUUCAAAUGUAUCUAUAUGCUUAACAGGUCUUUUGUGUAUGUCUAAUUCAUUUUUAUUUAAGCGAAAAUCUUAUGCUUUGACGAAGGGGGAGAGAAUUUAGUUACUAUAGAUGUGGAGGUGUAACAGAGUAGAUAAAAUCUUUAAGUUCAAGCCUCGUAUUUGCCAUUUAUGAAAAUUGACGUGGGUCCUUAGUGCCAAAGUAAAUUCGACAAAGAUAAAAUCUAAAUAAAUAAAUUUAUUAUCUCAAUUUAUUCUUGUAAUUUUGUGGGUCGGUACUAUAAGUGAAAUGCAUUAUGUGCCUUAUCUCAAGUUUCAACCCCAUAUGUCAGAGCUUAGCCAUUUUAGGGACCAAGGGUACCGUUUGUUUCAGUAGUAAAUAAUACUCUUAACCUAAGAAGUCGUUAUUUUACUUUGAUUAUUCAUUAUUGCGUACAAUCAGUCUUUAGUAAUAGUAAAUUCAUGCCUCCUUCAAACUUUAUACGUCAGUCCAAGAUGAGAAGCAAAAUUCAGUUUUAUAAAGUCCAACGUUUUAGAAUUGUGUGUUUAUCAGAGAUUUAAACAGUUAUUAUUGAAGAUAGAUAAUAUGUAAUUGUAAUGAAGUCGAGGACCAACGCACUCAUUUUUUAGUAUUAGAAAAAUAUCUAGCUACGGCGACAAUACAUUGGUAACCAAUACUGCAACGACGAUACGUUGAGAACUAAUAGAUAAAGAUAUUUGUACAAAAUCUUGUUGACAAAAUGGUGUACUCACUCUCACAAAAAUAACGGACCUCACGUGAAUUUAAAAAAUAUUGGCUUGUGAUCCCCACCCUAUUGUGAGUAGUGAGUAAGGGAAUUUGCAAAAAAAAAAAAUUGUACACGUAGCAUGAUCUGGGAACUAAUACUGCAACUUUUCCCAUUUAGUAAAGCAAAUUGAGAGUAAUGUUACAGGGAUAUAUUAACCUUUUGGUUAUCCACAAAAAUGUACAAAAGAAGGAAGUUCCCAUUCUCCAAGUCCAUCAACUCUAUAAGUCGGUUCUCCAACUCAGUAGCUGUCAUGAACCCCUUGGCAGACUCAGUCAAACCCAAUGCCACCUUCAUUUCCUUCACCAUGAAAAUCCUAUUCAUCCUUUGCUCUGCAUACAGUGGCCAAGCUAACAUUGGGACACCCGCGCAAAUAGCCUCUAGAAUUGAGUUCCAACCAUAAUAUGUCACAAAUCCGCCACUUGCGGUGCCCAUGAAUUUACCACCAGCCCCUCUUAUCUUUAGUUCCCAAGAAGCCUAUUGAAGACAAAAUUUAAAUAGAUAAACGUUAUCAUAAAUAUGAUAGUUAACUUUGUAGUGUAACAGAUAAUCAAAUCUUCCUGUUCUCAUUUCUUGAAAAUCGACCCACCAAAUUAUUAUAAAUUAUUCAAAUAUUUCUCUUUCACAGGAAAAUUUUAAAUCGAUCACUGUAGGGAGGUGAAUAUAAGAUUACAAGUAAUUAAACUUUUAGACGAGAAAAAACCUUGUGGCAGCAAUGCAUCCAAGUCUGGCUCUACUGGUGGAGCAUUGGUUUUGUCAUCCGCGGGAGGACUACGCACCACCCAAACAACCUAGUGGCCGCUAUUUUCCAACCCAGCGGCCAUCUCCGCUAGCUGCUCCGCCGUGAACAAUCCCAUACUUCGAAAACACAGAAAAAUAAUACUUUUACUGGGCUGUGAGUUUAACCAAUUCAAACACUCAUGUUCCAUCACUUCUACAGCCUCCAUCAUUGCUUGCAAUCAGAGGCCCAAUAAAGUAGUGCAUUUGGGAUUGUUGUGUUUUGAACCCUAGGCAAUCCAUUGUUAAAGGUGUGCUUCCAAAAUUUGUAAAGAAAGCGUGUUUUCAAAAUGACGCUUUUCUUAGUGGAUGCUAUCAUUUCGAUUGUGACACUUGGCUUCUUGGUGAUCCUCAGAUCUGAUUCUAGAUCUUCUGAUUUUAUAUCUAUCAAAGAGACUAUUUGGCUAUACGACUUGUUCAUUUUCCAACUUCUGUGGGUUCGAGGACUGGGCUUCAGAAAACCUCAUACUUCGUGUUAGGGCUUCUCAUUCUUGAUUCAAUAGAUUGUGUAAAUGUUAGAAGAUCUCCAAUGUACAGAUAUACUCCAGAUCGAAAGGCUGUUGUGCUUUUCUGAAUGGUUUGUGUAAAGAAUCUGUGUGAUUCGUUUGAGCAGUGAACAUUAGAGAUAGAACUGAGUGUUCUGCUGUGAUUUGUGGAUAGACGGUGUUUCGAUCCAAAGUUUUUGGUUAAAGAUAAGUCUCUAUGACUUGACCGUGAGAUUUUUGAACUGAUUGUACUGUGGCUGUCAUAUUCUUGGCUUUAUAGUGCAAUCGAGCUUUAUCCAUUUACAAUGGAAGCUCAAUAGGGGAUUUUAGAAGCGGUCGUUAAACAUCUGGGGCUUUGGCCGAAAAAAUUCUUUAUGUUGAUUUUUUAUUUCUGCAAUUUCUUUUAUAUGUUCUGUUAUUAGAUUUUAAAUCAUUGAUUAAUCUUGAGUUUUUCUUGACCUUUUCCGUGAUAUCAAAGCUUGGUUUUGUAAAUUGUAAUGCCGGAUCUUCGAGCAAACUAUGGAUCUGAAAUCAACUUCAAAACUAUGUGAACUUAAUUGAAGGAAUCGAAGUUCUUUGAACUCAUUUGAUGAGACCUUUCCAAUAUCUCAUUGUUUGGUAAUUCCAAAUAUUAGAAUAUCUUGAUUUUCCCUUGAUUUACCUUACACAAACUCCCUCCCAAGAUUGGUCUUUGUUCAAAGGCUUUAAAGAGGCCUUGGAAAUCUGAGAUAAACUCGAUGCUGGGGUAUAGCUGGAGGAUCUUGCAAGAGAAAUCUUUGAAAUAUAGGAAUUGUAAUCUCUAUCUGUGAUUCUAAAAAAAAGGUUGAACCCCAACUUUGAGGGUCCUUCACCUCCCCUCUGCUGGAGCAUUGUGAGGGAGGUAAAUCUCAGGAUGUGCCCCAGCAGGCCAGGAACAAGAGCUUGCCUGUACACUGGUGCCCACAAAGAUUCCAAUUCCAUAUCUCAGGAAUCGAACUCUCACACUGCGGCUGCCAACAAGGCUGAGACUACCUCACUCCUGUCUGUGAUUCUAUUUUAUACUUAGAGUGAUAUGUUUACUAAUUGAGAAUAUAAAUUCGUGUGCACUACUGCUGGCUUAACCCCUUUUUUGUAAAGUAUCUUUUCACUAUGUGUCUUCCGUUGGAUUGUUCAAAUGAGUUAUAUCAUUUUUGGAAUCUAUGAUGGCAACUGCUAAGUUUGAAAUAAACCAAUAUGAUGGAAGGGGAGAUUUCAGUAUGUGGAGUCAAAAGAUAAGGGCCAUCUUAAUACAAUUAAAAUGUGCUACAACCUUAAAUGGUUCUUUGACAAAAGAUAUGACGACCUCAAAAAAGAUCGAAUUGGAAGAAAUAGCAUGGAAUACUAUCUUCUUGUAUCUUUUUGAAAAUGUGAUUAAAACCAUGGUAGAAAAUAAAACUAUUGAAGAACAUUGGACCGAAUUGAAGGCUCAAUAUGAGUUUAAAACUGUUCCUAACAAAAGUUUUUUACUAAAAUAAUUCUUUUUCUUUUAAGAUGGAACUUCUGUUGAUCUAGAAGAAAGUUUAAAUAGAUUUACCAAAUUGACUCAAGACCUUGCUCACUGUGAUGAAGGUCCAAACUAUGGAUUCAAUAAGUUCUUGUCAAUAAUCACGUUCGUUGAAUAGAAACUUAGGCCUCGUUUGGUAGCCAUUUUUUUUAAAAUGUAUUUUUCCCUCUCUUCUUUUCAAUCACACAUUCUUUAUUAAAAUAAUAUUACACGUAAAUCAAAAAAAAUUCCUUGUUUUUCAAUCACACAUUUCACAUCAAUUUAUUAUUUUAAAAUGCAUUUUUACAUAAAAAUGACUAUUAAACACCCCCUUAUUUUUAAGGAACUCGAAAAAAAUUGGAAAUUCUCAAAAAUCCUUUUAUAUAUUUCAAUAAUACUCUCUAUUUUGGCUCUUCAUUUUACUUUUUUCUCAAUUAACAUUUAUAAAUUUCUUCUCAUAUUUUAUUUAAAAUAAUUUGUCUUAUGUCAAUAGCCAUUCAAUUUAACUGUUUGAAUAGUUUAAGAAGUAGAAUAUUGAAACUAAAUAAUGUUAUUUAGCAUAGUGAUGUUAGAAUAUCAAUUUAUGUAAUAUUAAAUUAUAGAAUCAAUAAAAUAUAGAAUUAAAUGAUUUAUUUUAAGCCCCUAUUUGUUGUCCAUUUCGCACUCUCAUUUUAGAAAAGAUUUGCGUGUUACUAGUCAUUUCCACUGAUAAAGCACUGACUAGAGGAUGUACACAAACAGCUUUGUAAAUAUCAAUCCCUUUAUUACCCUUUAUAGUGAGCCAAAAUUAUGGUAGGUGGAAAAGUCAAAAAUGGUGGGUCAUUGAAGGCAAAUGAGAGUAUUUUGGAAAAGAUAAAAAUUGUACUAGUCAAUUCAAAAAAUAUUUGUCAUCAUGUGGGACCCAUGUUGAUAGAAAGAAUGCAUUUUUCCAAAUGAAAAUGGGUUACAAACGGGGGAAUUAUACAUAUUAUUUAAUGUUGCGUUAGUAUCAGAUAAAGUAGUAUUUUAACAAUAAUGAUGUUAAAUAAUAUUACUCGUCGAAAUUUGUGACUUAUUAAAUGCAAUCAUUGUACAUUAUGAAUAGAAAGAAAGUUUAGCUCUCUAAAUUUAAAAAGUCAAACUCACUCUUUAUUUUAAAAAGUUAAAAUAAAAAAUAAAGAGUAACAACCCAUUUGAUGCUCAUUUUAAUUAUUAUUAUUUUUUAACACAUCUCAUUUUCCUACCGUACUUGCUUGGUUAUGCGGUACAACCACUAAGAUUUUUGUCAGAGAUGGAUGUAGGAAUGAUAAUGUCGUUGAGCCUCGAUGACUAUUUUACCCUUUGAUGCAAUUUGAAUGUACUUGCGAGGGCCACAUAUGAAGAUAUUGAAGAGUAGAAAAAUGUGGGUUUCAACCUUUAGAUAUUGAAGAGCAGAGAUGGAAUGUGGGAAAAACUAAAAUUGAACUGAUAGCCACAAACGCAUAUGAAUUGAUUGCCACCAUCCUUUUUGUCUAGCAUGGGCCCAAACUUGCUAAAAUAUGGUUGGAUUCUUAAAAUAUUCAUAAGCCAUUCACACAUAUCAAGGCAGUUCACUAUCAAACUUAGAUUCUUGGAACGUCCCGACAGUAAAAAUUGGGCACACAGCACGUAUGGCCGCUUUAUAUAUGACACACCAUUUUGAUUUAUUUCAUUACCAUAUCCAUUGAUGAGUUUAUCUAGCAUGGCUGACACCAUUGUGCUGUAUCCCUCUCCCAGAAUUGGCCACUUGAUUUUUGGGAAUUUAUUUAAACGUGCACAGAAAAUAAAACAAUUUUUAAUUUCCACCAAAAUUUAUUUUUGUAUUUAAAUAGAAAUUGUAUCUUUUACAAACUCCCUUACUUUUUCUUUUUUCAGCAACCUUGAUUUGUCACCCACAGCUGUCCAAUUGUCUAGUCUCCAACGAUGAUUCACACAGAAAACAAGAUUGUAGGAUAAAAGUAUUUUUCUUGUGCUAGCAAAAUCAAUGAAUCUCUACAAAAUUGUAAACCCUAAUAACUUAUUUAUAUAAACCCAAAAGGGCUUGGCCUGAUCCAGUCCAAUAUUUAAUUAACUCGUUAAUUAAAUUCGGUUCGUGAAUUAAUUAAUCCAAUUAAUUAAUUCAAGCCUAUAAAUAAGAAAUCCAAUUAAUUAAUUUAUCCAACGCUUGUUAAAUUAAUUGAUUGAUAAAUUACAAUCUUCCAGUUCUCCUUUUGUGCGCGACCCAUCAUAUUCCCGAUCACGAUGCUUGACGACAUGAAAUAUUAUUUUGAUCUAAUCAAAAUUGAUAAAUUAAAACUCCAUUUUAAUUUAUCACCAAUUCACACUUGUCGUCCCAAACUGACAUCUAGCAAUGUAUCAGGGCAAUAUAUGUGACGAAAAAUGUCACUUGGUAUGACAAAAUCAAACUCGUUCGUUUACCGUGAAACAAUAAUCACUUCGUCAAUAUGAUCCGAUCAAUUACGAGAUAUGGAAGUGUGUCAAUCUCGAUUAUCUAUCAUAUCUUUCACUCUACUAUUAAAUCAAUAUAAGUUGAAAACUCAUUUUCGACUUAUGAGUACACAUUGGUCAAUGAUUUCGUUAUCUACUUAAUUGAAUGAAAUGCAGAACAUAAUCUCUUACUAUCUAAGAGUGACGAAUCCUUUAUUGGCCAUUCACAAUUUUCAUACGAUUAUUGACAUAUUCGAACGAUGUCGUAUUAGCAGCCCUUUGCAGAGUAACAUCCAACACCAUCAAAGCAUGACUGUCCUCAUAUAAGAUAUUAGGACGACCUCAAGUUAAAUGACCAAUCUCACUAUCAAACGUUAGAGAUUAACAACUGACACUCAUAUAGUUAUCUAUGUGGAAUCUCUAGGCAGGUCUCUAAUAUUUUGUUCUAUAACAAAACAUCCACGUGUUCAUUUAAGUGUCACAACACUUCAACUUGUGAGAUCAACUACUUAAUUCACAAGUAAGAAAUGUUACACGUGAUAGUCUAUACGUAAUGAUGAUAUCCGUAUCUCGUUAUUACUUACGACCACGAACAAUUUAAGAUUCAAUCAUAUGUAAUUUGUAUCUCACAAUCACAAUUCCUUGUGAUUAACAAAUUACGAAAAUUUGAAUCUACGGACUCUAUUAUUUAAUUAAUAGAUAGAUCUGUUAUUAAAUCACAUUAAUUAUAUAUUAAAAGUAUUUAUGUCCAAGGUUGAUUGGACCUAGGGUAUAACACUUACAAACUACCACUUGCACUAGAUCCAAUCACAUAUGUAUCCAAUAUCAUAAGAAUUUACAUGAGGAUCAUGUUUAUACUAUGACAACUUUUUGUCUAUGGAUCUGCAAUAUUGUCAAAUGUGGGAAUUCGUUCUUCUCUUUACGUCAUUUCUAUGUAUUAUUUCUCUGAUGAGAUUAUACCGUCUUAAUACAUGUUUGGAUCAUUGAUGAGACUUUAGUUUCUUUGCUUUCGCGAUGGUUAUAUUGUUAUCACAAUACAAUAGUAUGUGAUCAAUAAUAUUAGAAAAUAUCUCAAGUUCAUUAAAGAAUAUCUUGAUCCACAUUGCAACUCCUUGCUGCUUCUGAAGCAAUCAUAUAUUAGGUUUCUACCAAUAAACCAAUGGUUGUUUCACGUUUGGAACCUUUCCAACAUAUGGCUUAAGAGUAAACCAGUUUCUCCAUAUAAAAUCUUCUCAAGAUUUUAUCUAUGUAGAUUGGGAUGAGUUAAGUAAUCCUUUAGAUCUAUCUCUAUAGAUCAGGUUGCUUAUCACAUAUCUUUCAUAAAAAAUCCUUUACCAACCACAAUUGCAACGAUUGAAAAUGUCGUUUCCUAUUAAUAAUCAUACAUAUAGUAUUGGGAAUGCGACAAUACUCCCACUAUCUUCUUGUAAACACACAAUUCGUCUUCAUAUUUGAUAAAAUCAAACAUUUUGAUUUUUUCAUCAAAUCGAAGAUUUCAGCUCCAAGAGAUUUGCUUUAAUCUAUGGUCACAGUAUGCAACUAUUGCAACCAAAAUUUGAAUGGACUUCAACAUGGGUACAGGCGAAAGGUUUUGUCAAGGUUAACACUUAACCUUUUGUUAUUAGCAUUGCUUUGUAUGUACGGAUAUUCCCAUCCGUGUCGACCUUUUCCUUAUAAAUCAUUUACAACAUAUGGGUUUUAUCCUAUCAAGAGGGUCAACAAAGGUUCAAACCUUGUUCACAUACGUUGAGUUCAUUUCGAAUUUUAUGGCCUCUUGCUAUCUCUUUUAAUUCAACAUUUGACUUUAUUUUUGUGCAAUUAGUAGAUUCAUCAUCCUGGAUCAGGAAUGCUUGAUUAGUAAUCAUGGAUUCGCACCUUCUUGAAGGUCAAAUGAUCCUACUAGAUUUAUACAGAGUUGACAUGUCCUCAGGAGUCUCUACUUCCUGAUCAAGAGUAUGCCCCAUAUCAGAUAUGAGAUCAAACUCGGAUUCAUCUACUUGGUUAACUAUAUUUGUGGACUCUUGAACUCUUUCAAGUUCUAUUUUGCUCCCACUGUCCUCUCCUAGAGUAAACAUUUUCUCUAAGAGGACGAUAUGUCGUGAGAAGAAGACUUUCUUCUUAAUAGGAUAAUAGAAUUGAUAUCCAAAUAUUUGUUUUUUAUGUCCCACAAAUAUGUAUUUAUAGGAUUUAGUCUAAAUGUUAUCCGAUUCAAGGUGCUUCAAAUAAGCCUCACAGUCCCAAACUUUCAUAUGAGAUAAAUUGGGACUAUUGCCUUUCAAUAGCUCGUAUGGAGUUCUGUUAACUAACUUAAAUGUGACAUGAUUUAGUGUGCCGCAAACUGCAAUCAGUGUAUGACCUCAAAACGAUUUAGGGAGAUUUGCAUGGCUUGUUAUUAAUCGCACUAUAUCUAAUAGUUAACGGUUCCUCCUUUCAGAUACACACUAUGCUACAAUGUAUAUGGAGGAGUUCAUUGCAAGAGAAUCUCAUUCUCUCUUACAUAAUCCAAAUUUUAAUCUUUAAGAUAUUCCCAUCUCGAUCAGAUCUUGAUGUGAGAAUAUAUCUACCUAUUUGUUUCUCUACUUCAAGUUUGAAUCACUUGAAUCUUUCAAGAGUUUCAUGCUUGAAUUUCAUCAAGCAUAUAUGACUAUUUCUGUAAUAGUUAUUAGUAAUUUUGAUGAAAUAAGAGAAACUUCACCUGACAUAAUUUGACAUGAGUCCAUAUGCAUCAAUAUGCAUUAGACCAACAAUUAUGCAGACCUUUCUCCUUUUCAAGUAAAAAGAAAUUUGGUCAUUGUGCCAAACAUGCAUAAUUGAUACUUGUUAAAAUCAAUUGACCCCAAGUAUACAUCUCUAUGUAACUUUGUAAUUGUAUUUCAUCUAUAUGACAAAGUUCGCCAUGCCAAAUUAAGGUAAUAUUCAGAAUAUAUCUUUUUAUGUCUCUUAACUUCUAUACUCAUUAUAGAAUGCUUAGUGUUUAGAAUAUAAAUGUUAUAUUGUAGCUUACCACAACCAUUAAGAUCUUUAAUCAAGAUAGGCAUGAACAAUACUUGUUCUUAACAUUAAAAUAGUACAUGUCCAAACAUGAAAUUCAUUUAAUGUUCCAGUUAUGGUUGGUACAAAGUUACAUUUCUCUAAUUACAAUACUAAGCUUAAAGGCAAUAGCAAAAAGUAUAUUCUUACAGGCAAUGUAGCAACCUUUGCUCAUAUUUAACAUGCAGGUCAACUUCUCCAUUUUGCAGUGGUCUACUUCUAUUUAGUUUCUCCAUAUUUAUAUAAAUAUGAUAUCCACAUUUGGUAUCGAAUACCUAAGAAACUCAUGAAGUAGAUAUAUGCCAUGCAGUGUUUCUUCCAAUGACCUUUCACUCUAUAAUAAAGACAAAGGUCAUUAGAUUUGGUAUUGUCCUUCAUUUAGACUGUCUUAACUAUAUUGGAUGCUUUCUCAAAGUCUCUUUAGAUUUCCUCUUAACACCCUUAAAGGAAUCAAUGGUUUGUCCACUAAUAACUUUGAUAUCGGGCUUAACAGUUCUAAACAUAUUGAGGAACUUAAUGAGUAUUAAUUCGAGUUUAUUCAUAUCAUAAUUCUAAUUCAGAAUUAGUAUGAAUAACUCUAUGAUAGAGAUUACAAAACUAAGUCAAUACUUAGUUCAUAGUUCAUGAUUGAACCUGAUUGGGACUACUUCUCAAUGCUAAUCAUCUUCAGUACACGAGCAUUGACUGAAGAUUUAUCUAUCAUUUUACAUCGGUAUAGUUGCUUGGAAGUCUCAUAUCCUUCUAUACACGAUUAUUAUCAUACAACUCUUUGAAAUGAAAAGUCAUGGUCAGUAUCUAUACUGUCAAGUUGCUUUUGUAACUCUAGUGACGUAACGCAAACAUCACACAUGUUGCAGUAAUAUUGUCAUCACUGUGUUACUAUAAUAGUCACCUCUUAUUUAUUUGGUCAUCAGCAUGUGUCUCUAGAAAGGGUUACUCAAGGACAUGACCAAUUUUCUCAUGCGUGAGAACAAUUCUCAAAUAGCGGUGCCAAUCAAGAAAAUUUAAUUUGGUUAUUGGCAUCCGGUAUGCUACUCAAAUACACAUGGUUAUUCACGAUUCAAUAUAAAUGACGAAAAAGAAAAAGAAUAAUAUAUGAAAUGCAUCAAUUAAUUUAGCAUAGACUUUUAUUAAAAUAAUUAUGCUCCCACUGUUUAACUCAAAUUUAUGACAUUUUCACAUAAAUUUGUGGAGUCCAUACUUCACUCCCAGUGGGCUGGGAUCCCAUCUGUUAUAUUAAGACCUUAAGUGUACUCAAUAAAUCUUAAUAAAACAUUUGGGUAGAUACUAUUAUCAAUUGUAUCUCCAUACAACUCCCAAAUCAUUAAGCUGACAACUCUUUAUCUUCACACAUCUUAUGUGUUAGUUUAACAUGCCUCUAAAAUUUAUCUUCUUGAGUGUACUCUACAAAAGAUAAAUUUUAGUUAAAUCGGACCCAUCAUUCGGAAAUAUCUAAUAUUUUAUAGUGUCAAACAUAUCCCUAAUAGACCAACCUAAGUGUACUCAACAAAUUAACACGAUUUGGGACUCUGGUUUUUCAUUAUAAUGAUGGAAGGCAAUUAUAAAUGUGACUUAAUAUUAGUUGGUCAAUUCCGAGGGGGUUAAAGCAUUGAAUCGGUAUCAAUGCACCAUCUCCAUGGUUUUCUCCUCUUCUUGUAUCUUCAAUUAGUCUAGUUGCAACAUGUAUCCUAUAUUAGUUGGCACUCAGGUCUAAAUGUAAUUGGACUUGCAAGCCAUAAUAAUAAUAAUAAUAAUAAUAAUAAUAGCGGACUCGCAGAUCCAAAAUGGUUAAGAGCUCGUAGAUCCAGAAUAAUGACAAUAAUAAUGUACUCCCAGGUUCAAAACAAUUAAGAGCUCGUAGGCCCACAAAACGACAACAAUAAAAAUCAACCAUUCAACACAUCCAUAUGGUCGAAUCUAUAAUCAUCCACUAAUAAUGCAUUUAUCACAUAAAUGUAUUCUUAUAUAAUAUCUAAUAUUAUAUGUAAACAUGUUUCAAGUUUCUAGCAAUUAAGGUCAUCUAAACUUUUUUAGACAAAUAGAUCUGAACAAUUAAUUAAUUAAUUAUAUUAAUAUUAGAGGGCAUAUUUAAUUAAAAUCAAAUUUUAAUUAAAUAUUGAAUCAGAUUCCAACUCUAAUUUCACAAUUAUAGGGCGGGAUUAUUUAAUUAAAAUCAAAUUUUAAUUAAAUAUCAAAUUAUAUUCCAACUCUAAUUUCAAAACUCAAGGCCGUGGAAUUUAAUUAAAAUCAAAUUUUAAUUAAAUAGCAAGAUUAGAGUCCAGCUCUAAUUCCAAGAUUUUAGGGAAUCAAAUUUUAAUUAAAUACCAAAUUAGAGUCAAACUUUAAUUUUAAAAAGAAAUUUAGGGCAAUACAAUUUAAUUAAAAUCAAAUUUUAAUUAAAUAUCAAAUUAGAAUCCAAUCCUAAUUUCAAGAACGUAUUCAGGUGAAAAAUUAAUUAAAAUCAAAUUUUAAUUAAAUACUAAAUUAAAGUCCAACUUUAAUUUAAAUUGAAUGAAUAUUUUAAUUUAGGAUAAAAUUCCUAAACAAGAUAAAUUCAAUUUUGGGUCAUAUUUAAUAUUUAAGUUAAAAUCCAAUUUUAAAAAAAAUAUAAAAAGUCGUCAUUUUUUAAAUAAAAUUUUAAACAAGUCAAAAUUGAUAACAUAGGUCAAAACAUUUAAAAUCAAAUUAAAUACAAUCUAAUUCAAAACAUCUUUUGAAGUUUUCAAAAUUGACUCAUUUAUAAAUUAUCAACAAAUCCCUCCAAAUACUCAAAUUGCAGGGAAACCUCCAUUUAAGAAAUCGUAAAAUGACCCUUAUUUUAUAAUUACGGGCAACUCCCAAAAAUUUCAAAAAUUGCAGAGGAGGCCCCAAUUUUCAAAACACCCCAAAACGGUUGGACCCGAUUACAAUAAAACCUAAAAUUUCACCCAUUUCCUUCUUCUUCUUGUUGUGGCCCCGACUUCAUCACUUGUUGCGGCGGCAUCCCGUCGCCCAACAAUUUGCAGCGCAGCGACAACACUGCCGCUGCAAUUUCAGCAGCAGCGUAUGCCACUACAACACAGCGACAAGCGUCGUUGCACUCUACCUCAUACAUGCAACACCGCGCUGUAGUGGGCAUGGCAGCGCACUGCUACACCGCCUUCUCAUGCAGUGGCGCGCCACCACUGCGACGAUUGCCCCCUUUUUUUAACUAAAAUAUUUUUGUUCCAAAAUUAUUCUCUUCUCAAAACAAAUUUUGAAAAUGAAAAAUAAUUUGAAAUUGCCAGAUCCAAGAAAAACAUGAUAAAUCAACUUUUGAUUUCAAUAAUAUGUAAAUUAAUUCUUAACAAACACAAGGUAGGCUCUGAUACCACUGUUGAGAAUCUACUUAAACGUGCACAGCGGAAAUAAAAUAAUUUUCAAUUCCCAUAAAGAUUCAUCUCUGUGUUUAGAUAGAAACUGUGAUAGAAAUUGUAUCUUUUACGAGAUCUGCAAACUCCCUUACUUUUUCUUUUUCCAGCAACCUUGAUCUGCUACACACAGCUGUCCAAUUGUCCAGCCUCCAACGGUAAUCCACACAGAGAACGAGAUUAUAGGAUUAUGGUAUUUUUCUUGUGCUAGCAAGAACAAUGAAUCUCUACAAAAUUGUAAACCCUAGUAACUUAUUUAUAUAAGUCCAAAAGAGCUUGGCCUAACCCAGUCCAAUAUUUAAUUAACUCAUUAAUUAAAUCUAGUUUGUGAAUUAAUUAAUUCAAUUAAUUAAUUCAAGCCUAUAAAUAAGAAACACAAUUAAUUAAUUUAUCCAACGCUUAUUAAAUUAUUUAAUCGAUAAAUUACAAUCUUCUAGUUCUCCUUUUGUGUGCAACCCAUCAUGUUCCCGAUCACGAUACCUAACAACGUGAGAUAUUAUUUUGAUCUAAUCAAAAUUGUUAAAUUAGAACAUUCUUUUAAUUUAUCACCAAUUCACACUCGCCGUCCCAAAUUGAUUCUAACAAUGUGUCAGGGCAAUACAUGUGACGGAAAUGUUACGUGGUAUGACAAAACCAAACUCGUUCGUUUACUGUAAAACUAUAAUCCAUUCAUCAAUAUGAUCCGAUCAAUUAUGAGAUAUAGAAGUGUGUUAAUCUCGAUUAUCGAUCAUAUCUUUCACUCCACUCUUAAGUUAAUAUAAAUCGAAAACUCAUUUUCGAUUUAUGAGUACACCUUGACCAAGGAUUUCGUUAUCUACUUAAUUGAAUGAAAUGCAGAUCAUAAUCUCUUACUAUCUAAAAGUGACAAAUCUUCUAUUGGCUAUUCAAAACCUUUAUAUGAUUCUUGACAUACCCGAACGAUGCCAUAUUAGCGGCCCUUGACAGAGCAACGUUUAACACCGUCAAAACAUGACUGUCCUCAUAUAAGAUACUAUGACGACCUCAAGUCAAAUGACCAAUCCCACUACCGAAUAUUAGAGAUUAACCAAUGACACUCAGAUAGUUAUCCAUGUGGAAUCUCUAGACGGGUUUCCAAUAUUUUAUUCUGUAACAAAACAUCCAUGUGUUCAUUCAAUUGUCACCACAUUUCAACUUGUGAGAUCAACUACUUACUUCACAAGUAAGAAAUGUCACACGUGAUGGUCUAUCUAUAAUGACGAUAUCUGUAUCUCGUUACUACUUACAACCAUGGACGAUUUAAGAUUCAAUCAUAUGUAAUUUGUAUCUCACAAUCACAACUCCUUGUGAUUAACAAAUUAUGAAGAUUUGAAUCUACGAACUCUAUUAUUUCAUUUAAUUGUCUAUUAAUUAAAUAAUAGAUCUGCCAUUAAAUCGCAUUAAUUAUAUAUUAAAAGUAUUUAUGUCCCAGGUUGAUUAGACCAAGGGCAUAACACCUACAUUGAUUUCCAUGGUGGAGUUCGGGAAGCUCCUCCUCAAGCACCACCCUUCAUUCUCUAUAACAAUCUUCAUCACCACCGCUCCAUGCACCACCGGUGUCACAGCACCCUACAUAAACCACGUUGCUUCCACCACUUCUUCCUUCACUUUUCACGAACUAUCCACCGUCAAACUUCCUCCCACUUCCGCCACCAUCCCUUUUGAAGAACUUCUUUUCGAAAUACCCCGCUUGAACAACCCUUACCUCCACGAAGCCCUUCAGAAUAUAUCCCAAAAAUCAAAUCUCUUAGCCUUUUUUAUAGAUUUCUUCUGUAAUGACACUUUUGAAGUCUCUUCAAAACUUGGAAUUCCAACUUAUUAUUUCAACACUUCAGUCGCUUCUGCACUUUGCAUUUUCUUACAUAUUCCAACCCUCCACGAAACCAUGACAAAAAAACAUCAAAGACUUACAUGAUUAUAUUAAAAUUUCUGGCACCCCACCAAUUUAUUCCCAAGAUUUACCAAAAGUUCUAUUUGAUCGCCAAAGUAGACUAUACAAACUGUUCUUAGAAACUGCCAUACAGAAGGGAAAAUAAUUUGGGAUUUUGGUAAAUUCUUUUGAAGCUCUUGAACAAGAGCAGUUAAAGCAUUCUCUGAUGGUUUGUGUAUUCCAAAUGCACCAACCCCUCCUGUACAUUGUAUUGGACCUCUAAUUGCAAGCAAAGAUAAAGGCAGUAACAAUGAUGAACACGAGCGUUGGAGAUGGCUAAAUUUACAACCCAAUAAUUUGUACGAAGCCCAUAAAUUUUAACCACACUUUCUUUAAAAAAAAAAAAAAAAAAAGUCAUUAUUUCAAAAUUCAUUUUUCCAAAAAAUCUCUUUUGAAUGAGCAUCAAAUAUGGGCUAAAUUUAAAUUCAUACAAAUAUGUCCCAAUCAUUUCUUGUCAUCAAAGCUUAAUGUGCGUAACUUUUAUAAUUGGGGUUGAGGGGGUUCAAACUUUUUUUUUUUUUUAAUGGUGACUAAGAGAAUUGAAUUUUUUUUUUUUUUUUUUGGUAUGAUAUGCCGCUAACAGUUUUAUCCAAAAAUUUAAGCAGUUAGACCAUCUUCAGUGCUGCACCAAAUUUUGCACCAUUUUAUACCAAACUAAAAUUCAUCUUCAACCAUUAUAUCAAAACUUACAUCAAAUAAAUAGUGUUUAACCACUUUCUUCCCUUUUUUUAUUUUUGAUAAUUUAUUUAUUUGAAGUAUUAUUUAUUUAAUUAUUUUAUAAAUACAUAAAUUACUAAAUAAAUAAUUACGUUAAAUUACAAAAAAUAUUAAAUUCAUUAAUAAAUAUAAAAAAUAUAGUACAAUUAAUAAAAACACUACAACAAUAAAAAUAUUAAAUCAUGCCACUAAAAAAUAGUGCAAUGCAUUUUGAAUUCGGAUAUUACAAAAUCGAAAUAUUAUUGCAAUUUAAUUCUCAGAAUUCAUAUCAUUUUCUUUAAAUAAAAUUAGAUUGUCGUAUAUAUGUCAUUGUUUAACAUAUUUCGUAUUAACUUUAAGAAAUAAUCAUGAUUGUUAUAUUUUAAAUUUUUUUCUUCUUCUAAUUAAUUCAUUAAUUAUUCUUUUUUACAUUUAAAAUUUAUUUUAAAUGCAAAUAAUAGUAAUAAUUUAUUGUAUUAAAAAAUGUAUAACACAAAUGACAAAAAUACCCUUAAUCAAUUUAUUUGGAAAAUUAAAAGAAAUGUUAAAAACGACUUUGUACACUUUGCACCACUUUUGUGCAAAGUGAAUAGUGUUGCACCAUAAUGGUGCAAAGUAUAGUAUUAUGUCGGAGUUGUUUUGCACCGAAAAUGGUGCAUUUUGGUGUUUUGGAUUAUACAUUGAAGAUGGCCUUCGAGAAAAGUAAUGCUUAUUUAUUUAAAUUUUAUCUUUUAUGACAAAAAUACCCUAAUCAAUUUAUUUGGAAAAUUAAAAGAAAUGUUAAAAACGACUUUGUACACUUUGCACCACUUUUGUGCAAAGUGAAUAGUGUUGCACCAUAAUGGUGCAAAGUAUAGUAUUAUGUCGGAGUUGUUUUGCACCGAAAAUGGUGCAUUUUGGUGUUUUGGAUUAUACAUUGAAGAUGGCCUUCGAGAAAAGUAAUGCUUAUUUAUUUAAAUUUUAUCUUUGAUAGGUUUCUUGGAAAGAACUAAAGAUAAAGGACUUGUGGUAAAGCCGUGGGCACCACAGCUAGAGGUGUUGAAUCAUGACUCAAUAAGGGGAUUUGUGACUCAUUGUGGAUGGAACUCAGCUUUGGAGUCUAUUUGUGCUGGUGUGCCAAUGUUGGCCUGGCCUUUAUGUAGAGCAAAGGAUGAAUAGGGUUUUCAUGGUGGAGGAAUUGAAGGUGGCACUGGCUUUAACUGAGUCGACUAAUGGGUUCGUUACAGUUGCUGAGUUGGAUAAGCGAAUAACAGAGUUAAUGGACUCGGACAAUAGGAGGUAAUGAAGGAUCAUGUUAUGGUUAUGAGAAAUUGCGCCAGGGCUACAAUUCAAGAUAGUGGUUCAUCCCGUGUAGCCUUGGAAAAGUGCAUCAAGUCCUGGGCGAAGGUAUGAUGCAAUUGUUAAUGGGAAUGUAAUAGUUGCGUGCGUCUAUUGAUUCAUAUCCCAUUCAAUUAUCAUUCGCAAUUCAAUAAGAUCAUCUCAUUAUGUGUUAGUGAAUUUUUAUUUAAUCAUAUUCAAUCUUCAAAAUACUAAAUUUGUCAUAUGCUAAUGUUCGAUAUGCAGCUUUAGAAAAUGACGUACAAGUUUUAGUCUUCUUUUCUUUAAUACAGUACACAAUAGUGAAGAAAAUGAAUGAGCUAGAUUUUGUUUCUUUUUUAUUCGAUCUUUAAUAUGUUUGUUAUUGUCUUUUUUUUUUUAAUAAUCAUUCCGUGAACGCAACCUACAAAAUUAAGAUAUCUACCUUAUAAUACAUAAAAUUCUAUGUUUUUAAAAAGUAGGAGUGGGUGCAGUCCGGUUCCAAAGGGAAUCGAAUGAACCAAAGAUCUAUGGGAAUUUUAGAACCGAAAUCGAACCAAUUGGUUCCGAUUCAGUCCGGUCCGAUUAUUUACAUUGAAAAUGUCAAAAUAAAUUGUUCACUAAUAAAAAAUCUAAAGUUGCUACCAAUGUGAUACUUUUAACAAAAUAUAUAAGAACCGAAAAUACUAUUCAAAGAUCUUAAGACGAUGAAAUCUCUUGUUGAGUAAGUUUGGUACUACACGAGAUCAAUAGUAAGGUAUCACAGAUUUUAACAUUUGUCGUUAAAUAUUUUUAUUUAGAGGAUCAUACUCUAUCAAGAAGUCAUUUUCCUCAAAGUAAUUUUAUCGUGUAUGUCAUCACUAGCUUCAAAUACUUUGUUGAGUUUCAAGAAGUGGUGAGUUGCAAGAAGUGAAGGGUUCGGUGGUUAAUUUUAGUAGCAGGUUAAUGGGCUUUCAAAGAUCAAAUCUUCAAGGUGGAAAUUAUAUCAAACCAUACUUUAAAUAUUCAACAUUCUAAAAUCAGGUUAAAAGUUUGACGUUCCAAAAAUCGGAUGUUUUAUAUUUAAAUAUUAAAUAUUAUAAUACAAAUUUUAUUUCAAACCCUAAUUAAUUUAUCUCAUUCCUCUUUUCCCCUUUCUCUUCUCUCCCAUCUCCCCUCCACUCUUAGUCGUCACCUCUCCAUUCUUAGCAGCCUUCCAGUGGCACAUCACCGAUGAAAAACAGCUGGGACGACAACGGUUGAUAGUGUUGGCGAUGGCAUGGUGGUGGUCCUCUCUUCUCACCCGUCUCCCUCUCCACUCUAAGCAACCUUUCGGCGGUUUGGUGGUGAUUUCUUGUUGAUUUGUGUGAGAUUGGGUUAUGCUGUGGGACUUAUUCUAGAAAAAAUUCACUUUAGUGAAAGAAGAAGUGAAAUCAUUGGUGAAUAUCUUAUGCUGUUCUGGAUCUGCGGUGUAAAGUAGAAUGAGAAAUUAACAUCCAUCAUCCCCUCAUUCAAUAUAUUGUUUUUGUUGGUGAUCGUGUCAAUUGCUUAGUCAGUUUCUUUACAUCUCCCACCCUUCACUGUGCACCAGUUGUUCCGAAAUUGAUAUUUGAUAGUUCAAAAUCAAAUGCAACUAUAGUCUGAAAGAAGUCACCAGCGAUUUGAUAAUUCACAAAUCUCUUCAAUUUGUAUCAGAUAUGGAAAGCUAAGGAGUCUCUAAAUAUUUUUCCAACCAGCAGCAAUGCCAAAGCAGAGGCUGAUAUUGUUGAUGCUCUCACAGUCAGACUUCCAAAUCUUGGGAUGAACCUUCUACCAAUGGCAUUUAGGCAAAUUAAAGAUCCUAUGGAGAUCAUUAAGUUGGCAAUUAACUGUCAAAGUGGUGCUUAUCGAAAUAUUGAUGAACUUGUUGAAAUUCCAAAACUUCUUGGAUUAAGUUCACAGGAAGACAUCUCAGCAGUACAGGAAGCUAUUGGAAGAGAAGCAGAAUUGCUGGAGAUGUGCAACUGGCUUUUGAUCACUGUCUCGUGUUGGCCAAAAAGGGUCAUCGUUCUGCAUGGGACGACAAACAGCUGCAACCACUCUCUCAGUUCUCUGUACCGCUGCGACAACAAACAGCUAUGACGAACAGGGCUGCCGAGACACGAUUUUUGGGGGUGAUUGUGAUCAAUUAUUUGGUUGAUUGUAAUUAAUAAUUGGUUAAUUUGUAAUAUGUGACCUAAAAAUUGUGACUGUAACUCACAAUUGAAUAAGUUGUCUUCGGAAAAUUAAUCACCAAUUAAUCUAAUAAUUUGCAAUGAAUAAAUGAGUUGUGACCAAUAAAAGUUUUGAUUCUGUAACCAACGAAUAAUUUGUAACCUAUAAAAUUUUUGACUCAUGACCUAAAAUUAAUAUGUGACCUAUAAAAUUUUUUAUUUGUGAUCGAAAAAUUAGUUAUGAUCAAUAAUUUGAUAAGUUGUGACUAAUUAAUUUUUUGAUUUGUGAUCGAUGAACAAACUGUGACCUACAAAAUUUUUGAAUUGUGAUUGUAAAAUAAUUUAUGACAUAAAAUUUUAGAUUUGUGAUAAAAAAAAAAUAAUAAGCAACUAAUUAAUUUGUUAAUUUGUGACCAAAUUGUAUAAAUCUGUGGCCUAAAUAUAUUUAAAUAAUAACUUAAUUAAUUAAAUCAUAAAUAAAUUUUAAUAAAAAUUUGAUUUUUGAAGUUUGAAAUUUGUUUUCUUGAUUUUGAAGUGUGUGAUAUUUAAACUCUUACUUAUAAAAUUUUUCCAUCUUCAAGUUCUCCUAGUUGAUGGGGGUCCAAUUUUUUAUAGGGUCUAUUCCAUAAUAAUUAUAAGAAUUAAAUUUUUCUCCAUUAGAGAGAGAAAAUGGAUCUUAUUUGUAAGCGAAAAAGUAAAAAAUGACAUUUGAAAUAAUGAAAUAACAGUAAAAAAAAUUUUGUGAAAAAUUGCAACUAAACGGAGGCAUAAUUUGAGGAUAAGAAUUGUCAAUGUUAGAAUAGUGUAAAUAAUAUCCUUCAUGUUAUUUAUCAUUAAUUACGGCUUCUUGUUUUUUUGUGACAAAUUCAUCAAACUUGAAAGAAAGUGACGACGACUUGAAACCAAACGAAAUGGAAGUCAUCCAACUUGUAGAAGCAAAAUAAUAAUGCUAUUUUGUCCGCCGUGUGGAUUAAAAUUAAAUUUUUAGUGAGUUUUGAUAAGUAGAUGAAUGUAAAAUUGUAAAUCUUAUAAAAUGUGUAAUUAAAAUUAAUUGUUAUUUUGACUUAUGAUUUUUAUCAAUUUUUAAUCUAGACUAAAUAGUAGGCUUAGUAUAAAUAAUACUUACUUUAUGUGACAGGAAAAUUAUUGUCACACAACCACAUAAAUUAGUACUAAGUACUACUAAUGCAAGCUAAAAUAAUUACUAGUUGCCAUAAAAAAUGAUGAACGAUAUGAGUAAAAUACAUCAUCUAUCGAACUUUAUCUCUCGUUUUAGAACGGUUACUGAAUUCUAUUUGUUUUCAACUCGUUAAUGGACUUUAAAAAUGGAUUCCUAUUAGUCAAUCAGUUAAUUAAAUUAAGAGAUUUGCAUAAAUGUCAAACGUCUUUACUUACGUAGAGUCUUAUCAGCUGCUAACUGUUUCAAAUCGAUCAUCAAUAUUUUUAUACGCUUUUCAAAAUGGUCGCUAGACUUCAAUCUAUUUCCAACUAGUUACUGGACUUUACAAAAUGAUAAAAAAAAAAAAAAAAAGGAAAAAAAAGCCUAAAAUUUCUGGCUUUAAAAUCUUACCUAACCUUCAAUUUAAAUGGAUUGCAACCUUUAACGAAGUUCAUUGUAUUUUAUGCUACAAUUUUCAAUCUACUGCAUAGUCCAUAGACUUUACAUCCCCGUACAAAUAUUGAAUUGAAUUAUUAAUUUAUGUUGGAUUAUGAAAGUGACGUACAAUAAUUAUCACUUUUUCAACCGUUUUAAACAAUUCCUUAAAAAUUCUUUAAAAACAAUUAGAUCAUGUAUGUAAAAUUCCUAACUAAAUCAACUAAAAAAUAAUUGAUAUCUUGUACAUUUUUCUUUCACAUAAGUGGAUUUUGGGCAUAACCUUCUAUUUUUAAUUCGAUCGUAUAGGCAUAGUACUUUAGGUUAUAAUUUUAUUAUCGUCAAGUAAGCAAGCGAUUUAAAAUAUGGGUAAAAAGUUCAGUGAUCGAUUUGAAAUGGUUGAUGAGGCUCCACAUAAGCGACGCCACUUGAUAUGCGUGCAACUUUAUUAAUUUAAUGGGGUGACUAAUUUAAAACCAUUUUUAAAGUUCAUUGACAAAUUGAAAAUCAAUUGUAAGUAUAGUAACCAUUUGAAGGAUAAAACCAAGUGUACAGACAGUUGGGAGUUCGAUUGGAGUGCAACAGAAGAGGUUGUACUUGGAGAUAGUUAAUUCGAGCGAGAAAAAUGGGAAAUUUCUGAUGGUGCCAACAGCGAGCACAACCAUCACGAUGAGAGGUCCGGAGAUGAUCAACGGAGAGCUUGGAUUCGUAUUUACAGAUGUGGAAGAGAAGUGCCUAUCUGAAGAUUUAAGGUUUGCUUUGGUGAUGAAAUUUCUCACUGUGAGACCAAACAUGGAUGUUGUUCGAAGGACUGUUAACAAUACUUGGGGCCUUCAGGUGAUUUCAGUAAUUAGUUUCAUGGAUGCCUCACACGUGUUGAUUCAAUUGAAAAACGAAACUGAUUAUUUGCANNNNNNNNNNNNNNNNNNNNNNNNNNNNNNNNNNNNNNNNNNNNNNNNNNNNNNNNNNNNNNNNNNNNNNNNNNNNNNNNNNNNNNNNNNNNNNNNNNNNNNNNNNNNNNNNNNNNNNNNNNNNNNNNNNNNNNNNNNNNNNNNNNNNNNNNNNNNNNNNNNNNNNNNNNNNNNNNNNNNNNNNNNNNNNNNNNNNNNNNNNNNNNNNNNNNNNNNNNNNNNNNNNNNNNNNNNNNNNNNNNNNNNNNNNNNNNNNNNNNNNNNNNNNNNNNNNNNNNNNNNNNNNNNNNNNNNNNNNNNNNNNNNNNNNNNNNNNNNNNNNNNNNNNNNNNNNNNNNNNNNNNNNNNNNNNNNNNNNNNNNNNNNNNNNNNNNNNNNNNNNNNNNNNNNNNNNNNNNNNNNNNNNNNNNNNNNNNNNNNNNNNNNNNNNNNNNNNNNNNNNNNNNNNNNNNNNNNNNNNNNNNNNNNNNNNNNNNNNNNNNNNNNNNNNNNNNNNNNNNNNNNNNNNNNNNNNNNNNNNNNNNNNNNNNNNNNNNNNNNNNNNNNNNNNNNNNNNNNNNNNNNNNNNNNNNNNNNNNNNNNNNNNNNNNNNNNNNNNNNNNNNNNNNNNNNNNNNNNNNNNNNNNNNNNNNNNNNNNNNNNNNNNNNNNNNNNNNNNNNNNNNNNNNNNNNNNNNNNNNNNNNNNNNNNNNNNNGUAUCCUGUUGAUGGUGAUGAUGCAAAUUUGUCGAGAGUUGUAGAUGAACAAAAACAAAGCCCUAUUCUUCCCGAGUUUGAUUGUGAAAAGGAAAUAAGAGGAUGCGAAUGGGAGAAAGACCCAGACUAUUGAUCGGAUUCAGAGGUUCAUAAACCAUAUAUUGUAUAAAGAAGAUUAUCCCUUAGGGUACAAGAGCAUCACAAAGGGCGCAGCACGCCCUACCGAACUUAACUUAUGAUUGAUCAAUUCUUAAUAUGGAACGUGCGAGGGUAGGCACGUCUAAAGGAAGGAUAGGAAAGCUGGUGAGAAAAUUCAAUGUGGAAAUACUAGGGAUUGUGGAACCUUUUCAUGGGGAAGGUAAAAUGAAGUUUUUGGCCUGUAAAAUAAAGUUACCAAACUUUAUAUCAAAUGAGAAAGCAGGAGGUAAAUUAUGGGUCUUUUGGAGUGAAGAUUCCAAGGUUGAUUGGGUUCAUGUUUCGAAUCAAGCUUUACAUGGUGUUUUUAUGAAAGGAGAGAAUAAGAUGUUAGUUUCAUUUAUUUAUGCAAAAUGUACAGGAGCUGGAGAAUGUUAGGGUGAUUGGUCUUCCCUGGGUGGUUUCUGGCAACUUCAAUAUCAUUAGAAAUGACUUUGAGCACGUGGGUGGCCACCCUAGACCUCUUUAAGCUAUGGAAGACUUUAAUGAAUGCAUUGAUAAGUGUGGUCUCUUAGAGCUGUUAGUUUUAGGUCGAAAAUUAUCUUGGUGCGAUGCAUAUGAAGGCUUGACCAGAAGUUGGGCGCGACUGGACAGAACACUGGUAAUCGACGAGGUGUUACGUGACUUCUCGAUGGCAAAUAUGAAGUACCUGUCAGGUAUAUCUUCUGAUCAUCAUCCUAUGACUAUUAAUUUGCAGAAGCAGUAUGUUUCUUAUAGCCCGACUCCAUUUCGAUUCCAAAGAAUGUGAUGCGAGCAUGAGUGCUUUUUGCCAUGUGUGGAGGCAGCAUAGAGCUUCGGAGAUAGUGGUUUGGUGUUGGGUGGCUUAGAAAAAUUGGUGAUUAAACUUAAAGCUACUAAAAAAGCUUUGAAAGUGUGGGAUAAACAAGUUUUCGGGAGUGUAGAUAAUGUUAUUUUGGAGCUUGAAGAACGUGUUGAGGCUCUUGAGAGCAGGUUACCAGAUGCAUAUUCUGAUGAUGUAGAAUAAGAAUAUUUAAUCUCUAAAGUCGAACUGGAUGAGUGGAAAAGGAAAGAGAAAAUUCAAAUGUCCCAACUGUUAAAAAAGAGAUGGUUAUCUGAUGGUGAUAAAAAUUCUAAAUUUUUCAUGCUGUAGUAUCAUGGAGACAUAGAAAAUCAAAAUUAAAUUAGAUGAAGCAUACAGAUGGCACUAUCUUAUCGAUACCGCAGCAAAUACAUUCAGAAGGGAUGAAAUAUCUUUAGACUUUUAUUACGAGUGAGGAAAGUGAAGUUUUGCUAGAUUUAUCACACAUCAUUGAGCCUGCGGUUUCUCAAAAGGAGGGAAAAAUGAUAUGUGCCCUACCGACAGAAGAGGAGGUUCGAGCUACAACUCUUUCGAUUCCGAUGGAUAGCGUACCUAGGCCUGAUGGAUAUGGGUAAGCUUUCUUUAUCAAGUGCUAGGAUAUUAUAAAAGGGGAUCUAGUAGAGGCAGCAAAUGAGUUUUUUGAAGGAGGGGUGCUACCUCGAUUUUAUACAUCAUCAUAUAUUGUGUUGAUCCCAAAGGUGGAUAAUCCUAGUGGUUUUGAUAAGUUUCGACCAAUCAGUCUUUGCUCUAUUGUGUAUAAAAUAUUUUCGAAUAUUUUGGUGCAGAGAAUGAGUGAUAUACUUUCUAGGGUUAUUUCUCAAGAGGAAGGAGCCUUAAUCCCAAGUCGAAGUAUUUUUGAAAAUAUUACACUCACUCAAGAAUUAGUGAAUUCUCUGAAUAAAAAGACUCGUGUUGGAAAUGUGAUUAUUAAAGUAGGUAUGGCUAAAGCAUAUGAUAGGGUGGAGUGGCAGUUCUUGCUUCAUGUUUUAUCAUCCUUUGGGUUCCCGACGAGGUUUUGCAAGUUAAUUGAUCGAAUAUCCAAGCCAUGGUAUUCAGUAAUGAUGAAUGGAACCAUGCAAUGUUUCUUUAAACCAUCACGUGGUUUUCGUCAAGGAGAUCAUUUAUCCCCUUAUUUGUUUAUUAUCAUGCAAGAGAUGCUGACUAGAUUGCUAAAAAGGGUUUUAAGGAAUGACGGAUUGGGUAUUUCUCACAUCCUAGGGGUGCAACUGCGAUAACUCUGAUGUAUGCUGAUGAUUUAGUAUUUUUUGCCAAUGGAGGGAAAAGGUUUGUCAAAGAGCUCAUGAAGAUUCUAUGCCUAUAUGAGAGCUGGUUCGGUCAAAAUAUCAGCAAUGAGAAGUCUGCUAUAUUCUUCUCAGAGCAUUGCUCAGUGGCUCGGAAAGGAGAAACAUUAAGGACGACUAGUUUUAAGGAGGUUCAAUUUCCAGUUAUUUACUUGGGAGUUUCAAUUGUCCAAGGUCGAUUAACUGCUCACCAUCUUGAGUCUGUGGUGGAGAAAAUUAGAAAGAAAAUUGCAGGUUGGAAGUUGUAAUUGUUGUCUCAAGGGGACAAAUUGGUUUUACUUUGUCAUGUCCCCACGUGCAUGGCUACACAUUUGUUGUCUGUGCUGAAUGUUCUAAAAUUUAUUUUUAAGAGACUUAAUUCUAUCCUCUACUUAAUUUCAUCCUCUCAUCCUUCUUUUGGGGUGAGGUUAAUGGGAAAACUAGGAAAAAAUGGUGUUCUUGGGAUAAACAUUACAGACCAGUGGAGGAGGGGGGAUCGGAGUUAGAAAAUUAGAAGAUGUCUAGCAUUCCUGGCACAUGAAGUUUGCAUGGAAACUACUGUCAUUGGAUUGCUUAUGGGCAACAUUUUUUCGACAAAAUAUACUAAGCAUGGUUUGAUUGAUGUCUCCAGUUUGCACGGUAUAGGAUCUCGAUUUUGGUGCUCUAUUGUGGAAUGCAUUCCUGAUGUGAUUAACCACAGUUAAUGGCAAAUUAAGGAGGGUUCUAUCUCAUCCUGGUAUGCCCAUUGGUUAGAUGAUGGCCAUUUGUCAAGGCACACAUCACAUAUUGAUCAAGCAACUCAUAGAAUUAAAGAUGUUUGCUUGGAUAGUAGCUAGAAUGUGGAUCAAUUACUGCAUCUUGUAGGGAAAGACAAAGCCGCUAUUAUGGCUAAGGUGAGUAAAUGUAGAGAGGGGAUGAUGUUUUUAUUUGGAAAUCGAGUAGUUAAGGAACCUUCUCUUCCAAGAUUGUGUGGGACAUGAUUAUAGUUCGACAUCCCCAAAUUGCUUGGGGAAGAUGGGUAUGGCAUUAUGCACUCCCAAAAAGAAUGUUAGUGAUAAUGUGAAAAGCUUUUUCUGGAGCUCUAAGUGUUGAUAAUAGAGUUCGUCAAAUGGGUAUAGCCUUAGCUUCUCGUUGUGAUUGUUGCUUAUGGGAAGGGAAGAAUCUAAUAACCAUGUUCUUAGUACAAGUGAGGUGGCAAAUAAAGUUUGGAGAGCAGUUUCGGUGGCGUUGGGCAUGUGAUGGAGAUCUAAACAAAACUGGUAUGAUAGAGUAAAUUUAUGAUGGGCCAGAGCAGAUAAAAAUACAGGUUGGAUGCUUACAAGGGCUACUUCCAACUAUACUUACGUGGAGACUAUGGAUGAGACGCUGUAAAGCAAGAAUGGAAGGUGUUCAUGAAACUGUGGAGAAGAUUCUCCACUCAAUAAAAUUCUGGCUGCAACAUGCGUCAUCGAACCUGAAAAAGGAACGAGCCCUUUCAUAGUCAGAUGAAUUACUUCUUAGAAACUUUGAUAUUACUACAAUGGUGUCUCAGGAGAGACCUUUUCGGGUUGUUAAAUGGGCUAAAGCUCCGGCUGGCAAAAUAAAACUAAAUGUAGAUGGAAGCUAUCUAGGUAACCCAGAAAUGGCUGCUGAUGGUGGUGUUGUUAGGAAUGAUAUGGGUAGGUUGAUAGCAAGUUUUUCUUCUUUCUUUGGAUAUGACACUAACAAUGAAGCGGAGUUGAGGGCAGUUAUUGAUGGAUUGACCUUGUGUCAGGAUUUAGGAUUAUUUCAGGUGGAUAUUGAGUAUGAUUCGUUGUUGGUGGUCUCCUGGAUUUUGGCAAGGAAAUGUGCACUAUGGUACUUGUGGGAUUUUUGGAAAGUUCUAAUUGAGCUUCUCAGGAAAUUUGACUUUCACAUCAUGCAUCAGUAUAGAGAAGCUAAUCAGGUUGGAACGAGUUGGCGAAGUUUGGUGCGAAGGGGAAGACAGAACGGUUCUUAUCAUGUAUGGAACUACCAAGACUUUGUCGAGGGUUGAUCCAUCUAGAUAGGAUGGGCGUGUUGUACAUUCGUUAGAAAAGAUAGACUAUUUUUGUUAUUUGGUUACAUAAGAGAUUAGAUUAUUUGUUAUUUUUUAUUGAUUGAUGGACUGUUAUUAUGGUUUUCCUCCGCCUCAAGUGAGGGUUUUAUGAAUAAAAUGCUUGAUGGGCUGUUUAAAAAAAAAAAAAUGUGUACAGAUAGUUGGUUUAUAGAAUUUUUACAGGUGCAGCCCAAUGCACCUGAUUGGAAGUGUUCUAUCCUUUUGUCAACUGUAAAUGAAAACUUGACAAGUGUAAAUCUGUAAAAAUUCUAUAAAAAAAAUAUAUUGCUUGAUUUCCAAUGGGAAAUGCGAGUCAAAGGUUGGUGACCAAUGGAUUUUUUACCUUACAUCUUAUUGGAACACGUCAAGAUGAAAAUGAUGAGAGGAAGUUUAGUGGAAUGUGUGAAAUAUAUAUGUUUUAGUAAGUAAAUCUCGACUAAUUUAUUAUAAUUUCUAUAACAAGUGGAAGAAAGGAGAAUAUCAUUAUCAUCGUCUAGAAGAGGGAACAUAGGUCCACUUCCAUUAUCCAAUUCACACAUGGUAGGGGCACAAUUGACUUGGUAAUCAAUGUGCUCAUUCAAUAAAAUGAUAAUUGUCUUUUUAUUCUAAAUUUAUUAAUUUAAAAACAAAUCGCACAAUCCCUUCAUUACAAAUUAACGAUGCUUCAAAUUGAUUAAAAAAAUGAUGAAUUAGGGAUGUCGAUCUCAAAAUUGAUGGUUCGAUUUUGAGUGCUUUUUAGUAAUUAUUUAAAAAAAAAAAAAAAAAAAGUCCAAUCAUGUUUGAAAGUUCAUCAUCAAAUAAUUUUAAAAGAAUAAAAUUAAAUAUAUGCUCAUAUAUAUGGAAAAGAGGUAGAUGUGUUUGAAUAAUUAUUUCAAAGAUGGUAAAACUGAAAGAAAAUUUGUAAUUAUCAUUUUUAGAGGAGAUAAAAUUGGUAAUAGUUGUCCAAGUUUCAUUCUUUUUUAAGGAUAGAUUUGAAUACAAUUAUUUUAGAUAAGGUAAAAUUGAAAAACGAUCGCAGACAUGAUUUGGCGGUCGAGAAGUAAAACUCAAAUUAUCCUCUUUGAGUGGUUUAGUGGGUUGGACCAGAUUCGUAUGUGUACUUUCUCUUUUUUUUUUUUUUUUUUAUUCUACCAGAAAUUGUGCGGGUGUGUCUCACAGGUGCCAAUCAUAGUUAAAUUUUUAACAAAACAAUGAGGACUGAUUUUAUAUUAAAAUAAGAGGAGGGGGCUCCAAAUGAAAAUUUUGUUAACUUAAAACGGAAAAAUUCAGAAGCUUCUAUUCAGUCAAGGUUUAAAAAAAUUGUCCUCACGCGUUCACUUGUCAGAGAUUGGUUCAGAUGUUAUAAUCUAGAUACUUACGCGCUUUGAAAUGUGGGAUGGUUCCUUGUAUUGUGGGGCCCAUGUUUAUCCCCGUUUGAUACCAAUUUUUCAUCCAAAAAAUUAAUUUUUUAAUUAUUAUUUUAUUAUUUCAAUUGUGAUGUCGUUAUUUUUUACUUAUUCACUCACAAAUAGAAUUCACUUUUCUUUCUAAAUGUCAAAAAAUUAAUUCUCUUAUUCACUGUUGAAUAGACCCUAAUUGUCACCACAAUUCUAUACUUCUACAUAUAUAGCUCGAUUGUAUCCACCAUUCUCACAAAACUCGAACAAGUCAAAUUCGGACGAGUUCCAAUCUUGUUUAAAUAUCUCUACUGGAAUUUCGUGCCAGAGAUCUUUUCUUAAUAUUGAGAUUCUGCACCUUUUCUUAUUGAUAAAAAUGACCGACAAAGAUCAGGAAAUUCAUCCAACAUCCCAAGCCAACGGUCAUACCAAACAUGACGAAGAAACAGCCGUAUUGCAUUCCAAAGAAGCUCGCAAAAAGAAGCGUAUGAAAUGUUUAUUAUAUAUUGCUAUCUUUGCUGUGUUUCAAACCGCUAUUAUAUUGCUUUUUGCCCUUACUGUCAUGAAAAUACGAACACCAAAGUUCAGGGUUCAGUUUGCAACAUUCGAUACCUUUAAUUUCUCUUCAAACACUAAUCCUUCGUUCAACAUAAGUAUGAAUGCUGAAGUUGGAGUCAAGAACACAAAUUUUGGCCACUACAAGUUUCACAAUAGCACGAUCAACUUCCUCUACGAUGGCUUGAUCAUUGGGGAAGCCUUUGUUCCUGAAGCACGCGCCAGAGCUCGUUCGACUAAGAAGUUUAAUAUCUUUGUGAAUUUGUCGUUAAGCAAUGUCCCACAACUUGGAUCUGAUCUUGAUUCUGGGGUUCUAAGUUUGAAGAGCAAGUCUACAUUGAAUGGUAAAGUGGAGCUCUUCAAAGUACUGAAGAAGAAGAAAUCCACAGAAAUGGAUUGCAUCCUGGCAAUUAAUUUGAGACAGGAAUUAAUUGGAGACUUGAGAUGCAAAUAGAUAUGAACUAUAAGCAUAUUUUGAGUGAUUUUGGGCUUUCUUCAACUUUUUAAUACAGUGUAAAAUCUGGGAAUAAUAUAUAUUUUUCCAGUGUGUACCGUUUGCUGUAUACUCGAGCCCUAUUUUUAUAGUGAUAUUAUUUUUACUCAAUUUGUUUAUAUCUUAAUUUUUGUAUUAGAAAUUGUCUAAAAUCUCUAUUUAAUUAGUUGCUUUCAACAACCCCUCACUAGUAACUAGUAAGAGAAUGUUUGUCUAAUAUUAAAAGAUUUACUUAUAAGUAGGGACAAAUCCAUCACCAGACUACAAGCAGGGCAAAUAUGUAAAAAAUAUAUAAAAAUUAAAAAAAAAUUACUCAAAAAAAAUCAUAUACAAAAAAAAAAAAAAAAAUUGCCCAAAAAAAAUUAAAUGGGGUAUAUACGUCCCUGCUUAUUGGUAAAUUAGAGUUUUAAUAAAUUUUAAUUAAAAUAAUGAAAUAUAUGGUUUGAAAGUUGAUAAAAGUUAUGAACCCCAUUAUAAAUUACCCAAAAAAAAAAAAUGAAUUUUAGAAAAUGGAGGCCAAACAAAUACUUAGCCCUUGUUUGAUUUGAAUUAAAAUAAGCCCCCUUAAAUAUCAAGUCAAAGUUAACGGUUAAUUUUAAUCAUAUGUUUUAUUGGAUUCACAAUUUUUUAACCAUAAUUUUCAUUACUUUUUAUCAAAAUUUACUCAAAUUUUAAUUUUAAUGUCAAACAAACGAGGCUUAACGGACGAAGUAAAAAACUUUUCAUGUUCAAAUUCAAUGCAUUUAGGUCUCACUUUACAAUGCCCAUUUGCUUCAGCCAUUAUGGCUGUCAACAAAUAAGUUGCCAUCACUUUCAGGGCAAUUAAGCGGAUCACACACGACAGCUACAGAAUUUAGCCCUUUUGCUAAAACAAAUACAUUUUCAGUAAUUUUAAUAAAGAUUGAUAAAAAUUUGAUAAAAAAUAUGAAUUUUUGAAAGAGUAAUGCCAUUUGAAAUCGCUCACUAUCAUAAUCGCCAUACAUUAUAUACAUAUGAUAGUUAGUGAUUUGAUGCAUUAAUGUUGUAAUUUUUUUUAUCAAUAAAGUUAUUUGUACAUUUGGAGUUGACACUCCCCUCACAAGAGAGGGGGUCCACACGUAAUAAAAUAAUUGUGGACCCCCCUCUUGUGAGGGGAGUGUCAUUCUGAGUGUUAACCUCGGAUGUAUAAAUAGCGAAGUCUUUUUUUUAUUGUCUUAUGUAUCAAACCAUUAAUCAUUAUAUAUAUAUCACGUAAGACGACUGCGAUAGUGAUCGAUUGUAAAUAAUAUUAUUCUUUCUGAAAUAUAUAUUUAAAGUUAAUUAUUAAUUUAAUUUAAAUUUUAUCUCUUUUCUGCUAAAUCAAACGGACUUAGGUUAAUUGUUAAUGAUUAAUUUUUAGAAUGGUUCCUUAGAAUUCAAUGGUUCACAUGUUAACUUAAUUAUUUAAUUACUGAAAAUAAAAAAUAAAAUGAAGCCGCCAACACAACUUUAUACCGUGUAGACUGUAAGUUCCAAGUUACAAAAGUCAAAGUCAAACUACACUUUAUUUUCUACCUUCUAGAAAUUACAAUGUGUAAGCGUCUUCCUCUUCCUCUUCCUCUUCCUCUUCCUCUUCCUCUAUGUGAGACUCGAACCGUUGUUAUAUGCUUCCAAAAUUUUUAAUAUUGGAAAGUCGUGUUUUAUGAAAUUACAACUUUAUUAAAUUGAUACUUUCAACUAGAUGGAGACACGUGGCUUAACUUGGACUGUUGGAUUGGAUCUUGAACCUUCUAUUAUUGAUGUCGUUUCACUUGGCAUGCUCUUCUCCCAAUUAACGUGUUUGACUCUUGGUUCUUGUGAGAGAGAAAAAAUCCUCUUGUCUGGUUAGGGUUUUAUCUAUUUGAUUCUUUGGCUCAAAUCUCUGAUUUGAGAUCUUAAACUUGUAAAUCUUAGUGAUAUAGUUAGAUAUUCUGAGUGAUUAUCUGUUAAAACCAUAGCUCUUGAGUUGUGAUGUUUUGAGAAAAGUGCAGUGAAGAUUCUUUGUGAUUCUUCGAAGGUGUUUGGUCGAUCUUGAGAAAUAAGUGUAUUUGCUUUAUCUCUUCAUAUUUGUUGAACAUUUGUAAUCCUUUAUUGCCAAUUUUGGCUGUUAUAAUGCAAUCGAGUGUAAUCUAGUGAUUGCCUUCGACGGGGCGUGGCGGGGCGGGGCAAUUUUCUUGCCCCGUUUAAUUUUUUUUUUUUUAAUUCCGAGUUCAAUAAAAUAUGGAUAACAUUCAAGUUGAACUUUUAAUAAAGAAUACCCUUACUUUAUGUAAAUUUAAGUUUUUGUUUUGGGAUAAAAUUAUUUAUAGUGUAAAAUGAUUUUUAGAGAAUGUGUGGAUAAAAAGUAUGAAAAAAUUAUAGGUCUACAUGUAAAUUAUGUUAUUAAAAAAAUUGUGAUAGAAAAUAAGUUUAAAUAAAAACGAUUUUGAAAUAUGUUACAUAGAUGAACUCUAAAUAUGUUAUAAUAGUAAUAAUUAAGUAUGUAAACAAAUAAUUAACAAUCAAUUAGCUAAUUGGUAACAAAGUUAUGAUAAAUUAAGGGUUGGAUGAACAAAUAAUUAGAAAUUUUCUAUCUUCAUAUUUACAAGUAUUAAAAAAAAAAAAUUCACGGGUCGGGUUCGGGGUGGGGCAUCCCUGCCCCGCGACGGGGCGGGUUUUUUUGCUCCAUUCGGGACGGGGCGACACCGGGAAGGGACGGAGCGGGGUAAAUUGCCAUCACUAGUGUAAUCCAACUUAUUGGAUGCACAACGAGGGAUGUAGGCGUUUGAAGUGGUCGCCGAACCUUCGGGGUUUAGGCCGAAAGAAAUUUUGUGUUGAAUCUUUAAUUUCCUGAGCUAUUUUACUUUAUGUCAUUUUGAAUAUCUUGCUUCUCAGUUUAAUAUUGAGACAAAUUUUGCCGAUUAUGAUAGUCCGAUUGAUGUAAUUCAUUUGGAUGUCUCUAAUUCUUUUGCCGGUCCAAAUGAUAAUAUUGAUCAUUUGAUUGGAGGUGGUGUGAUGAAAGAUAUAGAUUAAUUUAUUUUCCACAUCUGUAGUAUUUGCCUUUUAUUUUAGAAAUUUAGUUCGAAAUAUAUUUUUAGUUUUUGCAAAAAAAAAAAAAAAAAAAAAAAAAAAUUUAAAAAAAAAAAAAGAAACUUUAUUAUACAUCAUUAAUUUCACAGUAUUGAAUAAUAUUUUCCCUUUUAAAUUUAAAUUUAAAUUUUUUUAAAUAUAUCCAUUUUGUUAUAUUUAGAUUCAUGAUGGAUUGUCAAAAUACCUAUUUAAUUUAUAGUGCAACUACACAUAUCAUUCUUCAAGAUAAAAAAAUAUAUUUUUUAAACUUAACAUUAACAGAAAAUAAUGUUAAUGCGAUAUCAGAUGCAUCGAAUAUCGUUGAAUACUCCUAAAGAGCUUAUAUUAUUUUACCUAAUAAUAUAAAAUUAUAUAUUAACGAUACACUUUAUUCUAGCAAAUCCAGAAAAAAUUGAUUAGUUUUAAAGAUAUUCGUUGCAAUUUAAUGCACUCUCAUCUAGCAUAUAUUAUACAUUUAUAAAAUUUGUUGAAUCAAAUAUCGUCACGAACUAGAAGUUCGUUGAUCCAAAAAAAUUUAUACUUUGACAUGAUCGACUUGAACAUCCAAGAAAUAUGAUGAUGCAUCGAAUAAUAAACAACUCACAUUGAUAUUCUUUAUAGAACCAAAAGAUUCUUUUACCUAAUGAUUAUCUAUGUGCAGCUUGUUCGUCAGGCAAAUUAGUCAUUGACCAUCCACUACAAAAUAUCAAUAUUGAAUCACCAACUUUAUUGAAAAGAAUUCAUGGAAAUAUAUGUGAGCCAUAUACCUGCCAUGUGGACUAUUUUGUUAUUUUAUAGUAUUAAUUGAUUUUUCUACUAAAUGGUCACAUGUUUACCUAUUUUUCACUAUGAAUGUAGUUUUUGUUAGACUACUUGCUCAAAUCAUAAAAUUACAAGCACAAUUUCCUAAUUACCAAUUAAUACUAUUCGUUUUGACAAUACUGGUGAAUCUAAAUCACACGCAUUUAAUGAUUAUUGUAUAUCAAUUGGGAUUAUAAUUGAACACUCGGUUGCACAUGUUCAUACACAAAGUGGUUUAGCGGAAACGUUUAUUAAACAUCUACAACCUAUUACUAGACUAUUACUUAUUAAAAUAAAAUUCCCAGCUUCUAUUUGGGGUCAUGCCAUAUUACAUGCUGCAUCCUUGGUUCGUAUAAGACCAACUUUAUACUAUUGAUAUUCAUUUUUGCAACUUGCAUUUGAUCAUGAACUUGAUAUUUUUCACCUACAAGAUUUUGGUCGUGCUAUUCAAGUUCCUAUUUCAAAUAGGUCUCCAAUGAAAAAUAGGUUUUAAUUCACUAUCUAUUAUUAGGUAUCCCAAACCUUUAAUAGGUGAUUUAUUUACUACACGUUUUGCUUACUAUCAUUUUAAUGAAAUGACCCUCCCAACUUUGGGAGGUGAAAAUCUACAUCAUGAAAAAUAAAGUAAAAUUUAUUAGAAUGAAUUAACUCUUUCACCUCGAUCCCGCAACAAUUAAUGUGAGUAAGAGGUUGAAAAAAAAAUCAUUUAUUUGCAAAAGGUUGUAAAUCAUUUACCUAAUGUAUUUAUUGACACUAGAAAAGUGACAAAUCAUAUAUUUUAGUAGAAAAUAUUUCAACAAAAAUUGAUAUCUCUGUAGGACAAUUUGUUAUAGCAAACGCUAAAAGCGUGGUUGACCGGUUGGUUUGAAAGAUUAUAUGCCUCAAAAAAGAAAAGAUUGAUCAAUCACAUAUUGAAAAUAUGAUUUUUGAAGAAUUCAAGUGUCCGAAAAUAAUGAGAUUUCAAUAAAUUAUAUGUUAUCUCAUAAAUUAUGAGAACGGGAUAAUGUUGUUAUAGGCAAUAUUUUCCCCCUUUAACGUGACUCUUAAUAUUAUGCAAAAUGAAGAUCCUGAACCACAGUUAGUUAAAGACUGUCAAAAUAUAAAUGAUCGGCCAAAAUGCAAAAAGGCCAUACAGGCAAAAUUUAAUUCCUUAUAGAAACAAAAAGUGUUUAGGUUUGUAGUUCAAACACCUGAAAAUGUAAUUCCUGUAGGAUAAAAAUGGGUUUUGUAUGAAAGAUAAAUGAAAACAAUGAAAUUACAAGAUACAAACUUCGACUCGUAACUCAAGGUUUCUCAUAAAGACCUGGAAUUUUAUUAUGAGAAAAUAUAUUCUCCUGUAAUGACCAUCAUCCCUUUCAGAUUCUUAAUUAGUUUGAUCGUGUCACAAAAAUUCGAUAUGUGCCUUAUAAAUGUAAUAAUUGCUUAUUUGAUUGGUUCACUUGAUUGCAACAUAUAUAUGAAAGUCUCCAAAUAACUUAAAGUGUCAGGAACAAAUGAUACAUACCUGAGAAUCAUGUUUUCAAUUACACUACAAAAAUCAUUAUAUGGAUUGAAACGAUCUAGAUACAUGUGAUAUAAUUGUCUUAGUGAAUAUUUGUUGAAUGAGAAUUAUAAAAAUAACGAUAUAUGUCUCUAUGUUUUCAUAAAGAAAAUAAAUAUUAAAUUUUGUAAUUAUGUUAAUUUAUGUUGAUAAUUUAAAUUUAAUUGAAACUCCUGAAGAGUUCAUCAAAACUGUAGAUUAUUUGAAAAAUGAACUUGAAAUUAAAAAAGAUAUAUUUCUCCACUUGAAGAUAGAGAAAAGAUUAUUGGUCUCGAAAUACCAUAUCUUAGUGCAAUUGGAGCACUAACUUAUCUUGUAAAUUGUACUCGACCUGACAUAGUUUUUUAUGUAAAUCUCCUAACAAGAUAUAUCUCAAGAUUAACUCAAAAACAUUGAAAUAGUGUUAAACAUAUUUUUCGUUACCUAAAAGACACCAUUAAUUUGGGAUUGUUUCAUUCUCAAAAGUCGGGAUAUGCAGAUGCAAAUUAUCUUUCUGACCCACAGAAAGUCAAAUCACAAACAGGAUAUGUGUUUACACGUUGAGAAAUAGCUAUAUCAUGGAGAUUUGUGAAGCAAUACUUGACAGCAACAUUCUCAAAUUAUCCUGAAAUUAUUGCAAUCCAUGAAGCAGACAGAAAAUGUAUGGUUAAAAAAUAUAACCCAUCAUAUUCAACAUUAUGCAGGUUAACCUCAACAAAGAAUAGACUAAAAAUCUUGUAUAAAGACAAUAUAUCUUGUAUUGCACAAUUCAAAAGAGAUUAUAUCAAAGGUGAUGGAACGAAACAUAUUUUUCUAAAAUUCUUUCAUCUACAUGAGUUUCAAAAGAAUGACGACAUCGAUGUCCAACAAAUUCGCUCGAAUGACAAUGUCAAUGAGUUCCUACAUAUAUAAAACAGUGAAAGAAUGGCGGGACGUGUGUUGAAAAAAUGUGCCGUCCUUCACCAAUUUUUUUUUUUUUUUUUUUUUUUUUUUUUUUUUUUUUUUUUUUUUUUUUUUCAAUACCCAUUCCUUCUGCUUCUCCAUUCUCACACUCAACUAACCACUCCUUCAUUUCCCACACAACCUUGUGCAAGUUCCUCUUUAUUUUUCUUCUUCUUUUUUUCUUUUGUAUUUCUCUCUCAUGAAUCUCACCGCUGUAAUUUUACCAGAAAACUAAAAAGCAUCAUCUUCAAUCUCGUGUAUGUAUUCUUCUUCUUCUUUGUCUUUUUUUUUUUUAAUGUGUUGAGUAUUGUUUUUUUCUGCUCCUUUUUUGGUUAAGACACAUUCAAUCUCCAAGUUUAGUUUAUGCAUAAUGUGUAUUAUAACUAAGGUUUUCUUGCCACGUCAAUUAUGAGAAUUUUUUAUCUUGCUCACUAGGAUAGGAAAUCAAUUCUAUUGUUCGAUAUUUGUCCAUGAAGAUAUAUUCAAGAGUAAAAAGAUAUUCAAGAAAAAUUGCGGGUCUUAUUCAGGUCAUAGAAAGUAAUGCUAUGUCAACUUUUAUUAUUUUAUAAUUAUUAUUUGGUAAUAAUCUGGAUAGUGACCAUAGUGAACCGUCUGAUUUCUCAUAAAGAGAAUCAAGAGAUGAUGUCAACAAUUUGAAAAGUAAAAUGUUGCUUUCUGUGAAUAGUUAGUAUAUGCCUAUUUGUGGUGGAAGGAACGGCAGGGCAUUGACUAUUUUUCCUCUACACAAAAUACCCAUUGAUUCUAAGGAAAUUAAGGGUCCGUUUGAUUGUAAAAAUAAAAUUGAAUUGGAUUGAAAAUGAAUUCUAGGAAAUUGAAUUGUCUAAAAAUUAUUUUCCUGAGAAUUAUAAAUUAUUGUGUUUGAUUGAUAUAAUUUUUCACAUGGAAAACGUUGAAAUAAAAGUGUUUUUUUUAAUGUUCGUUUGGUUUUGUUUUAAAUGAAAUUUGUCAAUUAAAGAGAUAGAAUUUACUGGUAUUGGGUAUGAAAUUUGUUUCCAUCACCAAGAAAAAAAAAUCAAGAAAAUCAUCUAUCUUUUGGUAUUCGUUUGUCUUUGUUUUACAUGGAAAUUAUCAAUUAAAGGAAAAUAUUUUUUUUACAAUAAUUCUUAGAAUUUAUUUCCAUUGAAAAAAAUAGAAAAAAAUUAAAAAAUUGCUACAAUAACCGAGAAUUCCAAUUCUCACUAUUUUGGUGAGAAUUGGAAUUCAAGGUUUUCAUGGAAAAUAAUGAUGUGACCAAGAAAGGUGGAAUUCAUUUUCCAUGGAAAAUUUCACCUAUCAAAUACUACAAAAGUCGAAAAAUGAUAUUGAUUUUCCAUUUUCCAUGGAAAAGGGUGUGUUUGAUAGCAUCAAACACACCCUAAGUGCAUAUUUUGACUCUUAAAUGCUUGUUAUUGUGAAUAAAAAUGACGAAAAGAUCAAAACUUACCAUCAAGGUAGAGCUUUCAUUUGCGUGCACAUACAAAGCAGAUGCGCACAUGGAGCUUUCAUUUCUCUAUUUUCAUCCCUUAACCCUAGCACUUUUGCGUUCGCUACUUUCGUCUUUCACCACUCACUGCCACCACUUCACUUGUCCAGUUGGUCCAUCGGUCUCCUCCACGACUUGAGGGGCUGCACUCCGUCGCAAUUGACGACUUCGCGACCAUGUUAUGUAAGGGUAGAUCUACUGAGUCGGGGUACUAUAUAUGUCUCAAGAUUUUUCUUGACGACAUGGAGCAAGGGUGCCACAUUAUUGCGAUCAUAGUUUUUACUUGGAGUGUCUUCACAACUGGUUCAUGACUUAGAUUAGUUUUCCCUUUGUGGUGGUUGAUAGGGGCGGAGCCGGGAUUUUAGUUCAGUGAGGGCAAAAAAAUUUCGACGUCGAAUGUCGAGGUUUUGGUCAUGGAUGUAAUGACGCUAAAAAAAUAAAAUAAUAGUACGAUAAUAUUAAAAAUGACAUAAUUUAUAUAUUUCUCUUGUUUUUGACGAGUUUUAAUAUUCUGCGCGAACCGAAACUGCGACGCUGCAACAGGGACGAAUUCUCUCACUCACAAACAAGGGUUGGAUUGAUUCAAAUGAAUGAAUGAGUUUGGGUCAAUUGAAUUUUGAGGGAACGGGUUUAAUAGGGCUUCUCUCUCUGAGCUGGACUUCGAAUAUUGGAAAAAGAUUAUGGAUAUUCACUACUAUUGAUAUCUGAAACUUAAGAAGUGGGUUUAAAAAAAAAAAAAUCUGCCCUAAAGUCCAGUGCGGCCCGCACUGGACAUGCAUUGGCUCCGCCCAUGACUGGUUGUGUUUGAGUCGAUUCUCCUGUUUAACUCGCGAGUUUUGUGCUACAAAGCAAGGGUUUUAUAGAUUGACUUCGUUAUUGCAUUUUUGAAGGUAUUUUUGUACAGAUUUGAUCAUUUUUCUGUGAGCUUAUGUUGAUUUGUGACGUAAAGGUUUUCUUUUUGUUUUUAUAAAAAUUUAUUGUUCUUUCUUCUUCUACAGAUAACAACAGAGGUUAUAAUUUCGUCCUCCCAAAAUAUUUAUUAUUGAAAAUUUGAUGCUGCUCUAAAAGACAUGCUGCUAAACUGGAUGGAAGAUGCAGUGACUUAGUUCACGGUAUGGAAUAAACUUGUUCAGUGUAUUGCUUGUUGUCCUUGAAAAUUUGUAUCCCUUGCACCUGCUUGUUGAAUCACCCUCCCAUAAACUUUUUCCGGUCAUUGGAGCACUUCGAGAGAUACUUCACUAUGAGAAUAUAUCGUCAAGUUAAGUCUAGACGCUGAAGAUGAAGACUUUGGCUAGUUUUCUAUUUUCAUCUGUUUUUCUUAUAAUAUUCUUCGUUAAGCAAUUCUUUUAUCCUUCUCUUUCAAAAAAUUCUUAAUUUGAUAAAUCAAUUUAACAUUAAUGCUUGCAUAUAUUCACUUAGUAAGAAAAUUGUGUGAUUAAAUUUCUAUCAAAGAUGUUAAUGGGUAUCAGUUAUAGUAUUGUUUCUUCAAAUUGCUUGCUGAAUUUCUUCGAAUCCAUUAACUUAAAAUCCUCAUUUUUUUAUACUCCAUUUACAAAUUUCUUAUUGUAUCGAAAAUGAAUUCCUAAAUAAAUUGCAAAAUUAAAUAACUGUGUCAAUUCUUGAUCAGAUCUACUUUUUGCUUGAUAUAAGAUUUUUCCUGUAAGAAAAAUUUGUGGAGAAAUAGAUUUUGCAAUAAAGGCAUCAUUGUAACUAAUGGUUUGACUCUGAUGAAAGGUGGGAGAAGUGACAUAGGCCGAUGCUUACCAAACUUGUCCCUCAAUAAUAGACUUUGCAAGAAAAUCCUAAAUGGUAAAUGUAAAUUUCAUCAAGAAAUCAUAAUAAUCAUUUGCCAUAGAACUCUACAAGAUGCACUAAUUGAUUUAUGAAAAAAUUAUCUCCUAAACACCAGUACUGCCAAAUCUCAGUUACAUUAAUUGAACUAAUGAUAUGUUCAAUCUUAACUCUUACAAAAUUACGUAAUCCAAUCUUAUGUGUCUUUUACUUCUCUCUUUGAUGAGUUCUUUAUAAAUUUGAUACUUGAAAUCACAGGAAGAGGAAGAUAGCUAACUCAUAAUAAUUAAAAGAGGCGUUGUCGAGCUUCAAUUCGAUUUUUUCAAAACGGUAAAAAUGUCACUAUGGUAGAGUAACAGAUUUGGAUAAAACUUAAGUCCAUUUGAUUAAAUUAGCUUUGAACUGAAAAUUAAAAAUAAGAAAAUCAUACUUUUGCGUUUGAGAUAAAUUAACUAGUUAGAAAAUUUAUUUAGAAAAAAUAAAAUAAUUUUGUUUAUUCAAAAUAAAUAAAUUAAAAAAUUUAGGAGAUUCGGUUCUUUAGUUCUUACUGAGAACCGAACCGAACCAAACUUGUCGGUUCUCAAUUCAGAUACCCGUUCGGAUAUUUAAUUUAAGAAGAACCGAUUGAAUCAGAUCAGGUCGGGUUCGAUAGGUACGAUUCCGGAGCUUUGUCCAACCCUAAUCAGUUAUCACCGUUGUUGACUUAUUAGACUUAAAUAAUAUACAUCUAUUUAUGGGACCUCAGUCACGUUUCUUAUUUUUCUCAAUCUCCCAAUUAAAUUCCUAAGGAAAAAUAGCUUGAAUUUAUCCAUGAUUUUUUUAUUUACUUUAUUUUUAAUACCAAAAGUCACGUAUUUAUAUUUUAAUCGUAAUUCAUUUAAACCCAAAAGGACUUUAAAAAAUAAAAAAUAAAAGUAAAACUAAAAUAUAGUAUGAUAUCAUCCCCUCCCCCCUUUAUAAAGUUAAAACAUACUUGGUUCAAUCUGUGGGCGGUGUUGUGCACAUAGCACGGUGCACAAUACCGUAUAUAGCCCCCUCACAACUUGAGGAGCCACACGCGCAAUAAAAAAUUUAUGAGCCCCCCCCCCCCACUUGUGAGGGGGCUGUACAGCUCGGGCCGUACAAACAGCAACUCCCUUCUUUAUAUAUCAUUCUCUUUAUGGUGGUUAUAUUGCCCUUCUAAUUUUUUUAUGAGUGCACUAUAUUUUAAUUGCAUAAAAUAUUAUUAACUUUUACUUGUCGACUUUUUUCAUUACACUCUUUUCUCAGCAUACUAUCAACAUGCACUUAUUUUCGAUGAUAAUUUUUAUCCAAAAAUUAUUUUAAGAUGGCAUAAUGAGUAUUUUAAAUAAGAAAAAAAUAACGACAACAAAAGUGUGUUUAAUAUUUUGUCUCUUAUUUUGAAGCAUGUUAACAGAUACCUUGAUGACGAAAUUAGUCCAAAUACUAUAUAAAAAGUGACUCAAUUAGAUUAAUACCCUAAAUUAAUUAAACAUCACGAAAAUCCCGUAUUAAUUAUGUCCUAAACUAAAACAAACCGUCAAAACCCAAAAUCUCCCAUCUUAGUACAAAGAAAAAAUGGCAACGCCCAAGAAAGCCAUAAUGAAAUCUAAACUUUAUUUUUCUUUGCUUGCAAACUAAGAAAGAAUAAACUCGAACACUAAAUAGCACAUCAGCGAAAUUGUUUGACAAACAAAUAAAAAAUCAUCCCCAACUUUCCAAUUUUUUCCUUAAAUUGCCGACAUUAGUGUUGGAAUAUAGUGGUGUUAAUGAAAUCGGAUUAUCACAUACCGUAUAUGUAGUUUAGAUACCGGUUUUGAGCAUACCAUAUUUGCAGGUGGCUUACCGUAUAUACAGAUCUAGUUCAAAUUAAGUACAUUCAAUGCAAUUAAACUGUGGCAAAUUUGGUAUGUAUAUAGUUCUCUUUCUUAAUUCUAAUUGUUAUGAUAUAUAUAUCAUCAAUAACCAUAUAUAAACUUAAAAAUAUUGAGAUCGAUGUCUAGUUUAAAUGGUAAGAGAAAAUCUUUACCAGUUUUGAGACUUGAAUUUGAGUUAUAUUUGUAGUUGCGGGGGUGGAGACGGGGAGGGUGAAAAAGAAAAAUACCUUAAUAAUAUUAUGAGGAAAUUAAACUAUAGAUCCCUAACCUAUUUAUUGGUAACAAGUUGGUCUCUAGAAAUUCGUGAUAGUUGCACUAUUAGUCCAACGUUCAAAACAAUCAAAAUAAUUAUGUGACAUUAUGAAAACAUGACUCCCUUCAAAUUUAUAGGCACCGGAUUAUUUUAGUAAGAUAGUUUAUGAGACUCACAAUUUCUUUCUAUUUUACACAUUUUAUAAAACUAGUCUAUGCUACGUGCGAUGCACGAGCUGUGCAUAAAUUAUGGUUUAGUUAGCGUAUGUAUUGAAUAUUUGAAAAUAUAUGGGAAGUUGGAAUUAUUGAUAAGGAACUAACCAAUUAUACGAGUCGAUCACUCGUCUUUCUUCCACGAAAUAUCAUUUUUCUACCAAAAGUUACAAAAUCAAUAAAAUCCAUUAAUAAUGAGAAUUCAGGUCAUACUUAGUCAAAGAAAUACUCCACUGGACAGUAAAAGCAUUCCAAGCAAAAAAAGCUAGCACCAUAGCAGUACAUCCUUCAACAAAUUAUAGUAGAUAUAAAUGUAUCAUUGUACAGUAGAGAAAUAAUUCAAGGUAAAGUAGAAGUUAGAACCUGAAAAUCCUAAAAUUCUUCAUCAACGACUAUUUUCCUUAAUGGAAUGUUGAGUACUCCUUAAAAUGCGGUUGUUCUACAACACUUAGGUGUCCAUUCGUGAUGAGGAAUUUGAGCAGUGUAACAAAACUUCAAGGCACUGUAUUUGUUAAACGAUGCUCUGAUAGAUAUUUCAUUAAUUCAAACUCUGUAAAAUUCGAAAACUCCUUAACAUUACUCAAUACUACAUCUAGUUUUGUCCAAUAUUGAGAUUCAAUAUUCGAAAUCUAGAAGCUUAUCCUCCUAUGUAUGCUUCUAACAAUACCCAAAAUUUUCUUGUCCACUUCAGAAGGAGGGAGGGAAUAUUAUAAAAAUGAAGCUCUCCUUCAAAGGAAUCAGCUUCUUUUAGAAAAUCAUCCUUUUAUUACAUAGAAUAUUCUAAACUAAUGUUGUCGACUAAAUAAACUAAUUGUUGAAUCUCAAGAAGAUUAGGUAAACUAAGGUCACAAGUAGGCAUAUCCUGGAAGAAGUUACAAAUUCACAUACAAAACUAACAAGUGAUAUCUUUAUUCUUAAACUGGAAAAAAGUGUGUUAUCAGUAAUUCGAGAGAAGUGGACUAUUAGAAAUUAAUAGAAGGUAAAAAUGUUAUCUAGAUUGUGUACAUAUCUAAAGCAUUUAGCCCUAUGAGCAACAACUACUAAAAUAGUUGUGGGAACGCAAUUCUUAAGGGGUAAAAAAAGACUCUAGCAUUUAACAAGUUUGAAACAAAUUGCUUCCUUGGGAUAAACUAUAAUGCAGGAUACUUACAAGAUACCACCCUCUUCCAUUGCCUUUUCUGAGGCAGCCCCAAUAGUUUUUAUGUCCUCAUCUCGUUCAUUUAAACUAAUAAUUAUAUAUCCAGCUACUAAAUCAUUAAUGUUCAAAACUACCAAAUGAAGAAGUUGAACAAUGGAUUGGGAAAAAUAAAAAAUUAUUCCAAUUCUAGCUGCACUUCCACUGUUAAAAAAAGGAUGUUUGGAACUAUCCUGAACAAGAUUCAAUACAUAUGCCUAGAGAUGUGAACAAAAACUUCAAAGCAUUUACCAUAGUACACUCAGCAACUUAACUCUAGGAGAGAAUAUCCAAAUCUUAAUUCUUAUGCCGGUGAAAACAACUAUACUAAAGAGUAACUUAGUGAGAAACAUCACUGGUAAUUUGACAUGAUUUUCUUUUAUUAUUUACACUUUGAGACAAAAUGUUUACAAAGGCACAAAAUUAAUCUGUCUUUAUAAGAUUUUUUAUGUAUAUCAUGACUCAUGAGUAAAACUUAGAUGGUUAAUCAGAUGAUUUCUACGAAUUGUUGCUUACUUUAGAGCAAGGACAAGACCAGAUUUCAUGCAUCCAAUAUACACCCUUGGUUUAGAACAAUGCCUAGUUAGAGUUGCUGUAGUUUUUAUUAAAAUAUAAAUACACGAGAAAUUUGAAAGAAAAGUAGAGGAAGACAAAUAUUAAUUUAAUUGUAUAGUUCUUUUACUUUUAAGCGAACUUUUUAAGCUUAACCAAACAAGCUGCCUCUAGUCCUAAGGCUCGUAAUCCUGGUAGAAUCUUCCCAAAAAUAGCUAAAGAAUAAAUAUAGUGGUCUCAAAUAACAAUGCGCAAACAACACAAAGAACAAAUAUUGCAUUUUACCUGAAUUUACAUGUACAUAAUCAUCAACUUUGAAAUAGAAAUGCGCAUCCCAAAAAAGUGCAACAGUAGCGGUAAAAUUAGUCUUCAUCUUGGCAGAGAGUUCAAGGCACCACUCAACAUGUUCCUAAACAACAUUGCAUUAGUGAGAAUCCAUAUAAUAUUCUACAGUCACCAUGAAUGUCUAUCCUGAAAAUUUAUGAAAAAAUAGAAAGAACUCAAGAGAUAAUCUUAUUACCAAUGUGAAAAAGUCCCCAUAUUUUUAUCUUUUGCCUCAACCUGUACAAAUAAAAUAAAAUAAACUCAGCAAUCAAACAGUUGCAUCCCAAGUCAACUAUCUAGUACCAUAACCAUUAAAUAAAUUGGAAACAAGAUAUAGAGAAACAUAUUUGAAGGAGAAAAUUGUGUGUCAACCGCUUACAAUCAUCCCUUUGCAUCUUCCAAAACACAUGCGAGUGAAAGCACACAUAGAAUACACACAUAAUCUAGUUAGGAAUUAAAAUAAAUUUUGUUCAUGUAUGAUUUAAAAGUUUUUAAACAAAUGAUAAUCCAAUAAAUUCUAGUAUAAGGACCUUUACUGUGUUCAUCUUCCAAUAGUCAUUUUAUACUAAAAUUCAAAUCUAAGUAGGGACAUACAAAUAUAAUGCCUCUCCACAUCUGACAACCCAUGUAAAAAGUACAAGGAAUAAGCUAAUAGACAUCGAUGAAGUGCAUAUUUCUAAAAAUCCUAACAAAAAAUUUCACAAGAAUCGAAUUCUUUAAGAAAUUUUCCUGUUACCUCUACUCUUUCGUAGUUUCUAACAAAACCACUGUUCUAAUCUCAAAAUGCCACAAUUAACACCAAAUGGAAAAAGAGGCACAAGAAAGUGUAAUUUUCCAUUAAGAUAAAUAUACUUUAUGAUAGAGGAUGAAAACCUUAAUAGCAGCGAACUUAAUUCAUAUGCAAGAUUACUCUAAAAAAUUUUAACGUUCUAGAAUUAAAAAACAAAAACUUGUAUCAAAAUGAUUGACAAUGAAAAUGUAGAGGGUAAAAGAAGAGCAAAAACAAACCAUAUUUGGCAGGACUCUUCACCACCACUCUCUUGCAAAUAUACUAUAAGUGUUCAAGUGGUGAGUGUUUUCUUGAUGUUUGUAUUUCAUUGCCUAAAAACGUGAUGUGCUACAUUCAUCACUUACAAAAUCCAUAUUUUUAUCAUCAAGUUAUAAUGAGGGUUUCUCAUGAUCUAAGUUAUCCUAACAAUGAAAUCCACCGGUGAAUAUAUAUUACUGAUUGAAUUUCAACACCAUACACAUUGCACAAUGAAUGAAAGAAAACAAUAGAAUUAACGAAAAAAUAUAUAUUAAAAACUGAAACUCAAAAGAAAAUCGUUACAUGCUCAUAUUCAUAGAACAUAUGAAAAGAUAACUGUUAAGGGUAAAAAUAUUACACUUUUGAGGUCACCUUUCCAAGCACAAAUGUGAAGCAAAGUCCAACCUCGAUCAUCCCUGUCGUCUCGCUCUUCCUGAUUGGUCCGAUCUCAAACUCAAAAUGAUUGAAUAUUCCUUUUUAUUCUUUAUAUCAUACCGGUCACCCAAAAACAUUUCUAGCCUAGCAGUCUUACAAAUCUCAACCCACAAAUACACCUUUAUCUUCAAUGGUCGGGCAAAAGGCUCAAAUUCUUAACCUUUAAGUUGUAUUCAAAGGGUCAUACGAGGAAGACCCAGAAAGAUUUUUCUCUAUCCAAAUUUGAAGAAAAACCAAGUAAUUUUAUAGUAACGGAGUUUUUUCACAUGACAUGAAGAAAAAGAACAGAACACACACAAACAUUCAAGGCAGAAGUUUCAAUUUAUCAGUGAAUUUGGUCUUAUCUUCAAAUCUCAACAGAAACCCAGAAAAUAUAUGAAUAGAUAAGAUCCAAUUAAAAAUACCUGAAAUUCCAAAGCUCCCAAAAUUCGUUGUAUAGAAAUCAACCAUGAGAGUCGGUCUUGAGGGAAAACAAAGGGAAAGAGCGUAAAUGGUAGAAGAAGAGGACAGGGCAGCGAGAGAUGGGGAUGAAUUGAAGAGACCUAGCCUCCUAGGGCAUGCAGAAGAGAAUUAGGAGCAAUUUGUAGAUAUCAAAUGCGGAAGGAAAAAAAAUACAUAUAUAUAUAUAUAUAUAUAUAUAUAUAUAUAUAUAUAUAUACCCAACCUCUCCGUGUCUUCUCCGUAACACGGAGCGGAGAACUCCUCUUCGUGUCAUGGAGGACUUUCUGGGUAGAUGUAUUUUUGGAAAAAUAUUCGGCAGGUUUGCAACGAUGUACAAAAAUAAAUGGAAAAAUUAAUAAGAAUUUAAUUAUUUUCUAUUUUUUAGUACUAUUACAUUUCACCUUCCCAAAAAAAAAUCAUAAAAACAUAUUACUUUAUAAAAAUUAAUUUUAAAAAUUAUAUUUGAUAAAUUAUGUAAUUUUGAAGCACAAUCUAAUAUAUUAAGAUUAGAAUCAUUUCAUGAUAAAAAUGAAAUGGUAAUAAAAACCCAUUUCUCGAAAAAUAAAUAUAUUCAUUUGUUAACAUGUUUGGUCUUCAUUUUUUAAAAUUUAUAUUUCUUCAAACAUAUUUUUAAUCAUAUAAUUAUGAAAUUCACACUUUUACUCUUGAAUUAACCCCUUCAAUAAAUUAUUAUUUAAACGGUUUGUAAACAUUUUGAUUGAUAUUAUUUUUUGGUCAUCCAAAUGAUUACUAUAUAUCUUUUACGUACAUAUAUAAAAAUAAUGUUUUUAUUUAAACUUACUUAUGUGCUCAAAAAUAAACUUUCUAAAGAUACAUGGUUGAUAGUGUGAGAAAAUGGUGAAAGAGAUAGUGUGGAGAAACAGAAAAUCAUGACUAUAACGUGUAAAAAUAGAGAAAUAGUAAGCCUCCAUUAUUAUGGAGGCAUUUGCUUGAGCCUCCGUUAUGGAAGAGCCUCCAUAAUUGUUAUGGAGGCUCAAACUUGAGCCUCCAUAACAGCCUCCAUAAUAACGGAGGCAUUAUGGAAGCCUCUAUAAUGGAGGCUCAUGAUUCCAUAAUUGUUAUGGAGGUUGUUUGAGCCUCCAUAAUAACGGAGGCUCAACACUUUGAGCGAAAUGCCUCCACAAUUAUGGAGGUACAAAUUUCAUUUUUUUCUUUCUUUUUUUUUCACUGGCUCUCAAUACAAUAAUUUAAUUUCAUUUAAUCAACUUAGUUUUUUUAAUAGACGUGAUUUCUAAAACAAAUACAAAAAAUAUAGAUCAAUUUUUUUUAUAUAUAAAAAGAUUAUAUAAAUCCUUCAAAUGAGCAGAAAUAUAGAUAAAUAAUAGACAUAUUAAUCACAUUUCCAAUCCUAACCUUUUGAGUGCAAUCAAAUAAUGUGUGAAACGUGUUAGAUCAAAUAGUCACUCACGUCGAUAAUUUAAUAAUUUUUUCUCCUUACAUUUGUUUUUGGGAAGAGUAAAAUCAGGUUUUUUCGGUAACAUAUUGUCCAUAUCUCCAACCAGUGUUAAUCUAUUCUGCUAUUUCUACACCCAAUUUUACUUUCUCUCUUAUUUACCAACUUAUUCUAUCCACAUUUCAAUAAUUCCCAAAUAUCUAAAAGUAAACAAUACAACACCAUUUCUUCAUUGGAACUCCUUAAUUGAAAUAUAAUGUUCAUAAGAAAUUUGCACACACAUUACGCAAAUAGAUACAUUGUUCCACCAAAAUAUUUGUUUUAUAUUCACUUAUAUAGAAACAACCAUUUGCGUAUAUUUCAUUUUAUUUUAUUUUUAUAUUUUCAUACGGAUCCAUUGCAUACCAAAAAAAAAUUAAAUAAAUAAAAAAUUUAACAGCAAAAAUUUGAAAUGAAACCAAUUCACACAAAACGCAAAAAAAAAAAAAAAAAAAAAAAAAAAAAAUCAAUCAAAUUCCGUUAAAUGAAAUUGAGCUGCCGUCCACAAAUUUCAAUAAAAACAAGAAUAAGAAUUAAAAUUCAAAACAAUCAUACCUCAAUCAAUCCAUACAAAAUAUACAACAAAUAAUUUGCGUGGUAAAAUGGAGAGAACGGACAGUAACGUCUGAAAAUGAAGAAGAAGAAAGAAAGAUGCACCUAAAUUGAGGACAAAUGGGUGCAUCACUGUAGCCUGCACGUUUUUUUUUUUUUUUUUUUGGUAGACGGCGUCGUUUUUGCUCUAGAGAUUAAAAAAUAAAAUAAAAAUUUGCUGUGAAAUGGAAGAAUCUACUGUUCUUUCUACAAUAGCGAAAUAUUGUCAUUUUUAUAUAGUAGUGAUUCACAACUUUUAUUUACAUUCUAAUUACAAAUUUUAUUAACUUAUAAAAUAUAAUAAAAAUCUAGCUACAUCCAAAUGGGGCACACCCUUAAUUUCAUGUGUUUAAACCUUGAAGAAAAAAAAAAAAAAAAAUCAGCCAUAUUCUCACCCUCGGGUGUCCUUGCCAUCGAGUUUAUCAUGGCGAUAAACAGGACCAGAAGGCUUUUUUUCGUGCUAUACACCUGGCAUGGGCUAUAAUCAGCUUACUUUUCUUGCCAAUACCUACUUUUGGUGAAAUUAUUUCUGCUGAUGUGGAAAGAAUGAUUUGCUGCGUGAAUAUUGGUGGAGGUGACCCAAGAAUUACUUUGUGCAUUCGAAGGUAUAGAGCAUGUUGGAGUCUAUAAAUCAUUAUAGAAUACACAUAUGAUAGGGUGAGUGAGUUAUUUUUUAUAAUAUUUUAAUUCAUCACCUUGUGAAAUAUUUGUAAAACUUCUGUAAAAAUUUUUAUGUACAAUCAGCUUUUUUAUUUUUGAAAAAUAUAUUUUGAGAUAGUAUUUUGAUGAAGAAGAUAUUUUGAAUUUGAAUGUGUAGUUGAAAAAAAACAAAAAAAAAAUAUUUUCAGAAAAAUGAGAAUAAAACAAAGAUAUAGAAAUGAUCACCAUCAAACCCAUCUACAAUUGACGUGGCAAAGUCUAUAAUUUUUUAUAAUUCAACGUUAAAUUGCCAAAAAUUAUGGGCUUGAUAAUUCCUUCUAAUUGAAUUCAUUUUUUCAGAAAGAAUUUAACACCUUUGUUAAUCGAAACUCCCAGAGUGAGAUCCGUGUAGGACUCAUCAUGUGAAUAAAAAGAGUCAGGCACAAGAAAGAGUGGGUAUAGCAGGUUUGGUAAAGAGUGGCUAUAGCAGGUUUGGUGGGUAAGAAAUCAUUUCGGAAGGUAGGGAUUAUGUUGCGAUCAGGGAGCUUAUUAAACUUUGGAAUUCUCUUCUUCAAGCUAAAGCUUGCUUAGAGUCUCUCUCACUCACGAAAUGGAAACUAUCGUUCUUUAUCCGUCCCCGGGCAUGGGGCAUCUGAUUUCCAUGGUGGAGCUCGGGAAGUUCAUACUCAAGCACCAUCCUUCCUUCACCAUUGUAAUCCUCACAGUUCCUCCAUCAUUCAACACUGGAUCGACCGCAUCCUAUAUCGAUCGAGUUUCUGCUGCCACCAAGUCUAUCACCUUCCACCAAUUACCAUCUGUUCCGCUUGAACUCGACUCUUUCUCCUCCAUGGAAGCUGUUAUUUUAGAGUCCAUUCGCCUAAGCAACCCUCAUGUUCACCAAGCCCUUCAACACAUCUCUCUAACCACCACCAUCACCGCCCUCAUAAUCGACUUCUUUUGUACCCCGGCUCUCUCCAUUUCCACCAAACUCGGAAUCCCAACGUAUUAUUUUUUUACUUCAGGCGUCACUUCCCUCGCUUUUUUCCUUUACUUUCCCACAAUACAUCGGAACAACAUUAAAAGUUUCAAAGAUCUAAACUCAAUUGUUCAUGUUCCUGGCUUACCGCCAAUACCAUCUUCGGAUGUGGCAAAACCGAUUCUUGAUCGAGCCUCGACUGAGUAUGCAAGCUUUUUAGAAUUGUCUCUCCAGUUGCCAAAGUCAGCUGGAUUUAUUGUAAACUCAUUCGACUCCCUCGAACCAAAAACUCUUAAAGCUUUAUCUGAAGGAUCUUGCUAUCCUGAUGGCGAUACACCUCCUGUUUUUUGUGGAGGACCAUUAUUGGCGUCCGAAGAUCGACGAGGUGUAGCAGAUGAUGUGCAUGAAUGUUUAAAAUGGCUCGAUUCUCAGCCUAGCCAAAGUGUCGUAUUCUUGUGUUUUGGGAGUCUUGGUUUGUUUUCAGACAAGCAGUUGAAAGAAAUAGCAAUUGGGUUGGAGAGAAGUAAGCAGAGGUUCUUGUGGGUGAUCCGCUCUCCACCCUCUGAGGACAAGAGCAAGCGCUAUCUACCUCCUCCCGAACCGGAUUUGGAUUCUCUUCUUCCUAGUGGAUUCUUAGAUAGGACAGAGGACCUGGGUUUCGUGGAGAAGUCGUGGGCACCACAAGUGGAGGUGUUGAAUCAUAAAUCUAUUGGCGGGUUUGUGACUCAUUGUGGGUGGAACUCGAUAUUGGAAGCAGUUUGCGCGGGCGUCCCCAUGGUGGCGUGGCCUCUUUAUGCUGAACAAAAGUUCAACAGGGUGGUGUUAGUGGAAGACUUGAAAUUGGCUCUGCGAAUUAACGAAAUCGAGGAUGGGUUUGUCACUGCUGAGGAGGUCGAGAGUCGAGUGAGAGAGAUGAUGGACUCAGACACAGGUGAGUCGCUCCGGAAGCGCGCCAAAGAAAAGGAGGCGGAGGCAAAGGCAGCGACAAGUGAAGGUGGUUCCUCCACUGUUGCCCUGGCCAAGUUAAUUAAGUCAUGGAAACUGGGUUGAUUAUCGAUAAAACAAUGCCUGAAACUGUCCAACGACUGAGUUCUUGAAUCUCCAAUCUUGCAAGAUUAGUGUGUUGUAUAAUUAUGUUCAUGCUCCAUUAAAGCAUGUGAAAAUGUGUUUGUGAUAUGUUUUAAAAAUCUUUCUUAACCCUCAUUUGAUACUCAUUUUUUUUCAAAAUGUAUUUUUAUCUCUCUUUUUUUCAACCAAACAUUCUUUAUUAAAAUAAUAUUACACGUAAAUCAAAAACUUUUCCUUAAUUUUCAACCACACACUUUCCAUCAAGUUAUUAUUCUAAAAUACAUUUUUACAUAAAAAUGCCUCUCAAACACCUAAUGUUUUCCUUCAAAGUGGAAUCUUUUGUUGUGUAGAAAAAAGUUAUAUUUAUUGGAGCAUGUUACUGAUGUUGGUUAAUGAAUUUUAAUCAUCACAAUGAAAAAUUAAUUUUCCUUUGAAAAUUAAAACCAUGUAAAUAAAGAUCUUAGUGACCUUAAGAUCAUUGAAUUAUAAAAUUCUCACACAUAGAAAGGGGAGAUGAUAACAUUUUGAAGGAGCUAUUAAUGGCCAAGUCAAUUGUUUCCUCCCUUAGAUCUUCUCCCUUAUUCUCCACUAGGUGCAUUUCCUUUUGGGAAAAUGAAAAGUGGCUAACCCUAAUUUUGCAUAUAAAAUAUGCCAAUAAAGUGCAUAUUUAUGAUGUCAUAUUAGGGUUUGAAAAAUUAAUUUUCCUUUGAAAAUUAAAACCAUGUAAAUAAAGAUCUUAGUGACCUUAAGAUCAUUGAAUUAUAAAAUCCUCACACAUAGAAAGGGGAGAUGAUAACAUUUUGAAGGAGCUAUUAAUGGCCAAGUCAAUUGUUUCCUCCCUUAGAUCUUCUCCCUUAUUCUCCACUAGGUGCAUUUCCUUUUGGGGAAAAUGAAAAGUGGCUAACCCUAAUUUUGCAUAUAAAAUAUGCCAAUAAAGUGCAUAUUUAUGAUGUCAUAUUAGGGUUUGAAAAUUGCACAAAUUUCAUUGGACUUUAUUGUAGUAGAUCAAUUAAGUCACACAACUUUUAUUGGAGUCAAGAGAUGGACAUAACCGGACUCACAUAACCCAAGCUCCAAUAGAUGUGUCCAAUUUGGUCAAUUCUUGACCAAUUCAGAUCCAUCUAUUAAUCCCGACUUAUUCUACCAAAAAAUCGAGAUUGUACUCUCGAGUCAAGUGAUAGUUAUAGAAGCAAAUUAUGAUCCAAUAACAAUAUCCUCUGAUUAUCGUUCCACAAGUCAACUUCCAUUUGACCGUCAAUAUGUUGAAACUGACAAAAUGACCAUUUUGCUCUUCAACAUGUAUUACCCUCUAAGUCCUAUCUUCAUAUGGCAAAUUCGUUGUGAAAAAUCACAAUGUAAACUCCAACGAUCUCAUCGUCGACCUACUGAGCUCAGAUUCAAUUUGCCUAGAAAAAUACCUUAGAGUGACGAUCUUCUCAUCUCAAUAAUUAAUGGAUUCCACUAUUGUAAAUAUAUGAUCUCUAAUUAUUUCAGCACAAUUCCCAAAGCAUCGAGAUCAAUCUUCUAUUUAAGACUUCACUCAUUGGUACCUCAAAGAACUUAAACUAGCAAUCAAAUGUACAUUACCCACUUAGGAUUUAGGUGACCUGUUUGAUAAUCAAGUAGAGUCUCAUUUCAAACGGUCACAAAUGAGUCAUCUAUGCGGUCCCGUUCAAUGUGCAUGGAAAUACAUUAUUGUUCAUAUUUCAAGAUCUAGACAAAUCCUAAUAAGAAUAAUACAAUCUUGUCAACAUAAAGCGUCCAACUUUAUGAACCGAUUGUAAACGACAUAAUUUGGAUCACAUCACAAAUUGUGUCUUACAAUACCCGAUCCAUCGAGUAUACAAUUUGUGCAUCCUAUAUGAUCAUGGAACCUUAGACAAUCACUUCAAAUUAUAACACGUAAAUAAACGAACGUCAAUUUAUAAUGUGAUUUAACAGAACAAUACUCGAAGAAUGGGCAUCAAGCUAAUAAUCUCUCACUUGCUUUUCUUAGAGUAUGUGUGACAUAUCAAGAAUACUCAUCCUCUUAAGAUGUCCAUCAAAAGUCUUAGCUGGUAAGGUCUUAGUGAACGGAUCCGCAAGAUUAUCUGCUGAUGCAAUCUUACUAACUGUCACGUCUCCUCGAUGAACAAUUUUUCUAACAAGGUGAUAUUUUCUCUCGAUGUGUUUGCCGCGCUGAUGACUCAUGGGUUCUUUAGCAUUGGCAACUAUCGCAAUAAAGCGUUAUAGGCCCCAUUGUCAACGGUACCACGUCAAGGUCCAAAAGAAACUUCUUGAACCAUAUAGCUUCUUUAGCAGCUUCAUAAGCCGCUACAUAUUCUGCCUCCAUGAUGAAAUCAGCAAUACAAGAUUGUAUGAUAUUCCUCCAUACCGCAGCUCCACCUCCCAAUGUAAAUAAUGAUCCCGAUGUAGACUUCCUAGAGUCACGAUCGGAUUGAAAAUCGAAAUCAGUAUAUCCAAUAGGAUUUAGAUCGUGUCCUGAAUAGAUAAGCAUAUAAUCUCUCGUUCUCCGAAGAUACUUAAGUAUAUGCUUCACUGCUACCCAAUGUUCUGUUCCUGGAUUAAACUGAUAACGACUAACAAUACCUACAGCAUAACAAAUAUAUGGUCUAGUGCAAAGCAUAGCAUACUUGAGACUUCCCACAGCCGAAGCAUAAGGAACCUUUCUUAGGUAAUCUAUCUCUAUUGCAUUCUUGGAACAAUGCUCUUUAGAUAGAUGAAUUCCAUGUCUAAAAGGAAAUUAUCCUUUUUUGGAAUUUUGCAUUACAAAUCUGGACAAUAUUUUGUCAAUAUAUGAAGUUUGGGAUAAUGCAAUCCUUCUAUUUUUCCUAUCUCGCAAGAUACGGAUUCCCAAAACAUAACUAGCUUCUCCCAAAUCCUUCAUAUCAAACUGCUGUGACAACCAUUUCUUUACAGAUCACAAUGUCCCUACAUCAUUGUCAAUGAGUAGAAUGUCAUCUACAUAAAGAAUCAAAAAACUACUUUCUUCCCUUGUAUUCGCUUGUACACAAGGUUCUUCCAGAUUUUGCUCAAAACUAUAGGUCUUGAUGGUUUGAUCAAAUCUUACAUUCCAAUAUCUAGACGCUUGCUUGAGUCCAUAAAUGGACCUCUGCAACUUGCAAACUUUCCUUUCAUAGCCUUCUUUCACAAACCCUUCAAGUUGCAUAAUGUAAAUGGUCUCCUCAAGACAUCCAUUUAAAAAUACUGUCUUGACAUCCAUUUGAUAAACCUCAUAAUCAUAACAAGCCGUAAUAGAUAAAAGGACUCGAAUAGAUUUAAGCAUGACAACCGAUGAGAAGGUUUCUUCAUAGUAGAUGCCUUCUCUUUGGGUAAAAUCCUUGGCCACUAGCCUUGCUUUGAAGGUUUCAACCUUCCCAUCCAUACCUCUUUUCCUUUUAUAGACUCACUUGCAUCCUAUAGACUUUACCCCAUUAGGUGCAUCUACAAGAUCCCAAACUUUGUUGGAAUACAUAGAUUCCAUUUAUGAGUUCAUGGCUAAUUUCCAUGAUUCAAAGUCUACGUCCUCCAUUUCUUCCUUAAAUAAAGUGGGAUCUUCUUCUUGCUCAGUAGAGAUCACCUGAUAGGAUUCUCCAUAGAGCAAGUACCUAGAAGGUGGUCUCACAACCCUCCCACUAUAAGUAAUGGUUGAAGGUGCCAGAUUGUCCAGUCUGACCAAAGGUCCUUCUUCUCUUCCCACUGCUUGAUCAUGUCCUUGGUUAGGAAUAACAUCCUCAUUAUCCCCAUUUGAAGGGACAUGUAGAGAUACAACAAUGGGUGCCUCGUUCUCUACUACCUCUGGUUCUAUUUGCCUAUGAGGCCCUAUGGGCAUCACUUGCUUCAUCAGCAACCAUUGAUUCAAUAGGAGGUUCCAACUCAUAUCUAUUAGAUUCUAUGCGAAAAUCUGGAACUGAGUUGUUUGAACCAUGUUCUAACAUCUCUUCCAAUAGAAUCUUAGUAGUAGACUUGUGUUCUUCUAUAUACUUAUCCUCUAAGAAGGUUGCAUUUGUGCUAACAAAUAACUUCUUAUCAAGAGGAUUAUAGAAGUAGUAACCUCUCGUUCCUUUUGGAUAUCCUACGAAGAAACAAACAUCUGAUCUUGAUUCCAUCUCAUACGUCUUUCCCUUUAGCACAUGUGUUGGACAUCCCCAUAUUCGAAUGUGGUGUAAAUUAGGCUUGCGCCCAUUCCACAAUUCAAGAGGUGUCUUGGAAACUGACUUAGAUGGUACCAAAUGCAAGAUAUAAAUGGUUGUUUGUAGUGCAUAUCUCCAAAAGGAUAUAGGCAAUGAGGAAUAACUCAUAAUUGAUCUUACCAUAUCUAAAAGAGUUCGAUUUCUUCUUUCUGAGACACCAUUCUGUUGGGGAGUUCUCGGUGCACUCAAUUGGGAUAACAUCCCAUUAUCCGAUAAGUAGACCUUAAACUCUUUGGAUAUAUACUCACCACCUCGAUCAGAUCGAAGGGCCUAAAUACUCUUACCUAAUUGUUUCUCAACUUCCGUUCGAAACUCCUUGAAUUUCUCCAAAGCUUCGAAUUUGUGAGACAUAAGGUAUAUUUAUCCAAAUCUAGAGUAAUCAUCUGUGAAGGUGAUGAAGUAGUCGUAUCCUCCUCUAGCCUUAAUACUAAUAGGUCCACAAACAUCGGAAUGUACUAAUUCCAAAACCUCUUUAGCUCUUAGUCCCUUAGCCUUAAAGGGUCUCUUAGUCAUCUUUCCUUCUAUACAAGACUCACAAGUUGGAAUAGAUUCCACAUCUAGCUCAUUUAAAGGACCAUCAUUUACCAAUCUUUGAAUCCUAUUUAGAUUGAUAUGACCCAAUCUAAGAUGCCAUAAGAGAGUUUUAUUAGUACUAGACAACCUUUUUCUUUUCUUAGCAGUAGUAGUGUUAUGUAUAGAUCAAUCAAAGGAUUUAAGACAUAAAGACUAUUAACCAUAUGAUCCGAAUAUAUAACAAAAUUAUUCAGCUUAAUAACCACCGUAGAAUGGAUAAAAAGUACCGAAUUACCAAUAUGACAUAAAAGUGCAACAGAAAUCAAGUUCCGUUUAAGUUCGGGAACAUAAUAACAGUCAUCUAAUAUCAAAUGCCUAUGAUUCUCAAAACAUAAAGUAAAAGUGCCAACAGCUUUGGCAGAUACCACUGCUUUAGUGCCAACCCUAAGAGUGUACUCCUCUUUACUGAGAUACUUGGUUUCCUAGAACCCCUGCAAAGAAUUGCAAAUAUGAUUAGUGGCUCCAGAAGCUACAAUCCAAGUAUUAGUAGAAUCAAUCACUAAGCAUGACUUAAUGAAUAGGGCAUUAUUGCCUUUACCUUGCUUCCCCUUAGCUAGGUAAUCCAAGUAGUUCCUCUUCCAGUAACCCUUUUGUCCACAAAUAAAACACUUUCCCUUUGGUUUCCCAUCGACAGUAGUUUUCUUCCCCUUUGACUUGCUAUCUAACUUUUUGUUUGGCCUCUUCCUCUUCUUUCCUCCUUUGCCACCAGAAAGCUUAGGAUGAGAGGGUCCGACUGUAACAGUCAAAGCACUUCCACUUCUAGCCUUUAGAACAAAUUCAGCAUUUUGGAACUCUUUCAUUAAUUCUGUUAGAGACAUAUCUAUCUUGUAUAGAUUAUAAUCAACUAUAAAUUAGGAGAACAUCUCAAGAAGAGUCUCAAGGACCAUGUCAAUCUGCGUCUCGGAAUCAAUGUUAGCUCCUAAAACCUUCGCAGCAUUGAAGUGACCAAUCGUGGUCCCUUACAGAUGCGCCCGGUUUCAUGCGUGUGUUCAUGAUUGUCCUAAUGGAGGCUUGCCUAACUUAUCGGCUUUGAUGUCCAAACAUCUCUUGAAGGCUUUCAAUUAUGUCAAAAGCAGUUUCCAUAUUCUGAUGUUUCUGUUGUAAUACAUUUAACACGGAUGCCAAAAUGUAACAGUGGGCCAUCUUAUCAGAAUGAUGCCACUUUUCAUAUGCAGCCUUUUGAGAUUCCGUGGAGUCAUCUUUAGGAGCUUCAAGACAAACUUCAUCCAGUACAAAUUUGUGUUUUUCAGCGGUAAGAACAAUAUUAAGAUUCCUUUUCCAGUCAGCGUAGUUUUCUCCAACAAGUUGAUUUUUGUUAAGUAUUACUGAUAAAGGAUUAAGCGACAUUUUUCUGUAAAAUUAACGAUUCGCGUAUUAAUAAAAUGAGCAAUAAUCUUUGUAUGAUGCAUGUAUAUGAAUGUGCAAAUAUAGACCCAAAACUAUAAUUGUAAUCAAAAACCUCAAACCCUUACAACUUUUAACACGUCCUCUAUAGGAGGUCAAUGUAGUUAUUGGUAAAGUUGGGAUCCUCCCACUCAUUUUAUUGAGCUAGGCAUCUUAUGCCACAAGAAAAUGAGGAUUGACUAUUAUUUGGCCUAUGAAUAAUUUUGUUGAAAUCUUCUAUAGGAAGCCCCCCCAAAAAUAUUCAUAUAUAAGUGUAAUAACCUUCAUCAAUAAUUUUAAAAUAUACGAAAUAUAUAAGAUAUUGUCUAUAAGAUGAUCAUCCCAUUAUUACAUUUUUAAAGGAAUUCUAUUAGUAGAUCCAAUUUCAGUUAAUCUAAAAUAACGUAGUUUUUCUAUAGAGAGACCGAAAUAAUUCGAUACUUAACAUACAUAUUUUAAUAACAAAUUAGAUGACGGAGGAGGUCGUAGGUUUAUAUAUGCCUAUAAACUCUCUUCCACUUAUUAUUUUGCACCGUUGAAUCUUCACUUAAUUAGUCCGCCAAAUAUAAACAAUUAUAAUAGCACUAAUUAUAUAAAAAAAAUAAUUUAAAACCACCUCUAAUUAAUUUAGAGUGAUAAAAAAAUAUUUAAAUGUAGAUGCAUAUGAUUUUAGUGCACCGGGUGGUGUUUCAUUUAAUCUACAUGACAUGCGAUAAUAAUUAAACAUUCAUCCAUUCAUAAAACGGUAAAAGCGAUAAUUAAAUGAAUAAUAAUCACUAAUGGCCCAUCCUAAGAAUUUAAAUUACAACAUGGAUAAAAAGAAUUACAUUGGGCCACAUCCCGACCCAAUUUCUUCAAUUUUCUUUGUAGUCCACCUCAUGUAACAUGAACAUAGGUUUAAUUUAAUUUUUAGGCCCAAAACUUAAAACCAACAAGGUCAUUAUCCAACAACAUUGACCUAAGUAUCAAAAAGAGGAGAAUUACAUUGGGCCACAUCCCGACCCAAUUUCUUCAAUUUUAUUUGUAGUCCACCUCAUGUAACAUGAACAUAGGUUUAAUUUAAUUUUUAGGCCCAAAACUUAAAACCAACAAGGUCAUUAUCCAACAACAUUGACCUAAGUAUCAAAAAGAGGCCCAAAAAAUCCAAAUUACCCUAAUUUUCAAAUUCUAGCAAGAAAACAUGCUUCCACCAAAACACACACUAUUUCGGCGACCCCAAAAGAGGCCACCACGGACGCCGCCGUUGGCAGGCAGCCAGCAGCAAUAGCUAUGGCUGCUCUGACUGGCCUUUGGUGCUUCUUGGUUUUAUUUCUUACAUUUUCUCCUUCCUCCCUCUUCAUUGAAAAUACUACAACAAAAUUUACGUUUCUUCCUCAAAAUACGAGCGUGAAAAUGAAAAAAAAAAUUACAAAAAACUUUAGUGCCUUAUGGCUUACAAUAUUUCUAGAUAACAACUAUAACAAAUAAAAUACAAUAGGAAGUAAAAGGAAAUUCUAGGGCCAAAAGUGAUUAUGAAUGUAUAAACAAUAACUUUAAACAUAUUUAAAGCAUAAACAUGUCAAAAUCAAAUAACCUAACACCACUCAACUAAAAUGAAUAUUACACUAGGAUUUUAAAAAAAAUAAAAUUAAUCAUACUCAAGGCUUACAAUAACCUUGGCUCUGAUACCAUUUGUUGGUUAAUGAAUUUUAAUCAUCACAAUAGGAAAUUAAUUUUCCUUUGAAGAUUAAAACCAUGUAAAUAAGGAUCUUAAUGACCUUGAGAUCAUUGGAUUAUAAAAUCCUCACACAUAGAAAUGGGAGAUGAUAACAUUUUGAAGGAGCUAUUAAUGGCCUAACCAAUUGCUUCCUCCCAUAGAUCUUCUCCCUUGUUUUCCACUAGGUGUAUUUCCUUUUGGGGAAAAUGAAAAGUGGCUAACCCUAAUUUUUCAUAUAAAAUAUGCCAAUAAAGUGCAUAUAUAUAAUGCCCUAUUAGGGUUUCAAAAUUGCACAAAUUUUCUUGGACUUUAUUGUAGUAGACCAAUUAAGUCACACACCUUUUAUUGGAGCCAAGAAAGGGACCUAACCAGACUCACAUAACCCAAGCUCUGAUAGAUAUUUCCAAUUUGGUCAACUGUUGACCAAUUGAGAUACAUCUAUUAAUCUCGACUUAUUCUACCAAAAGAUCGGGAUUGCACUCUCGAGUCGAGUGAUAGUUAUAGAAGUAAAUUAUGAUCCAAUAACAAUAUCCUCUGAUUAUCGUUCCACAAGUCAACUCCCAUUUGACCGUCAAUAUGUUGAAACUUGCAAAAUGAUCGUUUUGCCCUUCAACAUAUAUUAUCCUCUAAGUCCCAUCUUCAUACGGUAAAUUCGUUGUGAUCAAAUCACAGUGUAAACUCCAACGAUCUCAUCGUCGACCUACUGAGCUCAGAUUCAAUUUACCUAGGAAAAUACCUUAGAGUGACGAUUGUCUCAUCUCAAUGAUUAAUGGAUUUCACUAUUGUAAGUAUAUGAUCUCUAAUUGUUUCGGCCCAAUUUCCAAAGCAUCGAGAUCAAUCUUCUAUUUAAAACUUCACUCAUUGGUACCUCAAAGAACUUGAACUAGCAAUCAAAUGUACAUUACUCACUUAGGAUUUAGGUGGCAUGUUUGAUAAUCAAGUAGAGUCUCAUUUCAAACGGUCACAAAUGAGUUAUCUACGCGGUCCCGUUCAAUGUGCAUCGAAACAUAUUAUUGUUCCUAUUUCAAGAUCUAGACAAAUCUUAAUAAGAACAAUACAAUCUUAUCAACAUAAAGCGUCCAACUUUAUGAGCCGAUUGUGAACGAUAUAAUUUUGAUCACAUCACAAAUUGUGUCUUACUAUACCCGAUCCAUCGAGUAUACAAUUUGUGACAUCCUAUAUGAUCAUGGAACCUUAGACAAUCACUUCAAAUUAUAACAUGCAAAUAAACGAACGUCAAUUCAUAAUGUAAUUUUACAAAACACUGCUCGAAAAAUUGGCAUCAAGCUAACAACAGAAACAUGACCAUGUGGCCCUGUUUGACAAGAAUUUUUCAUAUUUAUUAGGUCCAACCAUCUAGUUUAUUUACCUUUUGUAGAAAUUGGGUUGCUGAAUUUUGUAAAGCCCAAAUAUAUGGGAUGUACGCUACCGAUUCUAUUAUAACUGUGGCCCAAAUUGAUGAUCCAAUAAACUGAAGAAUCCAGAAUUAUGGUAAAAAGGUUUUUGUCAAACAUGCCUUUUAAUUGAAAAUGCAUUAUUGUUGGAUUGCUGACAUGUGGUUGAUCUUGCAUCAUUGGAUGAUAUAAUUGGAUAAAGGCAAGGCCUAUGACUUUAGGGUUUCAUUCUGAAAAUCUCUAAAAGCUUCCUUUGUUUAGUUUUCUCUAUGUAGUUCUUGUUGGUGAUUCUCUCUGUAAAUACUUAGUGUUUUGAGUUUUUGAGAGGGAGUAAACAAUAGUAUUUCUCUUGUGUGAGUUGUUACCGAUGUUUCGAGAGAAUUUUGUAAGAGCAAGAGAUCUAAGAUCUUGGUGCUCUUGUAAUUGAAAUUUUUCCUAUUUUUGGGCGGUGCUAUUGGAUUUGAACUUAAUUCUAACGGAUGCUCAAUGGGGGACUAAGCUUUAGAUUGUAGUUGCUAGACCUCUGGUGCCUUCGGCCAAAUAUCCUGGUAUUCUUUUACUUUCUUGUUAUUUUCUUUUAUGAUUUUUUACUUUGAAUAUUGAGUCACAAAGCUUGAGCAAAUCUUGGAACAAUAGUGUUAUCAACUUAUCAGAGCUUGAAAUCCUUUUGAAUCUUGGUUUCUCAAAACUAUUUUUAAGAAAAAUUCGAUAUGCUUUGAGUUGGCUCCUCUAUUUUAAAGUAAACAAUAGAUCUGAGACAAUCUGUUAAUAUUGUGUCAAGGAACUUCUUGGAUCUGAACCUAGAUUCGAUUCUUGGUACUUUUGAGUAUCUCUUUCAUACUUGUAGUUCCGGUGAAGAAUUUUUUCUUAACCUUCUUUUCUUUUCAAGAAUCUGUUAAACGUUUUUGAAAACAAAGGAUUUAUGAAAAUCUCCCUAAAUUUACCUUUGUCAAGGGGUUCUUGAGAGAACUAUAAAAUUUGAGGAAAUUAGGAUAUCAGCUUAAAGAAAUCCAGAAGCGUUUUUAUUAUUUCUUGAAAAGUUAUAUUUCGCUACUUUGUGUGUAUUGUAAUAUCUCUGAUUUGGGUUUAAAUUCAUAUACAUGUUAUGGGCUGUAGCAUAUUGCUAACCUUGUGCUGAUACUCUAAUUGUAUUUUAUUUGUAGAAUAUGUCCCUUCUACAUGUGAAUAAUUAAUAUCAUAUGUUUUGAAUCUUCUCCUCAUAAUAUUUACACUGAGUGUAAGCAUACUUGGCCAUAGUACCUUUAUUGUAUAGUGUUUGCCUAUAUUUGGAUUAUAUUCUCUAUCUUUUAAUUGGUUAUUCAAAAUUGAUCUGUUUGAUAUAUCCUUGUUUAUAUCUCACUUGAGCACAAUUGUUACACUAUUGCACAACAUGACUACUAAAAUAGAUGUUUAGAUGUAGGAUGUCAGAGGAGACUCUAGUCUCUGGCGCUAGAAAAUGAAACAGUUGAAAUAUACUAAAGUCAUUGAUGAAUUUUGGCUAGAAAACAUAGCUGCUGAUGGGAAAACUGAACAAGGUGAAUUAGCAUAGAGUACUAUGUUUCUGCACCUAUCUGAUUCUAUAUCUGUAAUUAGAAAAGUAGGAAAAACUAAAACUGUUGUAGAAUUGUGGAUUGCUUUAGAAAAACAAUACCUCAUUAAGACUCUAACAAAUAAGUGUUUUCUUUGGAGACAAUUUUUUUUUUUAGUUUUAAGUUUGAUCCUAGUAUUGAAAUGUGGACAAAUUUAAAGGAUCACUCAAGAUCUUAUAAACUGUGGUGAAAAGACCUCUAAUGGGCAAAAAGUGGUUAGUCUACUUAAUGCAUUAGGAGAAAAAUAUAAAGACAUAAAAAUGUUUUAAAAUAUAGUAGAAAUGACUUGACUAUUGAUAUAAUUUGCAACUCUCUUUUGAACAGAGUGUUGAAAUUGAAAUCUGAACAUAAUGAGGUUUUUCAUGUUGAAAAUGUCUCAUCUUAUCAAUAACCUCAAGUGAGUACUUUCGGUCAAUCCAAUUACAAUAAGGACGAGAGCCCUAUUAAGAAGAAAUGGGGUAUUAACAAAGAAAAAGAUAAGAAAACUUAUAAAGGAAAGAUAAAGAUCAAAAGGUGUUAUUAUUUUGGAAAAACAGGUCAUAUCAUUAAAGACCGUUUUCAUAAAGCCAAAGGUUAAAAGAAUGGGCUUAAUAUUGACAAUGGCUCUUUAGCCAUUGUUGUCUCUCAUAAAGAAGUGGAAGCUAAUAUUAGGAUGGCCUGUGUAUCUUCAACUGAAAGGUCUGAUCAGAACUGAGUUUUGGAUUCAGAUUGCUCUUUUCACAUGAGCCCCAAUGUUAGCUGGUUCUCUGAUUUCUCCAAUCUUGAUGGAGGUUUUGUAAAACUUGGAAACAAUGAGUCAUGUCAAAUUAAGGGCAUUGACAAUAUUGUAUCGAACUGGAAAAUGGUCAAUACAUAAUGUUAAAACAUUUUAGAUAUGUUCCAGCACUAAGAAUAAAUCUCAUAUCUUUAGGGGUUCUAGAUGAUGAAAAUAUUGAAUUGACAUCAAGAAUGGUUUCACAAACAUAAUUAGAGACCAAAAACUUAUUGUCAUUUCACCCAAAACAAAUGGAAUCUUUGUUAUAGAUACUAAGCCUAUUUCACCCAACAAUAUACUGAGCCUAUUUCACCCAACAAUGUGUAAACUUGGCAACACACUCUGAUAAAUCAGAGUAAUUAACACAAAAGACUAGGUCGUCUUAGUUAAACAUGUUUAAAAUCCUUUCAUAUCAGGGAGCAUCUCAAUGAAAUAUAGAAUUAAAUGAUUUAUUUUAAUUAUAUCCCUCAUUUAAUGUUGCGUUAGUGUCAGAUAAACUAGUGUUUUAACAACAGUGAUGCUAAAUAACAUUACUCAUUGAAAUUUAUAACUUAUUAAAUGCAGUCAUUGUACAUUACGAAUAGAAAGAAAGUUUAGCUCUCUAAAUUUGGAAAGUCAAACACACUCUUUAUUUUAGAAAAAAGUCUUUCGAAACUUGUUUUUAAGCGUUAACUUUCUAAAAUAAAGAUUAACAACCCGUUUGAUGCUCAUUUUAAUUAGGGCCUGUUUGAUUGGUUCGAAUUCCAUUUUGAAUUCCAUGGAAAAUGGAAUUCGAAUUCCACAUUUUUCCAAUUUUGUGUGUUUGAUAUGUUUUAUUUUCCAUGGAAUUGUAUUUCUUACUUGCAUUGGGAAUUGAUAUUUUCUUGGUUUUCCGGUUACUGUAGCAUUUUUUUCCUUUUUUUUUUUUUUUUUUUUUUCUUUUACUGUAGCAUUUUUUUCUUUUUUUUUUUUUUUUUUUUGGCAAAGUUAGCAAAUUCUAAGAAUUAUUGUAAAAAAAUAUUUUCUUUUAAUUGACAAUUUUUAUGUAAAACAAAGUCAAACGAACACCAAAGAUAGAUAAUUUUCUUGAAUUUUUUUAUUUUUAUUUUUUGUUUUGGCAAUGGAAAUAAAUUUCAUUCCCAAUACCAAUAAAUUAUAUCUCUUUAAUCGAUAAUUUUUAUGUAAAACAAAGCCAAACGAAUACCAAAAAUUACUUUUUAUCUCAACAUUUUUCACGUAGAAAAUUAUACCAAUCAAAUACAAUAAUUUACAAUGCCCAGGAAAAUAAUUUAUAGGCAAUUCAAUUCCCUGAAAUUUGUUUUUAAUUUAAUUCAAUUUCAUCUUUACAAUCAAACGGACCCUUAAUUAUUUUUUUUUACCACAUCUCAUUUUCCUACAAUAUUUGCUUGGUUUUGCAGUACAACCACUAAGAUUUUUGUCAGAGAUGGAUAUAGGAAUGAUAAUGCCGUUGAGCCUUGAUGACUAUUUUGUCCUUUGAUGCAAUUUGAAAUGUACUUGCGAGGGCCACCUAUGAAGAUAUUGAAGGGCAGAAAUGGAAAGUACGAAAAAUCAAAAUUGAACUGAUAGCCCCAAAUGCAUAUGAAUUGAUUGCCGCCGUCCUUUCUGUCUAACCGCCCACACUUGCUGAAAAAUGUUGGAGAAAAUGGGAAAGAAUAGGGGCCAAAAUUAUAUUUACUUAGUUACAAAUUUCAAUACUUUAUAAUUUAAAUUAUUCAAAUCACAUUUAAAUUGACAUACCAUGAACAUACAAACAAUUAUUUUAAAAAAGAGAUAAGGAGAAAUCUGUCAAUAUUCAUUAGAAAAAAACAAAAUAUAGAGUCAAAAUAGAGAGCAAUACUGUUCGAGUGCAUAAAAAAUUACUAUCUAAAUUUAAAAAUACGCUUUAUUACUAUUCCAUAUGCUUUAAUAUGGAAUAGCAAAUAUAAAAAAGGAGACGAAACGUAAAAUUAAAAAAUAAAAAUAUAGUUUAAGAUUUUUGGUGUCCCUUCACGAAUUGAUUCACCAUUUUCGAAUUGCCGUGAUGGGGAUGAGUUGAAUUAUAAGAAAUGCAUAUACAUUUCUUCUUCAUCAUCAAGAAAUUUAGGUCCCGUUUGAGCCCAUUAAUUUGAAGUAAUGUAUUAUGGAAUAGUGAUUGAUAGAAAAUAUGUGACUAAAGAAGAAGAAAUUUUUUUAAUCUGUUUGUAAUGAAAAAUAUGUGAUUAAAAAUGAGUAAGGUAGAAAAAACAAAAGCAAAAAAAAAUGUAAAAGAAUGUCCAAGGUUUUCAUUGUCCGUUUUAAAAUUUUCAUAAGCCAUUCACGUAUAUCAAGGCGGUUCACAAUCAAACUUGGAUACUUGGAACGUCCUAACAGUAAAAAUUGGGCACACUGCAUGUCUGGGCGCCUUAUAUAUGACACUAUUUUGAUUUAUAUCAUUACCUUAUCCUUUUUUGGAUCUAUAAUAUGUUCAUUACUGUCAAUUUUUGGUUACUAAUCAUUUCGUGUACACAACCUACAAAAUUAAGAUAUCUACUUUAUAUAAUAAAUAAUUUUUUAUGUUUUUAAAAAGUAUAUCUUCUCCAAUCAAGUCGUUAUCUAACAAAGAUGAUGUAUAAUUGAAAAAGAAAAAUCGUAUGGUUUAAAAAAAAAAAAAAAAAGAACUUACUUUACUAAACAUAAAUUCUAGAUGAAUAGUAGGAAUUAAGUGGUACAAUUGCAUUUAUAUUUUUGUGAAUAUAGUAAUGUGUGCAUAUUAAUAUUAAAUAAAGAUUUAACCACCCAACUGAGUUCAAUAAUUUAAAAUUUUGUCGCAAACAAACUUACGUUCGUGGCAAUUUUUUGUUAUUCACCGUUUAUUUUUAUAAUUACUAACAAUUUUUGUUAGACAAUACAUAGAUAACUUUUUAGUUAUCUUUUUCAUUACUUCUUUUAAAUUUAUAGACAUAUUAGCUAUGUAAAAUAAUUAUAACAAAAAAAAAAAAUUGUCUCUUAUCCUCUAGUUAUAGUUGCGUAAUUGAUGUUUGAUUUAGAGGAAUUUGUAAGGCGGGUUUGUAUUUUACCAAAUUAGAAAAUUGAAAGUCGAAUCAGUAUAGAAAAAUAACAUUGAGGAUGAUCGUCUACAUCUGAAUCUUUUUAUGGUAAUAAUAGUAAUUGUAAUUUCUUGAACUCUUUUAAUUAUGGAAUUGAAUUUUAAUAUGCUAUUUCCAAUUUACAGUGUAUGAAGGAAUCAGAGAUUUCUUCAAUUUUCUCUUGCCUCGCUUUCAAACUCAAAGACAAUGUAAUCUAUACAAUUUUCUUUCAUUGAUUGUUUGCCAUAAAGAAUCAAAAUCAAACACUCAAAAGAUUUACGAAGAAAGACAUCAAGAUUAUAGAAAUAGAACCAGACGAGAAAACCCUACAUUUUCACAUGGAAGAAAACUCAAUCGAUAUGAAGGGUAGAGAGAGAAGCUAUAUAUACUUCAAUUAUAACCAUGAAUCGAAUGGCUACAAUUCUAUCAGACGAAGGAUCCAGAUCAAAAGUAUCUAAAAGGACCAAAGUUGUGUUUACAAAAAAUGCUCUUUGGUAACGGAUGAUCAAGGGUCAAACAUAGCUCCCAAUUGGCCCAGGUAAAGAACAACCCAACAUCAUAAGACUACAACCCAAUGAAUAGUGAAGCAUCAAGCUCAAGUCCAACAAUUUGCAACCAAGCCAAAGCGUCAUGUUCUUCUGUUUUGGGAGUCUUGGUUUGCUUUCAAGUAAGCAGUUGAAAGAAAUUGCAAUUAAGUUGGAGAGAAACGAGCAAAGGUUCUUGUGGGUGGUGCGUUCUCUACCCACCUAGGACAGAAGCAAGCACUUCCCACCUCCUCUUGAACUAGAUCUGGAGUCAUGGACAGACCCACAUGGGGUCAUGUGGGGUCAAUUGAUCCCAUAGAAAUUUCUUCUUCUUUUUUUAUUCGUAAAUUAUUCAAACCUAUUGCCAAACUUUUUUUUUUUUUAAUAUGUAAAUUAAACAAAACUUUGCCCAUUCUCAAGCCCAAUUGUCCAUUACCAAAACUUCACUUUUCAUCAUUUCAUAUGCAUUCAGAGUCUUGGACCGUCCAUUUCCCUAAAGCCCCAUAGAGAAAAGAAAAUGAAGAAUCAACUCACACAAAGAGUUGAAGAUCGCCAAUUCACAAUUCAUAUUUUGUCUCUUCUGAUUCGUUCAUUCGCAGAGCCAACUUCAAGUCUUCCACUAAUACUACCCUAUUGAAUUUCAACUUCAACUUCAGCAUAAAGAGGCCACACCACCAUAGGGACGCCCACGCACAAUGUUUCCAACACCAAGUUCCAUCCACAAUGUGUCACGAACCCGCCAACAAAUUUAUGUCUCAACACCUGCACUUGUAAGGCCUACUACUUCACCACGAAACCCUAGUUCUUUGUUCGAUCUAAGAGUUCGACAACUAUUUCCUGGUGUUCAAAGAAGCAAUUGAUUGUUACUUUAUCAACAAUCGAAGCUGAGUUUGUAGCUGCAACUUCAUGUGCUUGUCAAGCUAUUUGGUUGAGGUAAAUUCUUGGGGAAUUGCACUUCAAGUAACAAUAACUCACUCCAAUUUAUUGUGACAAUAGUUCAACAAUUAAACUUUCUAAAAAUCCUGUUUUGCAUGGAAGAUGCAAGCACAUUGAUGUUAAAUAUCAUUUCUUAAGGGACCUCAUCAAAGAUGGAGCUAUUGAUCUCAUUUAUUGUAGAAGUGAAGACCAAGUUGCUGACAUAUUUACCAAACCCCUGAAAUUGUUUGCGUUUCAAAAGUUGAGGAAGUUACCCGGUGUCUGCACUUUGCAAGAUCGUGAUUGAGGGUGUUUGGUUGCUGAUAUGUAUUAAACUAAAAUAUUAGUUUAGGGAAAGGAUUGUUGAAAGAGAGAGUUUUUUUUUUUUUUUUGCUCUGCAAAUGCCUAUUUUAUAGGAGUUGGUUUUGUACACGUUUAGGCUAGUAGUUAAGGUGGUGGUCUAGUGGUUCCUAUUUCUUUGUAUUAUUCAUUGAUGUACUGCCUAUAUAAAGGCUUCUUGACUAGCGCAUAAAAUGCUUCAGAAUUCCAGUAUUUUUUUAAAACUUUCAAUUGUUUGGAAAGCUAGUCGUCAAAGUUACUAGAAAGUACUCAUUAAGUAAUUUUUUAAAUUUCCAUUGGUGGAUAUGUAUUUUUGCUUAAUUCUAUCAUGAUUCGGUUUAUUUAUAUUUUUUAAUAUAAGCAUCGAUUUUCUAUUUGGUAAAAAAAAUACAAAAAUUUAGUGGAAUAUAUUAAUGCGAGACGUCUAAACUUUUUUUUAUUUAUUUGAGCAUCGUAUACUUUUUAUCGUGAAUGUUAGGAAAAUAGCUUCCGAAACUCGAUUUCUUAUAGCGCAAGUUCAUUCAAAAAAUUUUAAAUUUUAGCCCAUCCUAAUAUCAUUUUCUAGCUCCGCCCCUGUGUCAGUCAAUCUUUAUGGACGAGCUGUGUCAAGCGGUAGAUGAACUCAUCAAUACACAAAUGAGUUAUGACUUACCAAAUAUCAUGAAAUAUGGCAAGAAAGAAUCAGACUAGUGCCAGCAAUAGUAGAUCAACUCAUCAAUACAGCAAUAAAGAAUCACAGCGGCCGCUAUCAUAAUUUCAGACUUGGGCUAAAUAUAGCAAUAAUUGAUCAUCUUAAAAUUUGGUUUGAAAAGUUUGUAAUAUAGAGAUACGAGAUACUAAGGUCCUGUUUGGCUAGCGUUUAGUUUUGAUUUGUGAAUUCAUUUUUAGUUUUCUGUUUUGGGAUCUGUUUUAAGAUUGCAAAAGAUGUAUAUAAUUUAUCAUUCUAAAAAAUUGUUUCUCAAAAUAGAAAACUGAAAGUACAUGUUUAAUUUGAAAUUUGUAGAAAUUGGUUUGACAUUAUAUUAAUUGGAUUUGAUGAAUAAUUUUAUACUUAUAUAUUAUUAAGUAAUAUAUAUACGUUUUAAAGUUUGUGAAUCUUACCAAAAAAAAAUUCUCAUUUCGAAAAUGAAAUACAAAUAAUUAGUAAUUGACUUGGCAAAAAAUAAAAAUAAAUGCGCAAACUGAGAAUUGCUGGAUAUGAUUGUCUAUUAUGAGAUCAUUAUAACAAACAACUUAAUAGUUAUUGGACUAAGAUUUCCGACUUAAAUUUGGAUAGCUAAAAUAAAUACAUUUGGAAAAUUAAACUAACAAAAUAAUUUACAUAACUAUUAAGACAUAGUCAUUUCACAUUUGUGUAUCAAUUUGAUCUCUCUAACAUAUCUUAUUUGAACUGUUUGACUCCCAUCAAGUUCUAUGACUUCUUGAUCUUCACUUUACUUCGAUGUAUCCUAAAAUAUCAUAUUCCCUGAUGAAUAUUGAUCGGAAAGUAGAGAAGGCUAAAAUUAUCAUAAGUCGGCAUAGCCCAUGAUCCAUACAAGCCAAGACCGUGAUCAGCACGUUGGCUUUUUACUUUUGUCCAUUUAUCGCGGAAAAUGUUUGAGAAAUUUUGCUUAAAUAAAAUGAAAUUGGAUGUCAAUUUAAUGACCCAAACAAACUUGUAGAAGACUUUGGGAGGGACAAACUCAUACACUUGAAAUAAAGUUUUAAAAGCAUUUAUAGAAGGCUUUUUAAACACAAAAUAUUAGUUUAAAGAGUCAAUACUUUAAAAAAAAAAAAAAAAGGCUCCAAGAUUUUUAUUUUAAAUUGUUAAGAGCAUCUCCAAAUGACCAUUUAUUUAUAAAGAGUAUAUCAUACAUUAUAUAGAGAACAUCUCGAAAUUUAAAUAGUCAAAUUUUUUAUGUACUUCAAUAAUGCUCUCUAUUUUGGCUCUUCAUUUUACCUUUUUGACAAGAAACAUUUAUAAAUUUCUCCUCAUAUUUUAUUUAAUAUAAUUUUUCUUAUGUCAAAAGCCAAUCAAUUUAACCAUUUGUUUGAAUAGUUUAAGAAGUAGAGUGUUGAAAUUCAAUAAUGUUAUUUAGCACAACGGUGUUAGAAUAUCAGUCUAUGUGGUAUUAAAUAUUUGUUUAAUCUUCAUUCUUCUAAAAAAUUAUUUUUUCCAAACUAAAUUUUAACCACACAUUUUUCAAUAAAAUAAUAUUACACGUAAAUUCAAAAUUUUUUCUUUAUUUUUAGCCAAACAUUCUCCAUGAUCUACUACUCAAAAUUCAUUCUUUCUCCCAAAAUGGAACUCAAACAAGAGCUAAAUAAUAGACUCAUAGAAAUAUAAAAUUAAAUGAUUUAUUUUAAUUAUAUCUCUCAUUUAAUGUCGUGUUAGUAUCAGAUAAACUAGUGUUUUAAUAGUAGUGGUAUUAAAUAGCAUUAUUCAUCGAAAUUUGUAACUUAUUAAAUACGAUCAUUGUACAUUACAAAUAAAAAGAGAGCUUGACUCUUUAAAUUUGGAGAGUUAAACUUACUCUUUGAUUUAGAAAGUUAAAUUAAAAAGUCUCUUGAAACUUAUUUUUAAGUAUGAGCUUUUUAAAAUAAAAAUUCCCGUUGGAUGCUCAUUUUACUUUCCUACAGUAUUUUCCUGAUUACAUGGUACAAUCACUAAGAUUUUUGUCAAAGACGAAUAUAGGAAUGAUAAUGCCAUUGAGCGUCAAUGACUAUUUUGCCCUUUGAUGCAAUUUGAAUCUACUUGCGAGGGCCACAUAUGAAGAUAUUGAAGAGGGGAAAUGGGAAAUGCAAAAAACUAAAAUUGAAAUGACAGCCACAAACGCAUAUGAAUUGAUUGCCAUCGUCCUUUUGUCUAGCAUGGGCCCAAACUUGCUAAAAAAUGGUUGGAUUCUUAAAAUAUUCAUAAGCCAUUCAAACAAAUCAAGGCAGUUCACUAUCAAACUUGGAUUCUUGGAACGUCCCGACAGUAAUAAUUGGGCACACUGCACGUCUGGCCGCUUUAUGUAUGAAACACCAUUUUGAUUUAUUUAGUUACCAUAUCCAUAUUUUAUCUAGCAUGGCUGACACCAUUGUGCUGUAUCCCUCUCCUGGAAUUGGCCACUUGAUUUCCAUGGUGGAGCUGGGGAAGCUCCUCCUCAAGCACCGCCCUUCAUUCUCCAUAACAAUCUUCAUCACCACCGCUCCAUACACCACCGGCGUCACCGCACCCUACAUAAACCACGUUGCUUCCACCACUUCUUCCAUCACUUUCCACCAACUAUCCACUGUCGAACUUUCUCCCACUUCCGCCGCCAUCCCUUUCGAAGAACUUCUUUUCGAAAUACCCCGCCUGAACAACCCUUACCUCCACGAAGCCCUUCAGAAUAUAUCCCAGAAAUCAAAUCUCUUAGCCUUUUUCAUAGAUUUCUUCUGUAACGCCGCUUUCGAAGUCUCUUCAAAACUUGGAAUUCCAACUUAUUAUUUCUACACCUCAGGCGCUUCUGCACUUUGCGU
rnacentral:lncRNA from 1 species